GAAAGACAAUUAAGCUUACCAAAAGCAGAGAUAGCGCCGGCCAAGAAAUGAAAGCCUAAACAGAAUCAGUUAAAGCUAUUAAAACUGUUGUGGGUUUUGACCAGAAUGUGGGGGGCGAAGAAGAUUCAGAGAACAAAAAUGAGGAGCUGCCAAAGAAGAAGGCGUUGAAUGCAAUCACUCAGAAGACAACAAAUGGAAUACCAACUGGAGGGAUGAUGAGGAGAAAACUUCCCCUUAGAGAGAACUUCGAAUUCUGGUGUGAAGUUUUUCAGGUUGGUACUCACUCCGCUGUUGUGAUGGAGGGUCAUAAAAGGGGGAAGAAACACAUGGCUCGGUCUAAUGGAUCUAGGAAAAAUAAUGAGGCCGUCCCCCUCACCACCCGCACUACAAUUGUGACACCAUCAGAGCCUACUGAGAAUGUUGGAGAUGAAGAUGCGGUGGCCCAAGAAUGAAAUGAAGAAACCGCAGAGAGUGUCAUUGAGAAGGCUGAAGAUGAAGAGGUGGUGGUCUAUAGAGGCAGAUAAAGUGAGCCUGAUGCAGCAGACUCCUUAUUAUGCUGAAGGUAAAGCUCUUAACUUUUAUUUUGCUCUUGCGCUCCAUUUUGAAUGUCUUAAAUUUCAAUGAACCAGCUGCGUGUUACUUUAUCAUUUUAAAACUCAGAAAUUACAAUAAUAAAUUUAAGUUCAUUCUUCCAUCUCGUCAUAUAUGGAUUUGAAGGUACUGAAUGAUGAAGCCUGUAAAUUCAAGCAACAAUACUGUAAUGGGGAUCAUGUGUUGUUCUCUACUCUCCAGUCGUUGGUAAAAAGCUCAAAAAAUGAAAACCAGACACUGUUAGAUCAACCAUUUGAAAGUGCUUCAUAUAUGCAUGAUUAUGACAUUGGACUCUUCGGCCCAAUGCAAAUUUUUCUUGAUCAUGACCUGACGUUAGUUUAUCUUGUGCUGGCAGGUAGUUGGUGGGAUAUCACUAACCACAACUUAUGCAGAAGCUUCCUAACAUCAGCCGUGGGUCCAGGAUGUUUGAUCGGAUCGGCUAAAUUAAAAUUUUUUUGUAUAUGUUUGUGUGAAUAUUUACAAAGGAGUGAAAAAACUAAUAUAUAUUAAAUAACGCGACAUUAAGAACCUCGUUCUGAAUAAAUUUUAUGUAUAUAAUUUGUAAAAUAAACUAAUAAUUAAAAUAACAAUUUACCCUUUUAACUCGUACAGAUACAACCUUAAAUUCCUUAUUUAAUUCAGCUCAUUCAGAGGGAGACAAUUAGACAAAACUUAUUUUAUCAGAGUGAACUGCGAAAGUACUAGCUUAACCAGAGAGAUUAAUGUCGUAGUUUGCACAUUUGUUUAAUUGCAAUUCAACAUAUAUAGGAAGUGAACGUGAAAAUAGAAUUAAUAAUACAUUGCAAGUACCUAAUAAUUUCAGAAGCAAUUAACAGUGACCUUUAUUGGAAAAAUCCAUUAUGAUUAGAAGCAAUCCCAUCACAUACAUGAACAGUUAAAUAUACGCAUCCAUAAUUAGAUAUCACAUUAAUCAACCAAAUACAUUUCUUGGUUUCUAAGCUCCAAAAUUGAAAUUUCAUGAAAAGGUUUUUGCAUUGGUGUCUUAUAGCGAGCGAUAAAUUCGUUGGACACGAGUUGCAUUGUAGGUCGAGACUUUGGUUGAGAACGCAAGCAUGAAAAUGCUACUGUUGAAACAAGAAUGAUAUCCUGCCUAAUCUUUUGAUCCACCGGAGGUGAGAAGCGUGGGUCCAGCAAAUCAAUCAGCUUAAUAUUUUUAUCUAAUGACGAAGAUAACGAUGAGAGGAGCUCUCCAGGAUGCUUUCCCAUUAGUACUUCUAGUGCCUCCACUCCGAAGCUAUAAACAUCAGAUUUCUCCGUCACAAUCAUGGUAUAGGCCAGUUCUAUCGGAAAACAGAAGCCUUUAUUAGUGAUAUUUCGUAUAUAAUAACAAGAGCAAUUUGUUUAUAUUUUUGAGCUUCUGCAGCAAGGUAUGACAAAGAAACAUAUGUUUUUAAUUGAUAUUUAAACUGUGUAUUUUUUUUUUUUUUAAAAAAAAGUUAAACGGGUAGGCAAAGUUCAAAUUUAUCUUUCUAGCUCCUUACCUAUUCCAAAAUUCGAACCUAAGUAGCUAACUAAAUAAAACUGCUUAAAACUUACUUAACAGAGUGCAUAUAGAAAUUAAUUAAAAGAAUAAUUAAAGAAGCAUAAGAAGAACGGCUAGAAGAUUACCUGGAGCAAUAUAUCCAUAAGUGCCAGCUAACAUGAGCCAUGCCCCUCACAGUGUUCACCCUUUUAGCCCAAUCCAAAUCAACAGCUUCCUCAUCUGUGCGUAGAACACAGAACAAGCUUCCCAUUUCCAUGUACUCAUAGAUUAAGAACAUGCAUUUCCUGUGCAAACAAAACCCGUAAAGCUUUACGAUAUUUCGAUGCCGUAUUUGGGACAGUAGACGAGCCUCAUUCCGGAAACUCUCGAGGGAAGCUAACUCCUCAGUUUCUGAACGGUGAAGCUUCUUCAAAGCAACUACUUUUCCACUGGGUAGUCGUGCUCUGUAAACGCUGCCGUAGCUUCCGGUUCCAAUGCAGUAUUUGAUAUGGAAAUCCUCGGUAGCUUCAAUCAUGUUUUGAAAUGUAAUUUUACCGUCGUAAUUCCAAAUUGCAAACUCAUCAGCGCACUUGGUGAUUUCUCCUGUCUCAGCUGGUUCAACUCUCUUAUCCCUUCGUCUACGGACAAACAAGAUUCCAAAUAUCAAGGCAAGCAAUGCGACCAUAGGGAGAAUAAUUGCAACCAAGCGAGUGGCAAUCUUUUUGUGAUGUGGCGGUGGCGAAUUUGCCGAAGUAUUUGGGAUUUUUACCUCGAAAUUGUUGCCUGACACAUAUAAGAGAGGCACUUUUUUGACAGAUUCAGGGAUACUACCGGAGAGGUUAUUCAUGGAAAGGUCCAUGGUGCGUAUGCGUGGAAUUUCUCGAAGCUGGGAAGGUAUUUUACCAUUAAUGGAGUUAUGGCUCAGAUUAAGAUAAUUUAGUUCUUGAAGUUUGUUAAUCUCUGACGGGAUGCUUCCACUUAACAAGUUGUUUCCCAAAUCUAAUUCCCACAGCUUUGAGCAAUUCAUGAGUUUUGGAGGAACUCGACCAUCAAGUUUGUUGUCGUACAGGUCAAGAACUUGAAGAACCUUCAAACUCCCGAUUCCUAAUGGGAUGGAACCAUUAAUUUGGUUUGAGGCAAUAGCCAAAGUAGUUAGCUGGGUUAGAUGACCUAGAGUUGGAGGGAUAUUACCAUGAAGGGCGUUAGAAGACAAGUCCAAAAUUUUCAAUUUGCUUAGAGACCAAGAGUUGGAGGGAUAUAUCCCAAGAGGUAAUUAUUAGAUAGAUCCAGGUGGACCAGAUUCCUCCAUCUCCCCAUCUCUGAAGGGAUAAUUCCUGUUGCGCAUGUGAUUUAUGAAAAAUGAAAUCAGUAUUCACUAUCCUCAUAUAAAUAAAAUUUAUAAAGAAAUGCUUAGGUUGUAAAAAUUAAUAGAUUUUUUAGUGCUCCAAUAGUUUUUUUAUUCUUAUUUUUUGUUGGGGCUCGUCAAUGCUGCAUAUUUUUUACUGAAAGUUAAAUCCGCAGAUGCAACAAAUAUAUCAAUAAAUUAAUACAAAACUAUGGAGAGUGGAGAGAAUCACUCUCAGUGCUCUCAAUUGACUAUCCUAUUGUGUAAAUACAAAAGUAAAUUUAGUAAAUUAAUGAGGAACUGUAUAUGUGUGAAAUUAGAAAUAGUGCUUUUGAUUUUUAAUCAUAUCUUUUAUAGGAUAACCCUGAAUUUUAAUGCAAAGGGGAAAAAAAGAGAGGAAAAGAUACAAACCAAAAAUGCUUAAACCUGCCUUCCUUAAUAAUUACGUACAACUUGUAAUCGCCCAAUGUAACAAUUGCAAUUGAUGGAUGCAAUUUGGAAAAGAAACUGACACUUGAAGCCGAUUCAUUUCAUACAAAAAUUGAAGGAAAAAAAGCCAACCAGCAUAUUCUCCAAAUUAAAACACUACCGAAGUAAUAAACAAAGAUGUAGAAAUUUAUUAUAUAGUUUCACUUUCACACAACAAAAAUGUGCUUAGACGACCAAGAGUUGGAGAGAUAUUACCAUCAAUGCCGUUAGAAGACUAUAGUUUCACUUUCACACAACAAAAAUGUGCUUAGACGACCAAGAGUUGGAGGGAUAUAUCCCCAGAUGUAAUUAUUAGAUAGAUCCAGGUGGACAAGAUUCCUCAAUCUCCCCAUCUCUGAAGGAAUAAUUCCUGUUGCGCAUGUGAUUUAUGAAAAACGAGAUCAGUAUUCACUAUCCUCAUAGCAAAUAAAAUUUAUAAAGCAAUCCUCGUAAAAAAAAACUUCUUCAGUGUUGUAAAAACAGACGCCUGCUUCAAGCAUGAGCACGACUUCAUACAUACAUACAUACAUACAUAUAUAUAGUGAAGUUUCGUAGCAUACCGGUAAGAUAGUUGGAGGACAGUUCAAGAGUUUGGAGCAUUGAAAGGGCAGUAAUUUCAGAUGGAAUGCUCCCAGAGAGAAGAUAAUUUGAAUGAAUUUUGAAACUUCUGAGGUUCGGAAAGCAAGAGAAUUUGAAACGACCAAGCUCUCCUUCGAUGUUAUCAUUUUCAUACCAGAGUAAGCUGACCCCGAGUACGCUUCCCGCUGAAUUGCAACUGAUGCCAGUCCACUUAUAAUGAUCGGACGUGGAGUUGCCCGUCGCCCAAUUGUUGAUCCACCAGCCUGUACCAAGUAUAGCUUCCCUUUCUAACUGUAUGGGUGACGACAACAAUCCUGCAGCUGAUGCUAUUACAAAUACUGUCGUAUCACUUAUAGCACCAACAUUUAUUAAAAUUAUAAUGACCACCAGUCUCGAAACAGAGGACGCUGAUGCCAUGUUUAUGGUGGUUUUCGGUUGAUUGAGCAUUUGAUUCUCAGCAAAGCGUUUAUAUAAGAAUUAAUUGUUUUGCAACUUCCCGGUGUUAAUUUCCAACACGCGUUUUCAAAUAGUGUGAGUCAAGGUCUUCUCUAGAUGGAUUUAAUCAUGGAGAUAUAACCUUAUCGGCUUGUAUUUGUGAGGUGUAGAUCUAUUUGAACAACAUUGCAGAAACAUGAGAUAAUACGGACAAUAUUAGAAAUAAUUAAUAGCAUUAUUAGUAGUAUAAGAUAUUAAGUAUUACCCAAAAUAAGAAAAGGAAAACCGUUCAAAGAAAAUAAUUGUUAUAAAUAAUGGCUCAAAUAGGAAAAUAAACAAGACUAAUCAUAUCUUUUGUAACAUACAUACCAUAGCUCAUGGGCUAACUAACAUUUUUUUUUUUAACCCUAAACAUCAUAAAUGAAAGAAGAUGAAAUUUUCAUUACCGCUCAAUUUUUCUGCACGCAACCAAAUUUUUUUUAAAAAAAAACAAAAAGAAAGUGUUAGAAAAAUAAUGCGCAAGUAGCUACUUGAGGCAUGAUUUUGAAUGAGACCUUUUUGGUAUAAGUGAAAAUUCAGAAAUUGUUUCGCAUAUUCCUCUAUGAGUACUUCGGAAUGUUAUCUAUACGAUCAAAAUGAUCCUCAAGUGAAUGAGAAAUUAUUACUCAAAGUGCACUCAUGAAUUUGAAAAAUUAAAGGAAAAUACAUUUGUCCCACAUUGGAAAGAUUUAUACAUAAUUACUAGAUGAACGGUAAGCUAUUAUAAGCAAAGGGGCGUUCCUUGUGCACGGUCACGGGAGUGCAAAUUUUAACCACCCCAAUUAGCUUAACCAGUGUUCAUAUUGGGGGUGUUUACCCGACCCUUAGUUGGGGUUAGCUAAUGUGGCAACUUAGUUUGCCUUUUUUUUUUUUUCUCUUUGUAAUAAUAAUAAUAACAAAUUAAUAUAAUUUUUUAAUUUAAUAUUAUAUUACAUAAUAUUAAAUUAUGUUUUAAUUUUUAUUAUUUUAAAUAUAUAACUAAACAUUGUAUUAUUUAAUUGUAUUAUUUUAAUUAAUAUAUAAAAUUAUAUUAAUUAAUCUUUAAUAAGUUAAUAUAAUUAGUAAUAAAUACUUAAAUAAUAUAAUAUUACAUUAUUAAUUAUAGUACAAUAAUUAAUUUAGCUAUUUUUAAAUAAUUUAAUAUAACUAACAAUAAAUAUUUAAAUUUGAAUAAUAUUAAUUGAAAAUUAAUAAUAUAAAUAAUUACUGGAUUAUUUAGCUCAAUUAUAUCACUUUAUUAUUCUAUAAUUAUCUUGUAAUAUGUAUAAACUUUUAUUCUAUCAUCCUCAAAUGAUUUUUGAAUUAAUCUUGAAGAUUUCAACUAUUUAUUUAUGUUGUUAAAUUAUUUAGUGAUUAUUUGAUUAAAUUAUUUACUUUGAUCUUUAUUUCAUAAGUUAUAUAUUUAGAAAAUACUAAAAAAUACACUUCCAAAAAUUUAAGACUAUAAGCUUCGGAAGAAUUAUGACAUUUCAAUAUAUAUUUUUAAUAAAAAUGUUAAAUUUCCAAAAUUUAAGAAUUUUAUAUUUAUUAUUUUUAAGUACUAAUAAAUAUUAUUUUCUAAAUAUAUAAUUUAAAUUAAUCACAAAAAAAUUAAUACAGUACAAUGUAACGCCAAACAUUGUACAACAUUAUUAUAAUACAGUGUUAAUGCAAUACAACAUAAUACAAUACACCUGCAAUAAAAUAAUGCAAUACAACAUAAUACAAUACAGUUUGUCAAACACACCAUUGUAUUAUUGUUUCGUUCUCAUUGUAUAAUUGCCGUCCAUACCUGUGCAAAACAUUAAGAGUUAAAAAAAUAUAUUUUUAUGAUUAAUUUUAGAUAUUUUUUAAACUUUAAUAAUGCCAUAUUAUUUAAUAUUACAAUUGCCGUUCGAACAUGUGCAAAACAUGAAGACUAAUAUAUAUAUAUAUACACCAUAUUAUUUAAUAUUUAAUUUUUAAGGCAACUUUUACUUAAAAAAAAAAAAAUUUAAGGCAACUUUUUUAGUUGAGGGCAGGGAACCCCUACGAUACCUAAUUCCAUAACACGCUCAUCUAAUCACCUUGACUAUAAGACUUCUCCUAGUCAGCAAUUAUUUGGAAAAAAACGUCUUGACAUGUGCUGUGGAAAUUAAAGAAUGAGGUGGACUUACGAAGUCAAGGGGUUUUUCUAGUCUACAUAUUUUAAUUUAUAUGUGUAGAAAAUUAGAAAUAUUCAAUGUCUAAUCUGAUUCUACAUAAACACUAAUGCCCCAAGAUUGUGAUUGAAAUGCUAUAAGCAGUUUAUUUUAUAAGUUUAGAUAAAAAUGAGGUUUGAUGGCUUUGUUAAAAGUUGCUUCUUUCACAAUUUUCUCAAUUUUGACUAAAACUUCUAAAAACAGGCAGGAGAUUAUUUUGAUAAGCAACUUAUUAAAUAAGUUGCUAGAUCUUUUUAAAUGUUCCUAUAAUAAUCUUAAUAUUUUAAGAAAAGAAUAAUUAUAUCUUUCUUUUCUAUAAGCUCUAAUAUAUAAAUAAAACACAGUUUAAACUUAUGUCUAUUUUAGUGAUUAAAUAAUACAACACAUUCAUAAUCAAAUUUACCAAACACGAGCAAGACACUUUUUUAACCAUCAACUUAUUUCAUCCUCACAACAAAAAUAACUUAUUUUAUCAGCCACCGCCAUCCUAAACUUGAUGCUAAGUCACGUUUGGGAUUGCAUUAGAUUGUCAAAUAAUUAAGAGAAAUAGCCAUUAUGGAGAAGAAUAGGGAGAGGUUCGCCUAAAGCAAUAUACUCGUAAGCUUGGCUACUAAUAAACGGAGCAUAUAAGCAUAAACACCUAACUUUUGAGGCAUAUAAGGGAUCUAAAAGUGCGGAAACGUUUGGAAAAACUUUAAAACCACAGGGUUUUAAAGGUUUAAACCGCAUGGUUUAUGUGUUUUCCUAGAUAUUCCCGCACUUUAAAAUUUCAGAUUAAAACAUUUCCAUAUGUGUGUGUGUGUGUGUGUGUGUGUGUGGAGGGCAAAUCUUUGACUCUCUCCAGCUUCAAGUACCUAUACGGUAACUCUUAAAUCAAAGGGAGAAAAUGGUUAACCCAAUCUUAUUGUAUAUGAAUUGAUAUUCACCAUAUGAUUAUUACAUAAAGAUUGAGCCUUAAGUGCUUUACAUUAAGUAAUAUUGCACACCUGUUCUACACAUUUAGACAACUCAGAGUAAAAAUAAUGAAAAUGACAACCAAAUCCAAACUACCUGUUCUACACAUUUGAACCCUAAUUUUUUAUUUUAUAGAAAAAUUUAAAUACCGUUUCUUGUUGUCACUGCUAUUAUACUGUCUGAUAUAUCUUCCAGAAUCCUAUAAUCCCCCCCCCCCCCAAAAAAGAAGAAACAAAAAAAGGUAUAUAAUUAAACAGGUAACUUCGAUAGAAAAGAGUGUACAUAAUUCUUAAGCUUAAUUACCCCUCGCUAUUAUAGGGAUCACGAAGGCCAUUAGAGAAAAUAAUGUUGCUACCAAAUCUCUUUAAAACCACUCUUAUAUCUUGCAAAUUAAAAAGAAAUAGAAAUCAAACAAAACUUGAGGUGAACUUUAUAAUUAAAACAGAAAAUGAGAAACCUUAAAAUAUUAGAAGAAUUAAUUUGGGGAUUAAUCGACACUUACAUUACCACUUUAAUAAGUUGUAAUCCAAUGUGGUCUUGGAACCACUCCAUAAGACUUAUUGCAUGAAUCCAUAUAUUCUGUCAGAUUAAAUGUGUCUGCUUGAAACAUUAUGUCGUUUUUGCCAAUUCCAAUUGGUGAGACCAUUUCACUGCAUGUCUGCAUGAGAAACCCCCCAAAAAUAAAAAAUAAUAAUAAUAAAAUAAGAUAAAGAAGAAAACUAUUUUUAAUCAUUCAUAAAUAUAAAGUCUCAUAAAUAAAAUUAAGAGAUGUACAUAAAAUAGGUAUUGUUCUCAUUGCCACAUGUUGUUUAUUUAACGGUCUCAAUAGAACUAACCAAUGAAAUCAUGUCACUUGUAAUUGCAUACCUGUCUGCCCCAGCUGGAGUCCAAUGUUGCAUCGGAGAAGAAUUCAUCAACAUCAUGGCAAGAAUCCUCCCCUCUUAAAUCAACAAUUCCUGAGAAGAUCCGGUCUAGGGUAUCUGUGCCUUCUAAAGCUCCAUCAAUACCAUUACAGGCUUUGUUCACUGGGCUUUCCUGAGGAUCAUCAUACUGAGCUGCACCCGUAUACAUAUACUCUAAAUAAUCUUUCAAUUCUGAAACAUCCUUCAGAGGCCUGUAAUCAAAUAAACAAUAACAUAGAAUUAAGUGCCACAAGGUCAUUAACUUUAUAAAAGAUCUUUCAACAUACUGUCUUAAAAAUGUUGUUAUAUUUAGUUAGAUUACAAUAAACUUUAUAAGUAUGAAGCUAUUGAUAUUCUCAAAUGCAAACGUUCAAAUUUGGCCUCAUUUGAUUAUCAGAGUUUUGCGUGGUUUUGUAGUUUAAAUUUAGAUUCUGCAAAAUAUGGACGUCUGAACCUAAGCACCAGUAUACUAUAUAUGGUAACGCAAAGGCCGUGUAUAAGCCCAAAUCCAGAUUUUUACUUUGUAUAUUACACGUUAAUCGAAAUGUAUAUACACGCUGAGGAUGACAGAUAAUUAAUUAGACAUGGUACAUUCGAUAACGAUGCUAAAAUAACAUUGCAUUAAUUGUAAUUAAGGGAAAAUCGGAUGGAUAUACAAUAUAAGCAGUUAUGUAAAGUAAUAUGAUUAAUUACUUGCAGGUUUUGAACUUUAUAGAGAGAAAAGCAAGUCCAUUUUUUCCAGCAGCGACUUUAUCGAUUUCAGCCUAGGACUGUUUGAUGGUCUUGUAGCAGCUCUCGCUGGCUUCCUGCAUCAUUAAUUUUUAAAAUUCAAUGGCUAAAUUUUAACAAGAAAACAUAAUCAUGCUUAUAUAAAAUUUUAAUUAACUAAUUUAUUUCUUACCCGAAAGUCCUUGGUGACAAGAUCAUAAUAUGCGUUUGACGGUGUGAUAUUCUCAAAGUAGAGAACUGGGGCGGAUGAGGCAACUGCUCCCAAAGCAAUGUGAAGAUACUUCAAGUGAAACCAUGCAGCAAGCAUUGUUGAUAACAAACCAACAAACAAGUAACUCUCGAAACCAUAUCACAUCCCAGAUCUGAUAAAAUAGGAUGAAUUGAGAAGAUUAUUUUUAAAUACAUAAUUAUCUUGAAUAUAUUUAUUAUUUCUUGAUUUUACGAUCGCCAAGAGUAUUCGUUAGUUGCAAUAUUAAAUAAAUUUGUAUCAUAGUAAUAUUGCCGUAGUCAAUAUCUUGAUCGAUCAAUCGUGAUCUAAAUGAGUAAAAUGAUGUGACAGAUGACACGACAUUAAUCAAAAGAUGUAAGUAAGUUAAUAAUAUUAUAAUUUACUUCCUCCAUAAGAUGCUCCAACAACCAUAAUGGGAGACAUUUCGUCCGAUAAAUUUUUCUGGAUGUGUAAGAGAAUCUCUGCGUAAUCAGCCAAAGCUUGAGCAGAGUUGAAAUAUCCACGAAGAGUUGCAUUCUUUGGGGCAUCUUUGCUUGAUACAAAAGGUAUUGAUUUUCCAUAGAACCGAUACUGCAUAAAAAAUUGAAUUAAAAAAAAAAUCCAUCACAACUUUUCGUAUGUGAACUCUAUUUCAAUUAUUAUCAAGCUAGCCUGAUAACAUAUUCUUUACUUACCUCUAUGUAAACUUGUAAGGCUUUAAAUCGAUGAGCACUAUUAGUUAGCCAUCCAAUGCCACCAAGGUCAUCAUAUCAAGACUACUCUCUUCACCAAGAUAUGCCAAUAUCGGCGCCGCCAUGGCUCUGCCACCGCCCCAAUGCUUGAAGUUCAACGCAUAUCUAUGAGGAAAAGUUAAAUAACUUUGUGGAUUAUAGUUAAAGUGAUCAAGUGUUUGAUAAUAAUAGUAAGUUUCGAGAUCAUAAUAGUAACUUUGUGGAUUUUUUUGCUAGGGUUUUGAAAAAUAGUCCUUCCACGAACAGCACCAAGCUUUGGGAUGUUCUUUAAUGGUGAAGUGGAAGCAAAAGCAAAAUUUGUGAGGAGAAGAAGAAAAAGGCAUGGAAGCCACCGACCUUUCAUGGCAAAGUUGUAAAUCCUUAAUUAGCAGGAUGAUUAUGUAAAUACAGAAGAAAUAGAGUUAAGAUUAGAUUAUAAAUUCAGCUUCAAAAUCGACGUGUUUGUUAAUAUAUCCUGGAUUUGUUGUUAUCGUAUAAUUUAAUUAAUGUUGGUUUUAGUUUUAUAUUAGUAUGGAUCUUCAUUUUUCAUAAAAUUAUAGUGUGUCGAAUAUAUAGUUAUCGGUUUCGUAAUUAAUAAAAAUUUUUAUUAUUUCUUUCCUAGUAAUUAAUUAUCUUGUGCUUACCAGAAUAUCACUAACCACAACUUCUGCAGAAGCUUCCUCACCUUCGGAUGACAUCAGCGGUGCGUCCAGGAUGUUUGAUCGGAUCAGCUAAAUUAAAAAUUUAUUGUAUAUGUUUGUGUGAAUAUUUACAAAGGAGUGAAAAAAAACUAAUAUAUUGAAUAACGCGACAUCAAGAACUUCGUUCUGAAUGAAAUUUUUAUAUAUAAUUUGCAAAAUAAGCUAAUAAAUAGAAUGACAAUUUACCCUUUUUAACUUGUAGAGACACAACCUUAAAUUCCUUAAUAUGCUGGUUAAUUCAGAUCAUUGAGAUGGAGACAAUUAGACAAACCUUAUUUUAUCAGAGUGAACUGCGAAAGUACUAGCUUUACAAAAGAGACUAAUGUCGUAGUGUGAAUGGAAUUAAAAAAUACUAAGGCAGACAAUUCGUCGAACACAUAAUAUUUGCUACAUUGCUACUACCUAAUAAUUUCACAACCAAUUAACAGUCUCCUUUAUUGGAAAAAUCACAUUAAUCAACCAAAUACAUUUCUUGGUUUCUAAGCUCCAAAAUUGAAAUUUCAUGAAAAGGUUUCUGCAUUGGUGUCUUAUUGCGAGCGAUAAAUUCGUUGGACACGAGUUGCAUUGUAGGUCGAGACUUUGGUUGAGAACGCAAGCAUGAAAAUACUACUGUUGAAACAAGAAUGAUAUCCUGCCUAAUCAUUUGAUCCCCCGGAGGCGGGAGGCGUGGGUCCAACAAAUCAAUCAGCUUUAUAUUUUUAUCCAAUGACGAAGAUGACGAUGAGAGGAGCUCUCCUGGAUGCUUUCCCAUUAGUACUUCUAGUGCCACUACUCCGAAGCUAUAAACAUCAGAUUUCUCUGUCACAACCAUGGUGUAGGCACGUUGUAUAGGAAAACGGAAGUCUUUAUUAGUAAUGUUUCCAUAAACAAUAACAAGCACAAUUUGUUCAUGUUUUUUAGCUUCUUUAGCAAGGUAUGACAGAGAAGCAUAUGUUCUAACUGAUAUUCAGUGUAUGUGUGUUUUGAAAGGUAAAGGGAUAGGUAAAGUCUAAAUUCAGUUAUAGCUCCUUAGUUUUUUCAAAAUUCGAACCCAAGUAGCGAGCUAAAUAAAGCUGGUUAAAAACUACUUAGCAGAGUAUAUAUAAAAAUUAAAUAAGAGGAUAACUAAAGAAGCAUAAGAGGAAUAGCUAGAAGAUGACCUGGAGCAAUAUAUCCAUAAGUGCCAGCUAACAGAGUUCGAUUGGAUGAGUCAAAAUUUAACAAUCUAGCAAUACCAAAGUCAGCAACAAAAGCUUCGAAUUCUGAGUUGAGUAGAAUGUUGUUGCUUGAUAUGUCGCGGUGAACAAUUGGUGGUGUGCAGUGAUGAUGCAAGUAUGACAAAGCAUGAGCCAUACCCUUCACAAUGUUCACCCUUUUAGUCCAAUCCAACCCAACAGCUUCCUCAUCUGUGCGUAGAAUACAGAACAAGCUUCCCAUUUCCAUGUACUCAUAGAUCAAGAACAUGCAGUUCUCGUGCAAACAAAAGCCGUAAAGCUUUACAAUAUUUCGAUGCCGUAUUUGGGACAGUAGACGAGCCUCAUUCCGGAAACUCUCGAGGGAAGCUAACUCCUCAGUUUCUGAACGGUGAAGCUUCUUCAAAGCAACCACUUUUCCACUGGGCAGCCGUGCUCUGUAAACGCUGCCGUAGCCUCCGGUUCCAAUGCAGUAUUUGAUAUCGAAAUCCUCAGUGGCUUCAAUCAUGUCUUGAAAUGUAAUUCUACCAUCGUAAUUCCAAAUUGCAAACUCAUCAGCGCACUUGGUAAUUUCUCCUGUCCCAGUUGGUUCAACUUCCUUAUCCCUUCGUCUACGGAUAAUCAAGAUUCCAAAUAUCAAGGCAAGGAAUGCGACCAUAGCAAGAAUAAUUGCAACCAAGCGAGUGGCAAUUGUUUUGUGAUGUGGCGGUGGCGCAUUUGCCAAAGUAGUUGAGAUUUCUCCUCCCAAUUUAUUGCCUGACACAUCUAAGUGUGGCACUUUUCUGACAAAUACAGGGAUUCCACCGGAAAGGUUAUUCAUGGAAAGGUCCACAGUGUCUAUGCGUGGAAAUUCUCCAAGUUGGGAAGGUAUUUUACCAUUAAUGAAGUUACCGCUUAGAUCAAGAUAAUAUAGUUCUUGAAGUUUGCCGAUCUGUGACGGAAUGCUUCCGCUUAACAAGUUGUUUCCCAAUUUUAAUAUCCUCAGCUUUGAGCAAUUCAUGAGUUCUGGAGGAAUUGGGCCAUCAAGUUUGUUGUUGUACAUAUUCAAAGUAGUUAAUUGAGUCAAAUGACCCAGAGACGAAGGGAUUGGGCCAACAAGUUUGUUUUGGGACAAGUCUACACUUCUCAACCACUUUAAAUGGCCAAGUGUUGUAGGAAUUGAACCUCCAAUUUCAUUUCUGGACAGGUCAAGAGCUUGAAGAACCUUCAAACUCCCGAUUCCUAAUGGGAUGGAACCAUUCAUUUGGUUUGAGGCAAUAGCCAAAGUAGUUAGCUGGGUUAGAUGACCUACAUUGGAUGGGAUAUUACCGACAAGGGAGUUAAAAGACAAGUUCAAAAUUUUCAAUUUGCUUAGACCACAAAGAGUUGGAGGGAUAUGUCCCAUGAGGUGAUUAUCAGAUAGAUCCAGGUGGACGAGAUUCCUUAAUCGCCUCAUCUCUAAAGGGAUAAUUCCUGUUGUGCAUGUGAUUUAUGAAAAACGAGAUCAGUAUUCACUAUCUUCAUUAAAAAAAAAUUACAUAGAGGGAGAGUCAAGCUCAAGUGCGGACGACUCACACUUCUUUAGUGUUGUAAAAACAGACGCCUGCUUUAAGCAGCAGCGCGAUUUUAUACAUACAUAUAUAUAUAUAUGGUGAAGUUUCACAGCUUACCGGUAAGGCCGUUGUAGGGCAGUUCAAGAGUUUGGAGCAUUGAAAGGGCAGUAAUUUCAGAUGGAAUGCGCCCAGAGAGAACAUAAUUUGUACGAAUUUUGAAAUUUCUGAGGUUCGGAAAGCAAGAGAAUUUGAAACAACCGAGCUCUCCUUUGAUGUUAUCAUUUUCAUACCAGAGUAAGCUGACCCCGAUUACGCUUCCCGCUGAAUUGCAACUGACGCCAGUCCACUUACAAUGAUCGGACGUGUAGUUGCCCGACGUCGCCCAAUUGUUGACCCACCAGCCGGUAGCAAGUAAAGCUUCCCUUUCUAACAGUAUGGGUGACGACAAUAAUCUUGCAGCUGAUGCCGUUACAGAUAUUGUCGUAUCACUUAUAGCACCAACAUUUAUUAAAAUUAAAAUGACCACCAAUCUCGAAACAGUGGAUGCUGCUGCCAUGUUUAUAAUGGUUUUCGGUUGAUUGAGCUGGCUAUUUGAUUCCUUGCAAAGCGUUUAUAUAAGAAUUAAUUGUUUUGCAAGCUCCCGGUGUUAACUUCCAAUACGCGUUUUCAAAUAGUGUGAGUCAAUGUCUUCUCUGGAUGGAUUCAAUCAUGGAGAUAUAACCUUAUCGGCUUGUAUUUGUGAGGUGUAGAUCUAUUUGAACAACUUUGCAGAAACAUGAGAUAAUAUGGACAAUAUUAGAAAUAAUCAAUAGCGCUAUUAAGAUAUUAAAUAUUACCCAAAAUAAUAAAGAAAAAAAAAAGCUCGAAGGAUUGUUGUUGUAAAAUAUGACUCAAAUAGAAAAAUAAACAAGACUAAUCAUAUCUUUGUAUAAAUUUAAGUAUAAAAAAAACUUGUAGGUGUAUUAUUAUAAUAAGCUGUAGAGAAAAGAAUUUGUAGACUUCUGUGAUUUGACAAAAUAAUAAAAUAAUCCCUUUAUUUUUUAAAAUAGUUACAAAACUCCUUUUGCAACAUGCAAACUAUAUGGAAAAUUGGAAAUUCAUGGGCUACCUAAUAUCCCUCUUAUUUUUUUAUUUUUUAUUUUACACCAAAACAUCAUAGACAAAAGAAGAUAAAAAUUUCAUUGCACUCAAUUUUUUUCAUGAAAUCAAACAAGGAAAAGAAGCAAAAAGUGUUGGAAAUAUAGCACAAGUUACUAUUUGAUGCGUGAUUUUGAGUGAGACUUAUCUGUUGUUUCAAAUAUUCCUCCGUAAAUACUUCAGAAUGAUUUUACCUAUAUAAUCAAAAUAACCCUUGGAUAAAUGAGAAAUUGUUACUCAAAGUAAAUUCAUGGAAUUGGAAAAGUAAAGGAAAUUAUAUUUGUCCCACAUGAAAAAGAUAGCAAAGGCAUGAAAGGUUUGUAUAUAAUUACUCAUGUGUGUAUAAGUAAAAUAUAAACCAAGACGCUCUCUCUUCCGUGCCCCAUCCUAAGUACACAAAUUCAAUGUGAUACGAUCCUAUAGUUUCCGUUCAAACCUAUGCACACUUUAAAAAAAGGUUUUUUUUAAUAUAUUUUUUAUGUAUUUUACAUUUUUUUUAAAAUUUAAUAAAUGCCAUAUUAUUUAAAUAUUUAAUUUUAAGGCAUCUUUUUUAAGUUGAGGGCAAGGAACCCCUCCGAUACGUAAUGCCGAAACAUGCUAAUCUAAUCACCUUGACUUUAAAGACUGCUUCCCCUAGUCAGCAAUUAUUUGGAACUUACGUCUUGACAUGUGCUGUGGAAAAUAAAGAAUGAAGUAGACUUAUUGAGUCAAGCUGUUUCUUCAAUCCAGAUAUUUAGUUUAUACGUGUGCAAAUAUUCAAUGCCUAACUUUAUUCUGCACAAAGCCUAAUGUCCUAUUUGGGAUAACGGUUGAAAUACUUAUAAGUUUUGAUAAAAAUGAUGUUUGAUAAAUUUGUUAAAAGUUUAAUUCAUAUUUUCUCCAUUUUGACAAUAACUCUUAAAAUAAGUAUGAGAUUGUCUUUUAUAAGCAACUUAUUAAAUAAAAUGCCAUUUUUUUAAAGUUUCUAUUAUAACUUUAAUAUUUUAAGAAAAGAAUAAGUGUAUCUUAUUUUUUAAAAAAUCCUAAUAUAUAAGUAAAAGACAAUUUAAACUUAUGUUUAUUUUAAUGAUUAUAUAAUAAAAUAUUAUUUUCGUAAUCAAAUUUACCAAACACUGAGUGAGCUACUUUUAUAAUCAUUAGAUAAUUCCAUUCACAUCGCAGAAGCAGCUUAUUUCAACAGCCACCAAAAUCUUAAACUGAUCCUAAGUCAUGUUCGGAAUUGCAUGGGAUUGUCAAAUAAUUAACAAAAGAAGCUAUUAUGUAGGAGAAUAGGAACAGGUUCACCUGGAGCAAUAUACUCAUAAGCUUGGCUACUAAUAAACGGAGCGUGUAAGGAUAAACACCUAAGUUUUGAGAGAUACAUGUAUCUGGAGGGCAAAUUCUUUUUCUCCCACCGGCUUCAAGGACCUAUACAGUAACUCCUAAAUCAAAGGGAGAAAAUGGUUAAUCCAAUGUGGUUGUGUAUGAAUUGAUAUUCACCGUAUGAUUAUUACAUAAAGAUUGAACCUUUGUACGUGCUUUAUAUUAAGUAAAACUGCACACUUGUUCUACACAUUUAGACAACCCAGAUUAAGAAUUAUGAAAAUGAAAUCUACAACUAGCUAGGUGCACUAUUAUUUAUCUUUGCUCCUUAAAUAUUAGAAAGAUAGAGGAGAGGGAGAAAAAGAAAAGACUAAUUUUGUAGUCCAAAUUUAAUCUUAUGCUCUGAUUUUGAAGCAAAUCAGCAGAGUAUUUGAGGAACCAAUCAUGAACCAUGUCCAUUUCAAUCUUUCGCUGCAUUACUAACCAUUCGGGGUCAUCUUCUGUUGCUGGCUGUAUGUCUAAGCAAUGGGAACCUGCUCCAAUUUACACACUAUUAAUUAUGUUAUCCAAUAAUUUAGUUAAUAAUUGAACACUAAUUUUUUAUUUUAUAGAAAAAGUUACAUACUGUUUUUUGUUGUCACUGCUAUUAUAUUGUUUGAUAUAUUUUCCAGAACCCUAUAAUCCCAAACAAAGAAAGAAAAAGAAAAAGGUAUAUAAUAAAACGGGUAACUUCAAUAGAAAAGAAUAUCCAAAAUUCUUAAGCUAAAUUACCCAGCGCUGCUACAGGGAUCGCGGUGGCCAUUAGAGAAAACAAUGUUGCUACCAAAUCUCUUUAAAACCACUCUUAUAUCCUGCAAAUUAAAAAGAAAUAAAAAUCAAACUCAAGAACGAGGUGAAGUUUUUAAUUUAAAAAAGGAAAGAAAAAGAGAAAAUUAAAAGAAUUAAUUUGGGGAUUAAUUGACACUUACAUGACCACCAUAAUAAGUUGUAAUCCAAUGUGGUCUUGGAACCACUCCAAAAGACUUAUUGCAUGAAUCCAUAUAUUCUGUCAGAUAAAAUGGGUAUGCUUGAAACAUUGUUUCCUUUUGGCCAAUUCCAAUUGGUGAGACCAUUUCACUGCAUGUCUACAUGAGAAACCCCCUAUAUUAAUAAUAAUAAUAAUAAGAUAAAGAAGAAAAAUAUUUUUAAUCAUUCAUAAAUAUAUAGUGUUAGAGUGCAAUUUAUGCACUAGUUUUGCAUUGUUUACUUCCCUUAAUAUCGAUGUUUUGCACUUAAUAAUAGUGAUUUACUUGUGUUUUACUUUUGUGGGUGCAGUUCUAUUGAUUUGUGAUAAAAUUGAGCUAUAAGAUGUUGUUUAAAGAUGAUUGUUCUCUUGGAGAAAUUUAGAGCGUCAGAAGAACUUUGUUGAUAAGGCGUGGGCGCGUGCUGUCAACUGCGGGCCUGCAGUUUUUAGUUUAACAUGUUUUGUAUUUUUGGUUAUUUUGUAAUUACGAAUUUAAUAUUUCAGUUAUUAGUAUUUUAUUUUAAAUAGAAUUCUAAAAGAGAAGAGAGAGAGAGUAUUUAAGGGAGGAAUCUAUUGUGAAAAAGGAGACUUUUGGAGAAGAGAAAGAAACCUUAGGUCUAAACUUUUCUCUUCUCUCUAUGAAGCACUAAACCUAUUUUUCUGGUUGAAGGAUAAUGAAGCUUUGAUUCAUCACUACUGUGAGAUCUAUUUUAUGCUUUAAUUGUUUUAUUGCUUUUUGGGUAUUUGUUUAUUCUCUGAAUUAUUUUCAUGAUUAUGUUUGUUAAUUAGGUAAUUGGCCACUAUUUAAUUAUCAACUUAAUCUAUUAUUAAUUAAAGGAUUCAUCGUAUGAAAAUUUUAAUGUUUGUGACAAAUAACAUACCAAUGAGUUGUGUUAUGAGAAUAAACAAUCUAAUUUAAAUGAAUCAUCGUAUGUGUUGAUUAGGAUUUGGGUCUCUCUGGUCUUUCAGGCUAUCAAUUGAUUAAAUCCUAUGAUCGUAUCUAGGAUUGUCUAUUGAUUAGGGAAAUAGCCAACGGUCGUACCUUGGUUAUCGACUAGUUAAGGAGAGAUUGGCUAUUAGAGGGUCUCAGUAGCUAUAACCGGUCUAUUCAUAAGUAAUAAUAAUCUAUAUUUGAAUCAAUGAUCAGUAAUCGAAUCUAGCUGAAUUAAUUCCUUCAACCAGAGCUUUCUCCAAUUUGAAUUACAACUUUAAUUUGCAUUCUUGUUAUUUUAAUUUGAUUUUUAUUAUUGUCAACAAAACCCCCAUUUUAUGUUUUACGUUUUAAAAGGAUUUAAAUAAUUACCGAUCUCUGUGGACACGACCCUGCUCAAUCACUAUACACAAUUUAUUUAGAGUAGGAAUUUAUUUUUGUUGGCUUCGACAACCAUCGUAUAGUCAUAUAAAUAAAAUUAAGAGAUGUACAUAAAAUAGGUAUUGUUAGGCGAAAGACUAAUUCAUUGCGACAUGUUGUUUAUUUGAUGGUCUCAAUGGAACUAUCCAAUGAAAUCACGUCAUCUGUAAUCGCACUUGAGCAGAGUUGAAAUAUCCACUAAGAGUUGCAUUCUGUAGGGCAUCUUUACAUGAUACAAAAGGCACCGAUUUUCCAUAGAACUGAUGCUGCACAAAAAAUCAAAUUAAAAAAUAUAUAUAUAUCACAACUUUUUAGUUGAUAUUAUAGAUUAAAUUUAUCUUUAUUAUUAUUGUUUCGCGUUCGAACUCUGUUUCAAUUAUUAUCAAAUUCUUUACUUACCUCUAUGUAAACUUGUAAGCCUUUAAAUCGAUGAGCAUUAUCAGUAACCUGGAUUUGUAUGUUAUUAGGAGGUCGUUGCUUAGAGAUUCCCAUGUCCACUCUUAGUGCCAAAAGACUUGGUCUUGAUGCACAGGUGACAAGUUUGUUGGGGAGUACAUUUGGACUCGCUAUCUUGAUUUAGUUCCAAACAUCAUAGCAUUUGGUUAUUUAUGUUGGUCAAAGUUCGCAAGUUCAGUUUGCGUGGUCAACUCAAGUAGACGAGAGAGUUGUGCAACUCUUGACCAUGCGUGCAAAUGCCAAUGUAUGUGGCUUUAAAAUUUGGCAGUGAGGACGUAUGAUCCCCCACAGCCUGGAAUCAAUGUGUGUCUGAAACCUUUUUUGAACGAAAACACGGAGCAAAUGUGAGCUUCUCGCAGGCUAAGGUUCCAAGAGAGGUUACAUAUGUUUACCAUGAAGUGUCAUAUGAACUUGUACAGAUUGAUUUCCGAUGUUUCUUUUUCCCGGUAAUUUCUUAUUUUAAAUCUUAUUGCUUGUCUUUGUGUAUGUGCGUUGGGCUGGAGGCUCCAUUGAAAUGGUGUUUCCUCAAAUUAUGAAUUAUAAUGCUCGUAAGUGUUAAUAUCAUCUCUUCUAGUCCAGCUUAUUAAGAAAGUCUUUCAGAAUCCUAUUCAAACAUAUUCCUUUUUUUUUUGUUUUUUGGAAGGAAAGAUUUUCUUGCUGGAAAUGUUGUUAAUUAACAAGGAUUCUGGUUGUAUUAACUAUUUUGUAAACAAAUUCUUUCAUCUGUACUACAAUAGCAGAUGACGGAGCUCACUGGGAAUAUUUUAUAUUUUUACCAUUGAUGUGAUAACUAAUAUAAGGCAUAAUGGUUUCUGUACCAUUUCCAGCCUCAGCCUGAUUCCAAUACUUGUGGAUCAAAGCAGAAAGUUGCCACACCACCUGUAGGUCCUGGAGAGCUUCCUUCAACGGGUUCAAACAAACCCAAGGAGUGGAGUUGUGCCCUCUGUCGGGUCAGUGCUACUACCGAGAGAGGUCUAGAUGAGCAUCUUCAAGGUAGGAAGCACAAGGCCAGGGUUUCAGGACUAAUUAGAGAUAAGAAAAUGUGCAGUAACUCCACUUCAUCCACGUCAAAAAAAUCUACUGAAAGCAGAGAUGGUGUUGGCCAAGAAAUGAAGACUAAAGUACAAGAGGAAUCAGUUAAAGCUAAUAAAACUGUUGUUGGUCUAGACCAGAAAGGGGAGGUUGGUCUAGAUGAGCAUCCUCAAGGUAAGAAGCAGAAGGCCAAGGAAGAAGAACUACUUGGAGCUCAGAAGUGGAUAAAAAAUCUAAUGAAAGCAGAGAUAGUGCUGGCCAAGAAAUGAAGACUAAAGUAGCAGAGGAAUCAGUUAAAGCUAAUAGAACUGUUGUUGGUUUAGACCAGAAAGAGGAGGGUUGUCAAGCCCUGCAGGUUAAGCCCUAUCCCAACCUUUGUGGAUCAAAGCAGGAAGCUGCCACACUACCUGCAGGUUCUGGUGAGCUCCCUUUGACCAGUUCAAGGAAACCCAUGGAUUAAAGCUGUGCCCUCUGUCAGGUCAGCACUACUCACAACAGAGAUCCAGAUUAGCAUCUUCAAGGCAAGAAGCACUAGGCCAAGGAAGGAGGACUACUUGGAGAUGAGAAGAUGUGCAGUAACUCCACUUCCAGAAACUCUACUGAAAACAGAGAUAGUGCUGGCCAGGAAAUUAAGGCUACUCUAGAAGAGGAAUCAGUUACACCGAAUAAAAAUAUCGUUGAUUUAGACCAGAAAGUGGAGGGUGGUCAAGAUGAGCAUCUUCAAGGUGAGAAGCACAAGGCGGAGGAAGCGGAGCUAAUUGGAGCUCAGAAGAUGUGCACUACCUCAUCUUCAUCGACAUCAAAAGAUUCUGGAAAGACAAGUAGACCAGAAAGUGGGUUAAGACCAGAAAGUGCUGGCCAAGAAAUGAAAGCUAAAGUAGAAGAGGAAUCAGUUAAAGCUAUUAAAACUGUUGUUGGUUUAGACCAGAAAGUGCAGGGUGAAGAAGAUUCAGAGAACAAAAAUAAGGAGCUGCUAAAGAAGGACUUGAAUGCAAACACUCAGAAGAUGACAAAUGGAAUACCGACUGGAGAGACGAUGAAGAGAAAACUUCCCCUUAGAGAGAAUUUCGAAUUCUGGUGUGAAGUUUGUCGAGGAGCUCAGAAGAAAUGAAGAGAAACUUCAUAUAUGCAUGGUUAUGACAUUGGACUCUUCGGCUCAAAGCAAAUUUUUCUUGAUCAUGACCUGACAUUAGUUUAUCUUUUGCUGGCAGGUAGUUGGCGGGAUAUCACUAACCACAACUUAUGCAGAAGCUUCCUAACAUCAGCGGUGGGUCCAGGAUGUUUGAUCGGAUCAGCUAAAUUAUUGUAUAUGUUUGUGUGAAUAUUUACAAAGGAGUGAAAAAACUAAUAUAUUAAAUAUCAAGAACCUCGUUCUGAAUGAAGUUUAUAUAUAUAAUUUGUAAAAUAAACUAAUAAUUAAAAUGACAAUUUACCCUUUUAACUCGUAGAGAUACAACCUUAAAUAAUAACAAGAGAGGAGCUCUCCAGGAUGCUUGUAGUGUCUAAAAAAUUAUCAUCAAUGAAAAUGGGAAUGGGAGGGCGUGGUGGGGUUGAUGAUCUAAGACUCUUUGCUCAUCACUGGUGGCCGUAAUAAUGGGGGCUUGGAGCACCUUCACUUCAACCCCCAGCAGCUCCUCGGCCUUUACCACUCAAUGAGCAAACCCUCUGGCGGCAGCAGCAUCUCCUGUGGCUAUCAUUGUUGCUGAACGAUAAAUUUGUGCUGCCCCUGAGAAGCUGAAAUUGCAAGAACAAGGCAGCAACUCAAAAACCAGCAAUCUUUUAAAUGUAAGCAAGCAUAAUAAUUAUUCAUAAAACGUUGAAACACAAAGUCCUGCUAGAUUCAAAAUUUAGAAGACUCGUGAUACAAUAAGAACUUAAAGUGUAUAUACGAUUAUGCAUUACAAGUGAAGUUGCAUGCUAUAUGAAGUUUUAAAAUAUGUCUCACUUUUCAAUGAUUUCUGGUAAAUCGCUAAUCCGAUAAUAUCAAAUAUCCUUCAUAAUCUUCAUCUUCCUCUUCUUCGUCGUCAUCGUCUUCUUUAGAUAUUUUUCCUCCUUCAACACCGUUAACCAUAUUUUUCAACUGCAAUGUCAGUUUGGAAGUAAUAUUUAUGAAGUUCAACAAGUUUCAAAUUUUGAUAUUGUUUGAAAUGUGAAUGAUAAGUACAACUUCUACCAUUAUUUAUAGAAAAAUAUGCAAUAUUGGCUUUGAGGAAAUAUAAUAAAGUUUACAAUUAAGAAAGGUGUAAUCCUAAAUCUCGAAAAAUCUGAUACUAAAUCUUAAAAUGUAAAUAUUUAAAUCCCGAAGAAUCCGAUGCAUAUUCUAACAGAUAGUGUUAUAAUUGUUGGAUUUACAUGGAGUCUAAUUAUAGUAUUAACGUUAGUACUCGAAUUCUCAUAUGAUCUAAACUUCUCUUGAGUAAAACUCACAUGGGAGAUUUGUGAUCCAUAAAUAAUUAUAUAAAAAAAAGAUAGUAAUUAAAUCAUAAUCGGGAGCGCUUAGAUCUUUUUUAUUUUUACUAUGAAGAGCUCAAUCGGGAGAAAAUUUAAAUUUUUAAGGGGAAAAAGCAACCCACACUCCCGAAGUUUGCUUAAAUAGUCACACAAACCCCCUUAAUUUCAUAAAUGAUGGAUUGCAUACCAUUAAGUCUAAAUUUCAUAAAUACUGUAAUAUUUUUAUCUAAUGAUGAAGAUAACGAUGAGAGGAGCUCUCUAGGAUGCUUUCCCAUUAGUACUUCUAGUGCCACCACUCCAAAGCUAUAAACAUCAGAUUUCUCCGUCACAACCAUGGUGUAGGCAAGUUCUGUAUGAAAACAGAAGCCUUUAUUAGUGAUGUUUCCUAAAUAAUAACAAGAGCAAUUUGUUUAUAUCUUUGAGCUUCUGCAGCAAGGUAUGACAGAGAACCAUAUGUUUUUAACUGAUAUUUAAAGUGUAUUUUUUUUUUAAAAAAAAGUGAAACUGGUAGGCAAAGUUCAAAUUCAUUUUUCCAGCUCUUUACCUAUUCAAAAAUUUGAACCUAAGUAGCUAAUUAAAUAAAACUGCUUAAAAAUUACUUAACCGAGUAUAUACAAAAAUUAAUUAAAAGAAUAAUUAAAGAAGCAGAAGAAGAAUAGCUAGAAGAUUACCAGGAGCAAUAUAUCCAUAAGUGCCAGCCAAUAGAGUUCGAUUGGAUGAGUCAAAAUUUAAUAAUCUAGCAACGCCAAAGUCAGCAACAAAUGCUUCUAAUUCUGAGUUGAGUAGAACGUUGUUGCUUGAUAUGUCGCGGUGAACAAUUGGUGGUGUGCAGUCAUGAUGCAAGUAUGACAAAGCAUGAGCCAUGCCCUUCACACCGUUCACCCUUUUAGUCCAAUCCAACCCAACAGCUUCCUCAUCUAUGCGUAGAAUACAUAACAAGCUUCCCAUUUCCAUGUACUCAUAGAUCAAGAACACGCAGUUCUCGUGCAAACAAAAGCCGUAAAGCUUUACGAUAUUUCGAUGCCGUAUUUGGGACAGUAGACGAGCCUCAUUCCGGAAACUCUCGAGGGAAGCUAACUCCUCAGUUUCUGAACGGUGAAGCUUCUUCAAAGCAACCACUUUUCCACUGGGCAGCCGUGCUCUGUAAACGCUGCCGUAGCCUCCGGUUCCAAUGCAGUAUUUGAUAUGGAAAUCCUCAGUAGCUUCAAUCAUGUCUUGAAAUGUAAUUCUACCGUCGUAAUUCCAAAUUGCAAACUCAUCAGCGCACUUGGUGAUUUCUUCUGUCUCAGCUGGUUCAACUCUCUUAUCCCUUCGUCUACGGACAAACAAGAUUCCAAAUAUCAAGGCAAGGAAUGCGACCAUAGGGAGAAUAAUUGCAACCAAGCGAGUGACAAUCUUUUUGUGAUGUGGCGGUGGCGAAUUUGCCGAAGUAUUUGGGAUUUCUACCUCGAAAUUGUUGCCUGACACAUAUAAGAGAGGCACUUUUUUGACAGAUUCAGGGAUGCUACCGGAAAGGCUAUUCAUGGAAAGGUUCACGGUAUCUAUGCGUCGAAUUUCUCCAAGCUGGGAAGGUAUUUUACCAUUAAUCAAGUUAUGGCUUAAAUCAAGAUAAUUUAGUUCUUGAAGUUUGCCAAUCUCUGACGGAAUGCUUCCGCUUAACAAGUUGUUUCCCAAUAUUAAUAUCCGCAGCUUUGAGCAAUUCAUGAGUUCUGGAGGAAUUGGACCAUCAAGUUUGUUGUUGUACAUAUUUAAAGUAGUUAGCUGAGUCAAAUGACCCAGGGACGACGGGAUUGGACCAACAAGUUUGUUUUCGGACAAUUCUAAAUCUGUCAACCUAUUUAAAUGACCAAGUGUUAAAGGAAUAGAUCCAGUUAGAUUGUUAUAUUCCAGGGACAGAGAUGUCAAGUUGACUAAACCAGCUAUGGUGGAAGGAAUUGGACCUUCAAGUUUGUUGUCGGACAGGUCAAGAACUUGAAGAAAGUUCAAAUUCCCGAUUUCUAAUGGGAUGGAACCAUUGAUUAGGUUUGAGUGCAUAUAAAAAGUAGUUAGCUGAGUCAAAUGACCUACAGACGAAGGGAUUGGGCCAACAAGUUUGUUCUGGGACAAGUCUAAACUUCUCAACCUCUUUAAAUGGCCAAGUGUUUGAAGGAAUUGAACCUCCAAUUUCAUUUCAGGACAGGUCAAGAACUUGAAGAAAGUUCAAAUUCCCGAUUUCUAAUGGGAUGGAAACAUCAAUGUGGUUUGAGGCAAUAGCCAAAGUAGUUAGAUGGGUUAGAUGACCUACAAUGGAGGGGAUAUUACCAACAAGGGAGUUAGAAGACAAGUGCAAAUUUUCCAAUUUGCUUAGACGACCAAGAGUUGGAGGGAUAUAUCCCCAGAGGAAAUUAUCAGAUAGAUCCAGGUGGACGAGAUUCCUCCAUCUCCCCAUCUCUGAAGGGAUAAUUCCUGUUGCGCAUGUGAUUUAUGAAAAACGAGAUCAGUAUUCACUAUCCUCAUAGAAAUAAAAUUUAUAAAGAAAUGCUUAGGUUGUAAAAAUUAAUAGAUUUUUUAGUGCUCUAAUAGUUUUUUUUUUCUUAUUUUUUGUUGGGGCUCGUCAAUGCUGCAAAUUUUAGACUGAAAGUUAAAUCUGCAGAUGCAACAAAUAUAUCAAUAAAUUAAUACAAAACUAUGGAGAUUAGAGAGAAUCACUCUCAGUGCUCUCAAUUGACUACCCUAUUGUUGUGCAAAUUUUAAUGAACUCGCAAGCGCACGAAUCUAUUGUAGUAUAGACUAAUGGUGACGAGUGUCGAUCCCACGAGGAGGUGGAUUUUAAUUAUAUAUAGAAUUAAUUUUGUAAAUGGGUGGUUGGAAUUGUGGUGGAAGUGAUUUAAAUUAUCCUAAAAUUGGAAUUGAAAUGGCGAUAAUAAAUUCUAAAAUUGGACUUGCAAUGGCGAGAAUAAAUUGAAGAGAAAUCUAUUAAAAUGACUUAUUUGGGUAUCUGGAUCCGUAUCAACAUGCAUCAUGGGCUAAAUAUUCCUUAUUAAUGCCAAUUAAAUCAUGAGGGGGGAAUCCACACCUCAUGAACCACGCUCUAAUCAAUAUGGUGCUAAGGGCUUAUCGUGCCAAAUAAUAAUAACCUUGUACUAGAGGGCCGGUGAAACCAAGGCGGUACUAGACAAGAUUAGUAUUAUUUGUCGACGAGAAGUCAAAACAUCCACAAAAACUAGAGGGGAAGAGAAAAUAAAUUUACCAAAUUAAGCCCAUGACACAUGUUGAGACUUCACCUUCAACCCAAGCUUGAAAGAAAAUUAGCCACUCAUAAUUGAACUAGGGGCAAAAUGAGAAUUUAUUAAAAUACGAAGAAAAUACAAGAUAAAGAAGGAAUUACAGAAAAUAAAGUCCAAAAAUGGAUUCAGCGAUAUCAAAUUAGGGGGGGGAGGCCCCCUUUUUAUAGAUACAUGGAGUAAAUUAUGGCCAUCGGAUUAAAAACAGUUUGGACGCUCAGGAUUACGCCACGUCAUCAGUCAACAGUCCACGGUUUGACCACGUGGAUGAACAGUAAUACGGUUUGACUCGGAUGAACAGUAACGCGGUUUGGUUGAAAAUAAUCCUGUGUGAUGCAUGUACCGUACGCGAGAUUUUUCGUCCACUGAUAUGCUGCCACGUCACCAUCAACAGUACAUAAGAAUUUUAGCCCAACAGGAUCGUGACACCUCAUCAGUCAAUGCCACAUCAUCAUCUGUCUAUGUGAACAGUGUCGUGAACAGUAACGUAUAUACAGUACCGUACACGUGAAUAGUACCGUACAUGUGAUCAGUGCCAUUUUUCUUUUUAUGCUUCUCCUAAGGUUUUCGACCGUCCUGAGUUCAAAAGUGAUGUCCGUUUUGCCAUCUGAUUUCUCGUUUAUUGUGAAAUGACUAUGAUGCCCCUAAAAUACAUAAAAUACUUAAUUAAAAUAAAACACAUGUAAUUAAAUCACAAGAAAGUUAAAUACAUAAAAGUAAGGGUUGUUAAUAAGACUUGAAAUGUAAAAUGACGGUUUUCUCCUUUAUAAAUAUGCAUUUUCUAACACUCAACACACCCCCCAACCAGUUUAUUGCUAGUCCCUAGCAAAUAAAGCGAAAACAAAAAAAAUAAUUUUUUUUAAUAGAAACACUCAUAUUUAUUCCAUCAGAUUAAUGAUAGCAAUUAAAUAAAAGUAUAAGCAUUAUCUCCAGUCUAAAGCAACAUCACACCCACAUCAACCAUCCACAUGAAUCAGCCCAGUAGACUUUGUCAUAGCUACUUUCAAGAAUGACAUGUCAAACCCCAAACUGGAAGUAGUGACACUCUCACAAAGAAAUUAAAACCAAUAAAAAUAGUCACUCCAAUGAAUGGUAAUUGAGAGAGAAAAUAAUAAAGAAGUGAUAUCACAUGCUCUCACCAAAAUGAAAUAAAUAUGCCCUCAGCUUAGAAAUAAUACGAUCUCAAGUCAAAUAAAAAUGCUAGUUAACCCAAUUUAUUUGUCUUAUUUAUUUAUUUAUUUAUUUUUAUUAUGCAGCACUACAUCUUUUUAGCUCAUAUAACUAGCUUCUACUUCAGACUAUAGUUCCCUAAACUCAAGAAGGACUUUUAUUAGGACGUACCGUAGGUUAGGGACAUGGUUAACAAAGAAGGGAAAUAAGGAAAAUAAAGUGUAUGUUUGAGAAAAAAAAAUUGCAGGGAUUUUUUUUUUUUUGGAAGUUGCAAGGUGGAUUUCACCUAUUGUUGUUAUUUUUUUAUUUUUUAUUUUUCUUUUGAAACAACAAUUUUUGUUUUUUUGUUUUUUGUUUUUUUUUUACUUUUAUUUGGCAUAACUUCACUGAACAAAAAUACUUAUUUACAUUUUUCUCAAACAUAAAUAGGUGAUGGAACUUAUAAGACAUUGGGUAAUACUCCAAAUCGGAGUGGGUCAAGAUAAGUUAAACAAAUAAAAGGUUUUUUUUUUUUUUAAAAAAAGGCUCAAAAUGGUUAACUAUGGAUAUUUCACAAAAGGGAUGGCUAGAAAGGCUCAAACGGAUCAAAGAUGGCCUUUCCAUCGUCUUUUAGGGCUCUAAAUAAUCAUCCAUAUCUACUAGUUAGAUGGGCCUCCCAAUGUAGCAACAUACAUUUUUUUUUCUUUUUCUUUUUUUUUUAUUUUACCAUUUUUUUUAAGGGUUAACUCAAAAGAAAUCUAGAGAUCGUGUAUAAAAUAAUAAACUGCUAAGCUGUAUAGAGAAUGGGCAAAAGGGUUACUCUCCAAGAAAAUGAUAGGCUCAACAACUCACUUGGCAUUUAUUUAUAGCAUGUUCAUUCCUUCAAGCAACUUAUAUUUGUCUCCGACAUCAACAUGUAAAGUAGCAAACAUAGCGUAACAUCACUUAAGACUAAAGAUAAUACAAAUACUAAAAUUUGAAAUUAAUCAUGUCAUCCAAUGUUAAAACAAAUCACACAAAUUAUUAUUAUUAUUUUUUAAACAACAUUCUACCCCCCAACCUAUUCUAAGCAUGAAAGGAAAAUAUGCAUGCAGAAAUGUGAAUAUGAUGCAGAAAAACUAAUUAGAAAAGUUACACUUAAAAUGAUGGAAAACCAAAAUGAUUUUUUUUUUAAAGAAGAUGCGUUUCUAGAGGAACUACACUCCAUAUUCAGCCAUCUUCGACUCACAAGUUGGAAAAUGUAUAUUUAUAGAGGAGAAAUUAAAAAGAAGAAAAAUAAACAUAAAAACAUAAUACAGAAAAAGAAAAUGUCUGAAAUUUUUUUAAUUUUUUUUUAAUUUCUUUAACGAUGAAGAUGCGUUUCUAGAGUAACUAUACUCCAUAUUCAGCCAUCUUCAACACAAAAAGUUAGCAACAGUUAGUUUCUACAACAAAAAAUUAGUAAAAACUUAACCAAAAUUCCACAUUUGUCGACUAUUCCCUCCCCCCAACCAGAACGAAACAUUAUCCUCAAUGUUUUAAAGGAAAGAAGUAGAGUUUAGAAGACAUCACCUGGGUGGUGCAACACAGAAGAAAAUAUUUAUAGGCGGAGAGUUAAAUCUAAUUUUUACUUCUUACUGCGGCUACUGUUACCAUCAUUAUUUGGAGGCUCCAACCCCAACACAAAGGUCUAGGGGUCUGGGUCCGGUUUAUAAGCUUGUAACAGAUCAAGUAGCUCAUUAGCAGUGUGAGCACAAAUAAAGAGUUUUUUCGCAUUAGGGGGAAUGAAAUAGUUUUUUAUUGCAUGGUUAAGAAAUGCGAUAAAGCCAUCAUAAAAGUUAUUGACAUUUAACAAACCGAUGGGUUUCUGGUGGAUGUACAGAUGGGCCCAAGAUGCUAGUGUGAUAAGUGCCUCUAGUGUUGCAAGAUCUCCUGGAAGGAAAAUAAAAGCAUCAGCAUGAUUAAGCAUUUCAGUUAUUCUUUCUUGCAUACCUGAGACGACUAACUCUUCUCCAGUUGAUGAGUCAAACGAACUACCCAAAGGUUUUAGGGCUCUUGGGAUGAUGCCUAACACUUGGCUGCCUCUGAUAAAAGCUGCUUCUGAGACCAUUUUUGUUAACCCUCGAUUACCUCCUCCAUACACCAAGUGUAAUUUUCUCGCUGCUAUGCUGCGACCAAGAUCUAUGGCUGCCUCAACAAACUCUUUAUGUUUGCCAUAUGAAAAUCCAGAAAGCACACAAAUGUUCUUGAAUUGUCUAUUUGGAGUAGCUGCCAUUGGGAUACUUCUCAAAAAAUAAUUUGUUAGUGCUUGACAAAAAAAAUCACAUUUAAGAGUCUUGGUGACAAUGGGUCACAGUUGUGUAUGAGGUAACAUGUCAGUGUCAAAUAACGCGUAAAGCACGUGGCUCGCGAGUCAAAAAGGAAACAGUAAAAAGGGAAAAAGAAAACAAUAAUAAGGAAAAAGCAAACAGUAAUAAAAUUAUUAAAGACAAUAAUGCACACAGUAAAACAAUAGUGAAAUAAAAUAACAGUAAAGUGAAAGGAUAUUUACAGGUAGUUGCGACUGUGGCUCACAUCUUCCUCUGGUUUUACGUCCAGAAACGGCUUGAACGCCCUCUAUGGGUCGAGGAUAGGCUUCAUAUCCAGUUUUCUUAUAAAUUGGCAAACAGGGUCGUUUAUAGUCAGAUUCCCGAGACUAUAUCGUGCAUGCUCUUUCUGGAAUAAUGGCCAUAACUGGAGAAUCGCUCCUUGCACAUAUCCACUGGGAUGCGUUUCAAGAGGCAAAAGGAUAUCAUCCAAUGACUCCUUAUUCAAGCCAUCCUUAAUGAAUUGAAUCUUAUCUUCCCUGUUAUCAGACAUCAUUCCUAAAGAACAUGGGUUUUUAUUGCAACUCAUUCUGGCACACUUAUGACAAGCAACAGAAAUUCUUCGAGCUCGUCAUUUUCUUGCAUAAUUUCCUUUACCACAACCAGGCAUGUAUGUAAUAAAUUUUGGAGGUAACUCACCUGUCGAUCGUACUUUAGCCUCGAUUAACCAACGGAUGUCAGCAGGUAUGUUAUUCCUCAAGAGUAAUCGGAUGCGUUCGGACCGAACUUUAUAGAUCGUAAGGAGGGCACUCUGACGAAGUAAAGGGAAUCGCUUGUGAAGCUUCGCUAGAAUCUCGUUUCUGUCCAUACUUUCGCCUCAGAAUAUUAGUUAUUAUGGGAAACUGAAGUAACCGACUUGAUUGUCACGGAGUACCGUUAUCCGCCACUUCACCGGGGUAACAAACUAAAGCACACAAAUAGAAAAACAAAUUAAAACACACAAAGAAAAUUAAAAUCGUCCUCUUAUUGAAUUUACCUCAAGCUCCAACUGGAUGUCAUAAACACUUCUCUCAAUGUCUCUGAGUUGGCUUUCUAAACCCUCAACAUAGGCUACUAACUCUGGUGGUUGUAGAGUCCAAAUACGAUGUGUUUUACAAAAUUGAAUCUGUCUUUUGAGAUGAGUUUUGACACGUUAAAGUGGUUUAAGAAUGUUCAGGAGGAACGGUCUAAGUAUGAGACUCAUGAUUAACAAUGAUAAGAGAAAACUUACUAGUUAAACAAACACACUUAUGCAAAAAUAAUUUCAAUUAGCAAAAGAAUAAUAUAAAGAAAGAAAGAAAAAUCAAAUCAACGAAAAGAAAAAUCAAUUCAAAUCUGGUGGGUCACUCAAAUUUAUUUCGGUGUCUUCUCCAUGUGGUUGGUAUUCUAGAUAUGGUUUUAAUCUUUGACCAUUAACUUUAAACGUGACACCGUUCUUUGGGUCCUUAAUUUCAAUUGCCCUAUGUGGAAAAAUAGUAUGAACAAUAAAUGGGCCAGACCAACGAGAGCGUAACUUACCUGGGAAUAGGUGCAAACGAGAAUUGAAUAAAAGCACUUUCUGACCUGGAGUGAAAGAUUUUCUCAUAAUUUGCUUGUCAUGGAAGGCUUUCAUUCGUUGCUUGUAAAUCUUGGCAUUUUCGUACGCGUCAUUGCGAAUUUCUUCAAGUUCUGCCAGCUGUAAUCUUCUUUCUGAGCUGGCUUGCUGCAUGUCAAAAUUGAAUUUCUUGAUGGCCCAAUAUGCACGAUGCUCGAGUUCCACAGGUAGGUGGCAAGCUUUUCCAUACACUAGCCUGUAGGGUGACAUCCCAAUCGGGGUCUUGAAAGCCGUUCUAUAUGCCCAUAAUGCACCAUCAAGUCUUAAUGACCAAUCUUUCCUGUCUGGCCUCACUGUCUUUUCUAAUAUGUGCUUUAUUUCUCGAUUGGAAAUCUCAACUUGGGCACUGGUUUGCGGAUGAUACGGGGUCGCCACUUUGUGUGUGAUUGAAUACUUUGUCAAAAGAGCCUUGAAUGGUUUGUUACAAAAGUGGGCACCACCAUCACUGAUUAUUGCUCGAGGGAAUCCAAAGCGCGAAACAAUGUUGCUUUUCAAAAAUCCUAUCACCACCUUGUGAUCAUUGGUCCUACAUGAAAUUGCUUCUACCCAUUUCGAUAUGUAGUCAACAGCAACCAAUAUGUAUUGAUGGCCAAAAGAAUGGGGAAAGGGUCCCAUGAAGUCGAUACCCCAUACAUCAAAAAUCUCAACCACUAAAAUUGGAUUUAGUGGCAUCAUGUUCCUUCGUGUAAUGCUCCCCAUUCGUUGACACCUAUCACAUGAAGAACAAAAAGUGUAAGCAUCUUGAAAUAUAGUUGGCCAAUAAAAACCACAUUGUAAAACUUUAGUUGCUGUUUUCUUAGCACUGAAAUGGCCUCCACAAGCUUGUUCAUGGCAGAAUGAAAGAAUAUUCUGAAUUUCAUUUUCUGGGACAUAUCGUCUAACAAUUUGGUCUGCACAAUACUUGAACAAAUACGGGUCAUCCCAAAAGAAAUUCUUUAUCUCUGCAAAUAAUUUAGCCUUAUCUUGCUUGGUCCAAUGCUCUGGAAGUUUACCUGUAACAAGAUAAUUAACUAUAUCACCAUACCAAGGCAAUACUUCCGCACUCAUUAAUUGUUCAUCUGGAAAUGACUCAUUCAAUAUUAAUGGCUCUGUAAUUGUGUCAAAAUGGAGACGAGAGAGGUGGUCCGCCACAACAUUUUCUGUCCCUUUCUUAUCUUUGAAUUCCAAGUCAAAUUCCUGCAAAAGUAACACCCAAUGAAUUAGUCUGGCUUUUGCAUAUUUCUUUAUGAGAAGAUAUUUAAGAGCAGCAUGAUCCGUGAAUAUAAUUAUUUUACAACCAAUGAGAUAGGAUCGAAAUUUUUCCAAUGCAAACACUACUGCUAGCAUUUCUUUUUCAGUAGUUGAAUAAUUCAACUGGGCAUCAUUUAAUGUCAUACUAGCAUAGUAAAUAACGUGGGGAAUUCGAUCAACUCUUUGUCCUAAUACUGCUCCUACUGCAUAAUCAGAUGCAUCACACAUGAGCUCAAAUGGUAAGUUCCAGUUCGGGGACUGAAUGAUGGGUGAUGAUGUCAAUAAAUGCUUUAAUUUUUCAAACGCAACAAGACAUGAAUCAUCAAAGACAAAAGGUACAUCCUUAGCAAGUAGAUUGCAUAAGGGUCUAGAAACUUUGCUAAAAUCUUUAAUGAAACGUCUAUAGAAACCAGCAUGCCCAAGGAAAGAUCUUACUUCUCUGACUAUUUUGGGUGGAGGAAGAUUAGAAAUGAGAUCCACUUUAGCUUUGUCAACCUCAAUACCAUUGCUCGAAAUAAUGUGACCAAGAACAAUACCUUGUUUUACCAUAAAAUGGCACUUCUCCCAAUUUAAGAUCAAGUUCUUCUCAAUACAUCUCUGCAGAACUAGUGUUAGAUGAUGUAAACAUUGAUCAAACGAAUCACCAAAGACAGAAAAGUCAUCCAUAAAGACUUCAAGGAAUCGUUCAACCAUAUCAGAAAAAAUGCUCAACAUGCAUCGUUGAAAUGUAGCAGGUGCAUUACAUAAUCCAAAUGGCAUUCUCCUAUAUGCAAAAGUGCCAAAAGGGCAAGUGAAAGUGGUUUUCUCCUGAUCUUUUGGUGCUAUGGGGAUCUGAUUAUAUCCUGAGUAGCCAUCUAAAAAGCAAUAAAAUUCAUGACCUGCUAAUCUAUCAAGCAUUUGAUCAAUAAAUGGUAAAGGAAAAUGGUCUUUACGUGUGACAGAAUUCAACUUUCUAUAAUCAAUGCAUACACGCCAUUCUGUAGUUACUCUAGUUGGUAUCAAUUCAUUAUCAGCAUUCAUAACUACUGUGACUCCUGACUUUUUAGGGACAACUUGUACAGGACUGACCCAUGAACUAUCAGAAAUUGGGUAAAUGAUACCUGCGUCUAAUAGCUUAAGGACUUCAGUUCUAACAACUUCUUUCAUAUUAGGAUUUAACCGACGUUGCAUUUCCCUAGUAGAUUUAGCAUUUUCAUCGAGGUGAAUGUAAUGCAUGCAGUCUACUGGGUUUAUACCUUUCAUGUCUGCUAUAGUCCAUCCUAAUGCUCCUUUGUGCUCUUUUAAAACAUCCAACAACUUACCUUUUUGUUCGUCAUUGAGGGAUGAUGAGAUGAUUACCGGCAGAGUGCUUUCUUCUCCCAAAAAUGCAUAUUCCAGAGUGUUGGGUAAUGGUUUGAGCUCGAGUUUCGGUGGUGAUUCUGAUGAUGGGAUGAGUUUCUUCUCUGAUGGUGCUAGUUGUUCAACUCUUGACUUCCAUUUAUUAGUGUCCAUGGAUGGUGCUAAGUCAAGUAGGGCAUUGACCUCAUCGACCGAUCUGUUAAUAUUAAAAUCAAAACCAAAGUGAGUUAAACAUGUUUGUAAAGGAUCAUCACUAAGGUUUGAAAGAAAAGUGUUAUCAACUAUUGUUUCAAUUAAAUCCACAUCAAUAAUUCCAUCAUCUGCAUUGUGAGGUUGUUUGGCAAUGUUGAAGAUGUUCAGUUCCAUAGUCAUAUUGCCGAAGGACAACUGCAUAUUUCCAGUUCUGCAUUGAAUGUGAGCAUCCGCAGUUGCCAAGAAAGGUCGGCCUAGGAUAAUGGGGAUGUGCUUCCUUGAAUCCUGUAUUGGUUGAGUGUCAAUUACAAUGAAAUCAACAGGAAAAUAGAACUUGUCUACCUGGAUAAGCACGUCCUCCACAAUACCACGAGGUAUUUUUGUGGACCAAUCUGCAAGUUGUAACACCAAUGGAGUUGGGUGUAAUUCUCUCAAUCCAAGUUUCACGAAUACUGAAUAAGGCAACAGAUUUACACUAGCUCCUAAAUCCAACAAAGCAUUCUCAAUUGUGUGGUUCCCUAUACUGCAUGAGAUAGUGGGGGAGCCUGGGUUUUUGCAUUUUAAAGGAAUUUUAUGUUGGAGUAUAGAACUAACGUUUUCUGUUAAAAAUGCCUUCUUUUGAACAUGUAUAUUUCUCUUUUUAGUACAAAGGUCUUUAAGAAACUUGGCAUAAGAUGGAACUUGUUUAAUAGCAUCAAGCAAAAGGAUGUUAACACUUACCUGUUUGAAGAUUUCAAGAAUCUCACCUGUGGAUUUUCCCUUUUUUCCUUUAGCUAAUCUCUGAGGAAAUGGAGCUUUGGGAACAUAUUCCCGUGGGUUGGUUUUUUCUUUCUCCUCCGGUGAUGAGUCCUCAAGACUCACAUGUACAAUUUGAUUUUCUUUUGUCACCGACAUCUCCACUUUGUUGUCGACUUCUUUUCCUUUUCUCAAGGUCAUAACUGCUUUGACUUCUCCAUGCUGUUGUAGUGAACUGGUACUUGCUUCAUGCACUCCUUUAGGAUUAGGCACUGGUUGACUUAGAAAUUUACCUUUCCCAACAGUCAUUGCCAAGGUCUGAACUGAAGAAGCCAGUUGUCCCACCAUCUUCUCGAGGCUUGAAACUGAUUGGGCUUAUGAGUUGAAGCCCGCUCUCAAUUCAUUUCGUAGUCCAUCAAUGGUGCGGUUCUGUUGCUCAAUCGUGGAGUGAAUAACAUUCUUGAAAUUCUGGAAUGCAUCCUCCCAUGGUCUGGGUUGAGAGUAGUUCUGGUUUUGAUUGUAUGGACUAAAUGGGGGCUGAGAGGCUUAAGGAUUUUGUGGAAUUUGUUGCAUUGGUGUAGCUGGAGCUGCUGGUCCAUUCUGUUGGAAUCCUUGAGACCAUGAAAAAUUAGGGUGGUCUCUCCAUCCAGGGUUAUAUGUGUUGGAGUAUGGGUUGUAAUUUGAUGGCUUUCUCAUUACACCUAUGGCAUUGGCUUGAUCUGAGUAUAAGUCAUGGUCAUGUGGCUCUGUUGAUUUAGCAGUCGAUAACGAUGCUAUUUGUCGAGCAAGACCUUCAACCAUCUCCUUGACUUCUUUGAUUCCCGAAGUUGACUCGCCAAUUUGAACCUCAUUCACUCCUUUAAUUCUUCUAGUAUUCCGGAGUGAUCGACUCCGUUGUUGGGAAUUAUCCGCUUGUCGUUGAAAGAAUUCCCAAAUCUCUGAUGCACUUUUUGACAUUAGCUCUCCUCCACUUGUUGCCAUUAGCCAUUCCUGCACAUUCGGCAAUAAUCCCUCCAAAAAGUAUUGGCAUUGGUGCCAUUUCUCGUACCUAUGAUGUGGACACUUCAAGAGUAGCCAAUUGAAUCGUUCCCACGUUUCGAAAAACUACUCGUCUUCUCUCUGUGUAAACUCUGAAAUUUCCCUGCGAAUAGCAUUGGUUUUAUGCACUGGGAAAUAUUUAUUCAAAAAUUUUGUAACCAUUUGUUCCCAUGAUGUGAUGCUAUUAGCAGGCAAAGUAUUUAACCAUGAACGAGCUCUAUCCUUUAAAGAAAAUGAGAAUAAUCUGAGUUUAACAUCAUCGUUUGAAAAAUUUUCAUAUUUAAAAGUUUGACAAAUUGCAUGAAAAUCAUUCAGAUGAUUAUAUGGGUCCUCAUUUUCUAGGCCAUAAAAUGUUGGGAGACAAUUUAGCACACUGGGUUUUAAUUCAAAACUUCUAGCAGCUACAUUUGGGUAUCUUAUGCAUGAUGUGCUCAAAUUAGCUAAGGGACUAAAAUAGUCCUUAAAUGGCCUCUCUUGUGGUGCUUGUAAAUCCAUUCCAAUUUUAUUUUUAAUGUGCUUUUGUGUGCGAAGUAUUUUUCAAGUUCAAGGUCUAUAGGUUCAAGAUUGGGUAAUAAUGACCUUCGACCAUGCAUGCAAAACAAAUAAAAUAAAAAAUAAAGAUGGGAACAAAAUAAAUAAAAAUAAAGAAAAAGAAGAAAUUACGAUACUAACCUUAUUGCGCUAUUACAACCUUUCUAUAAAAAUACACAAAAAUAAAUACGUGAAAUAAAUUAACUAAAAAUUAAAUUAAUUAAAUAAAAAAAUUACAAAGAAAAAUAAAUUGAAAAUUAAAUCACAGAAUUUUAAAGAAGAGAAAAAGAAAAGAAAUACUAACCUUUAAAUGUAGAUUCACUUUUUUUUUCUUUUUUUUUAAUAAAAAUAAAAAAAUACAAGAAAACAAAUAAAAGAAAUUAUUCACAAAAAUUAAUUCUAUGAAUUAAAAGUACUUACCUCCCCGGCAACGGCGCCAAAAACUUAUUGUGCAAAUUUUAAUGAACUCGCAAGCACACGAAUCUAUUGUAGUAUAGACUAAUGGUGACGAGUGUCGAUCCCAUGAGGAGGUGGAUUUUAAUUAUAUAUAGAAUUAAUUUUGUAAAUGGGUGGUUGGAAUUGUGGUGGAAGUGAUUUAAAUUAUCCUAAAAUUGGAAUUGAAAUGGCGAUAAUAAAUUCUAAAAUUAGACUUGCAAUGGCGAGAAUAAAUUGAAGAGAAAUCUAUUGAAAUGACGUACUUGAGUAUCUGGAUCCGUAUCAACAUGCAUCAUGGGCUAAAUAUUCCUUAUUAAUGCCAAUUAAAUCAUGAGGGGGGAAUCCACACCUCAUGAACCACGCUCUAAUCAAUAUGGUGAUAAGGGCUUAUCGUGCCAAAUAAUAAUAACCUUGUACUAGAGGGCCGGUGAAACCAAGGCGGUACUAGACAAGAUUAGUAUUAUUUGUCGACGAGAAGUCAAAACAUCCACAAAAACUAGAGGGGAAGAGAAAAUAAAUUUACCAAAUUAAGCCCAUGACACAUGUUGAGACUUCACCUUCAACCCAAGCUUGAAAGAAAAUUAGCCACUCAUAAUUGAACUAGGGGCAAAAUGAGAAUUUAUUAAAAUACGAAGAAAAUACAAGAUAAAGAAGGAAUUACAGAAAAUAAAGUCCAAAAAUGGAUUCAGCGAUAUCAAAUUAGGAGGGGGAGGCCCCCUUUUUAUAGAUACAUGGAGUAAAUUAUGGCCAUCGGAUUAAAAACAGUUUGGACGCUCAGGAUUACGCCACGUCAUCAGUCAACAGUCCACGGUUUGACCACGUGGAUGAACAGUAAUACGGUUUGACUCGGAUGAACAGUAACGCGGUUUGACUCGGAUGAACAGUAACGCGGUUUUGUUGAAAAUAAUCCUGUGUGAUGCAUGUACCGUACGCGAGAUUUUUCGUCCACUGAUAUGCUGCCACGUCACCAUCAACAGUACAUAAGAAUUUUAGCCCAACAGGAUCGUGACACCUCAUCAGUCAAUGCCACAUCAUCGGUCAAUGCCACAUCAUCAUCCGUCUAUGUGAACAGUGUCGUGAACAGUAACGUAUAUACAGUACCGUACACGUGAAUAGUACCGUACAUGUGAUCAGUGCCAUUUUUCUUUUUAUGCUUCUCCUAAGGUUUUCGACCGUCCUGAGUUCAAAAGUGAUGUCCGUUUUGCCAUCUGAUUUCUCGUUUAUUGUGAAAUGACUAUGAUGCCCCUAAAAUACAUAAAAUACUUAAUUAAAAUAAAACACAUGUAAUUAAAUCACAAGAAAGUUAAAUACAUAAAAGUAAGGGUUGUUAAUAAGACUUGAAAUGUAAAAUGACAGUUUUCUCCUUUAUAAAUAUACAUUUUCUAACACUCAACACCUAUCCUGUAAAUACAAAAGUAAAUUUAGUAAAUUAAUGAGGAACUGUGUAUGUGUGAAAUUAAAAAUAGUGCUUUUGAUUUGUAAUCAUAUCUUUUAUAGGAUAUAUUCAUUGUCUACAUAUUUUAAUUUAUGUGUAGAAAAUUAGAUAUAUUCAAUGUCUAAUCUGAUUCUACACAAAGACUAAUGCCCCAAGAUUGUGUAGGGGUGUUCAUAAUCCAAUCCGAUCCGCUCAAUCCGUCUGAUCCGUGAAAAUCCGAUCCGUGGAUCCGUGAAUUGGAUAUGGAUUGAAAAUUUAAAAAUCCGCAGUCGAUGGAUUGGAUAUGGAUUUACUUCUAUAAAUCCGUAAAAAUCCGUGAAUCCGCAAAAUAUAUAUAUAUAUAUAUAUAUAUAUACAUUUAUUUAGUUAAAAAAUUAUUAUAAAUUUAAUUAAAGAAUAUUAUAAAUGUGACAUUACAUAGUUACAUAAGCACUAUAAUAUGUCUUAGCUAUUACCCAAUAAUAAUAUUAAAUAAUUAAAUAAUCAAAUAUACAAAUAUAACUUGUAAAAAUUGUAAAACAAAAUAAAAGCAAAGUCACACGCACUAGCAAAAACAAAGUAACAUAACGCCAAGUUACCAACAAUUUGCAAAGUCACCCAAAAGCAAAGUAACAUAACACCAAGUCACCAACAAUUUGCAAAUAAAAAACCUUAAGCUUCCUUGUUGUCACAUGCAAUAGCAACACUCAAUACUGGUUCGAUACACUCUCGACACUGAUUUGAAGGACGUCGGCCGCACGAUUCCAGCAAGAGCAAGCCAUCUUCUUCCCCGAGCCCAUCGAGCCACUUCACAAUCACUGGUUCCAGCCAAACAAUUGCACUAUCACAACCUUCAAGAUCAUCACCCGUACUUCUCCUAGUUCCAAUAGUUGACGGCUCCAUAAUCACCACUUUUCGACAAGUAUAACAGCCCUGGUGAAGGAUCAUACUGUGUUUGGUUUCAGAAACUUCACCAUUUCAAUUAAUUGUGACUUUAUUUGAAUAAUUAAUUUCGGUGUUAUAUUAAUGUAUUAUUGUAACUUUAUUUGAACAAUUAAUCUCGAUGUACUAUAUUUUGAAACUUUGAAUGUAUUAUUUUAGUUUUAUUUAAAUAAUUAAUUUGUUUAAAAUUUAUUCAAUUUUAAAUUUAAUUGGUAAUAAAAUUAUUUUUAUAUUAGAUUUUUUUUUUAAUUUCAUUAGUUCAUGGAUUGGGGAGAACUAAAAAUUUUUAAUUCGGAAGCUAAUGCGUAAAAUGGUGGAUUGGAUAUGGAUUAAGUUAAAUCCGCAUCCGAUCCGCAUACGUAUGGAUUGGAUAUGGAUUGAGUCAAAUCCGCAUCCGAUCUGCAGACGUAUGAAUUGGAUUUGGAUUGAGUUUAAUCAAUCUGUGGAUUGGAUUGGAUUGAAAAAUUAUAAUCCGCAAAAUUGUGGAUCGGAUAUGGAUUGAUGUCCAAUCCGUAAAAUCUGAUCCGCGAACAUCCCUAAGAUUGUGAUUGAAAUGCUAUAAGCAACUUAUUUUAUAAGUUUAGAUAAAAAUGAAGUUUGAUGGCUUUGUUAAAAGUUGCUUCUUUUAUAAUUUUCUCUAUUUUGACUGUAACUUUUAAAAACAGAACAAACAUUAUUUUUAUAAGCAACUUAUUAAACAAGUUGCUAUAUCUUUUUAAAUAUUCAUAUUAUAACCUUAAUAUUUUAAGAAAAGAAUAAUUAUAUCUUACUUUUCUAUAAGCUCUAAUAUAUAAAUAAAAGACAAUUUAAACUCAUGUUUAUUUUAGUCAUUAAAUAAUACAGCACAUUCAUAGUCAAAUUUACUAAACAUGAGCAAGAUACUUUUUUAAUCAUCAACUUAUUUCGUUCUCACAAUAGAAAUAACUUAUUUUAUCAUCCACUGCCAUCCUAAACUUGAUGUUAAGUCACGUUUGGGAUUGCAUUAGAUUGUCAAAUAAUCUAGAGAAAUAGCUAUUAAGGACGAAGAAUAGGAAGAGGUUCGCCAUAAGCAAUAUACUCGCAAGCUUGGCUACUAAUAAACAGAGCAUACAAGCUUAAACACCUAAUAUAUAUAUAUAUAUAUAUAUAUAGUAGUUUUUUGGCACAGGAUCUUAAAGUGCGGGAAACAUUAGGAAAAACUUUAAAACCGCGGGGUUUUAAAGGCUUAAUACUUAAAGCACUUAAACUGCACGGUUUAUGCGUUUUCCCAGACGUUCCCACACUUUAAAAUUCUAAAUUAGAAUAUUUUUAUGUGUGUGUGUGUGUGUGUGUGGAGGGCAAAUCUUUAACUACCUCCGGCUUAAAGGACCUAUACAGUAACUCUUAAAUCAAAGAGAGAAAAUAGUUAAUUCAAUCUGAUUGAAUAUGAAUUGAUAUUCACCAUAUGAUAAUUACAUAAAGAUUGAGCCUUAAGUGUUUUACAUUAAGUAAUACUGCACUGCACACUUGUUCUACACAUUUAGACAACCCAGAUUAAGAAUAAUGAAAAUGAACUCUUAAACUAGCUAGGUGCUCUAUUAUUUAUCUUUGCUCCAUAAAUAUUAGAAAGAUAGAGGAGAGGAAGAAAAAGAAAAGACUAAUUUUGCAGUCCCAAUUUAAUCUUAUGCUCUGAUUUUGAAGCAAAUCUGCAGAGUAUUUAAGGAUCCAAUCAUGAACCAUGUCCACUUCAAUCUUUCGCUGCAUUACUAACCCCUCUGGAUCAUCUUCUGUUGCUGGCUGUAUGUCUAAGCAAUGGGAACCUGCUCUAAUUUACACAUUAUUAAUUAUGUUAUCCAAUAAUUUAGUUAAUAAUUGAACACUAAUUUUUUAUUUUAUAGAAAAAUUUACAUACUGUUUCUUAUUGUCACUGCUAUUAUAUUGUCUGAUAUCUUCCAAAACCCUAUAAUCUCCCCCCCACCAAAAAAAAAGAAGAAAAAGAAUAAGGCAUAUAAUUAAACGGGUAACUUCGAUAGAAAAGAGUGUACAAAAUUUUUAAGCUUAAUUAAUUACCCAGCGCUGCUAUAGGGAUCACGAAAGCCAUUAGAGAAAAUAAGGCUGCUACCAAAUCUCUUUACAACCACUCUUAUACCCUGCAAAUUAAAAAGAAAUAAAAAUCGAACAAAAAUUGAGAUAAAAUUUAUAAUUAAAAAAGAAAAUGAAAAAAAUUAAAUUAUUAAAAGAAUUAAUUUGGGGAUUAAUUGACACUUACAUGACUACCGUAAUAAGUUGUAAUCCAAUGUGGUAUUGGAGCCACUCCAUAAGACUUAUUGCAUGAAUUCAUAUAUUCUAUCGUCUGCUUGAAAAUUGUAUUAUUUUUUUCAAUUCCAAUUGAUGAGACCAUUUCACUGCAUGUCUGCAUGAGAAAUCCCCCCCUCCCAAAACAAAAAAAAAAAUCAUAAUAAAUAAAUAACUAAAUAAAGGAGAAAACUAUUUUUAAUCAUUCAUAAAUAUGUAGUCUCAUAAAUAAAAUUAAAAGAUGUACAUAAAAUAGGUAUUGUUAGCUAGGUGAGAGAUUCAUUCAUCGCAACAUGUUGUUUGUUUGACGAUCUCAAUAGAAGUAUCUAAUGAAAUCAUGUCACCCGUAAUCACAUACCUGCCAGCCUCAGCUCGAGUCUAGUGUUUCAUCGGAUAAGAAUUCAUCAACAUCAUGGCAAGAAUUCUCCCAUCUUAAAGCAACAAUUCCUGAGAAUAUCCGGCCUAGGGUAUCCGUGCCUUCUGAAGCUCCAUGGAUACCUUCACAAGCUUUGCUCACUGGAUAUUCCUGAGGAUCAUCAUACUGAGCUGCACCCGUAUACAUACACUCUAAAUAAUCCUUCAAUUCUGAAACAUCCUUCAGAGGCUUGUAAUCAAAUAAACAACAACAACAUAGAAUUAAGUGCCACAAGGUUAGUAACAUUAUAAAAGAUCUUUCAACAAGCCGUCUAAAACAUGUUGUUAUAUUUAGUUAGAUUACAAUAAACUUUAUAAGUAUGAAGCUAUUGAUAUUAUCAAAUGCAAACGUACAAAUUUGGCCUUAUUUGAUAAUCAGAGUUGUGCGUGGUUUUGUAGUUCAAAUUUAGAUUCUGUAAGAUACGAACCUUUGGAGGCCUGAAUCUAAGCACCAGUAUACUAUAUAUAUAUGGUAAUGCAAAGGCCGUGUAUAAGCCCAAAUCCAGAUUUUUACUUUGUAUAUUACACGUUAAUCGAAAUGUAUAUAUACUCUGAGGAUGACAGAUAAUUAAUUAGACAUAGUAUAUUCGAUAAUGAUGCUACAAUAACAUUGCAUUAAUUGUAAUUAAGGGAAAAUCGGAUGGAUAUAUAUAAGCAGUUAUGUAAAGUAAUAUGAUUACUUUCUUGCAGGUUUUGAACUUUUUAGAGAGAAAAGCAAGUCCAUUUUUUCUAGCAGCGGUUUUAUCCAUUUCAGCCCAGGACUGUUUGAUGGUCAUGUAGCAGCUCUCCCUGGCUUCUUGCAUCAUUAAUUUUCAAAAUUUAAUGGAUUAAUUUUCAAAAUUUAAUGGUUAAAUUUUAACAAGAAAACACAAUCAUACAUAUAUAGAAUUUUAAUUAAUUAAUUUUAUUUCUUACCUUAAAGUCAUUGGUGACAAGAUCAUAAUAUGUGUUUGAGUGUGUGAUAUUAUCAAAAUAGAUAAUUGGGGCGGACGACGCAACUACUCCCAAAGCACUGUAAGAUGGUUAUUUUUUAAAACGUAAUUAUCUUAAAUAUAUUUAUUAUUUCUUAGUUUUACGAUUGCUGAAAGUAUUCAUUAAUUGGAAUGCAAAAUAAAUUUGUAUCAAAAUAAUAUUGGCGUAAUCAAUAUUUUGGUCAAACGAGAUCAAAAUGAAUAAAAUGAUGCAAUAAAUGACACGACAUUAAUCAAAAGAUGUAAGUAACUUAAUAAUAUUAAAAUUUACUUCCUCCAUAAGAUGCUGUCAAAUAAAGUGGCCAUUUAGAUGGUCUAAAGCAGCCAUCUAGAUGAUCAACAACAAUUUUGUUCAAAGAAGACGAAGAAUUUUGCAGCAAGUUUGAAAGAAAAAGAAGCACACGGCUUUAACAUUUGAAAGAAGAAAAAGAAGGUAAAAAAUAAUAUAGAAUUGAUGAAUAGUGCCAAAGCUUUCUCUAUAAAUAGAAACGAAGAGAAUGGGCAAAUGCAUUCCAUUUAGAAAGCAAUUUAGGGAGUUGAGAGAGAGUUCAAGAGCUUGCAUUUAUAAGUUCUUGUUACAGUGAUUGAGAGAGUUUGGGUGUAUUGGGGUUUUUGGGAAGUGAGCUAAAAUACUACAAUACUUGUAACUCUUUUUCACUAGUAAAAUAUUUCCUUCUGUCUUCGCCCGUGGAUGUAGGCUAAAAGCCGAACCACGUAAUUUUUGGUGUCCUCUAUUGUACUUGUUCUUUAUUUUCCUUCUAAUUUCAUUUUAGCUGCGGUCUUACUUCACCCUCCAAUCCUAACAGUGGUAUCAGAGCUAUUGGUUGUAUUUUUUAGAGUCAGGAACUGUUCACGUAAGGGGUACUAUUCACAUAUACGGUACUGUACACAUAUACAAUACUAUUCACGUAUACGGUACUAUUCACGUGAAACGGUGGAAGUGAUCCAAGAAUUUUGUGGUGCAAAGCAGGAAAUAGUGGUGUGAGUAAAGCAACUGUGUGAUUUUGUACAUGUCUAGGAAAGUUCUGUCACAAAGGCGAUAAGAGCUUAAGGAGUCUGGGUUUUAAGUGGGACCAUUGUGACCCCUCCAGUCUUUCCUGGGAACUUUCCUGGUGUGCAUUCUCACACAUACUCACAACUAUUCAAGGUGGUACACUAACUUGUGUGCAAUAUUUAUCAACAAAAUGGUGGCAAAGUAUGAAAUUGAGAAGUUUAACGGAAAUAAUUUUUCGUUGUGGAAAAUAAAGAUGAAAGCUGUAUUGAGGAAAAAUAAUUGUUUGGCAGCAAUUGGAGAAAGGCCCAUGGAGAUAACUGAUGACAAGUGGAACGAGGUAGACGGCAACGCCAUUUCUGAUCUACACUUGGCACUUGCGGAUGGAGUAUUAUCCAGUGUGGCAGAGAAAAAUACGGCGAAGGAAAUAUGGGAUACUCUCACAAAAUUAUACGAGGCCAAGUCACUACACAACAAAAUCUUCUUGAAAAGAAAACUCUAUACUCUUCGAAUGGCGGAAUCUACAAUGGUGACCGACCACAUCAACACAUUGAAGACUCUAUUUUGGGUCAUAAUAUAGAGGAAAAUGAGCGUGUAGAGCUUCUAUUUCAAAGUCUACCAGAUUCGUAUGAUCAACUCAUCAUCAACCUGAUGAACAACAAUCCAGUGGAGAGUCUAGUUUUCGACGAUGUUGCAGCCUCCGUAUUAAAUGAGGAGAGCAGGCGGAAAAAUAAGGAAAACAGACAAGCAAGUUCGCAGCAAGCGGAGGCGCUAUCGGUGACGAGAGGGAGAUCAACAGAACGUGGCCCCAGUAGGAGUCAAAAUUAUGGUAUAUCAAAAUCCAGAAGUAAGAAGAAUGUUAAAUGCUACAACUGUGGCAGGAAAGGGCACGUCAAGAAAGAGUGUUGGAGUAACCAGAAGAGAAGAGAUGGUAAAAAACAUGAGUCAUCAAAUGCUCAGGGGUGUGUAGCAAGUACCUCGGAUGAUGGCGAAAUACUCUACAGCGAGGCAAUAACUGUUUCAGAAGGCAGAAAACGACUAUCUGAUGUCUGGCUUAUAGACUCAGGAGCUACCUGGCACAUGACCUCUCGGAGAGAAUGGUUCCACACAUAUGAACCUAUCUCAGGAGGAUCUGUAUAUAUGGGUAAUGAUCAUGCCUUGGAGAUCGUUGGUAUUGGUACUAUCAAAAUUAAAAUGUUUGAUGGUACAAUUCGCACAAUUGGAGAGGUACGACAUGUCAAUGGCCUGAAGAAAAAUCUAUUGUCUUUGGGACAAAUGGAUAGUCAUGGGUACAAGACUCAUGUGGAGAAUGGAAUUAUGAAGAUCGUUAAAGGCGCGCUUGUAUUGAUGAAGGCAGAAAAGAUCGGUGCUAAUCUAUUCAUGCUUAAAGGAGAAACACUAUAGGAGGCUGAUGCGUGUGUCGCGUCAAAUGGAGAAGAGUCAACGAUGAUGUGGCAUCUCAAACUUGGUCACAUGUCAGAACAAGGUUUGAAGAUUCUCUCUGAGCGAAAAUUACUUCUGGGGCUCAAAUCGGUAAGUUUACCAUUUUGCGAGCAUUGUGUUACAAGUAAGCAGCAUAUAUUAAAAUUCAGUAGAUCUAUUGCUAGAAGUAAAUGCAUUCUAGACUUGAUUCAUUCUGAUGUUUGGGAAUCACCGGAUAUAUCCAUGGGAGGUGCAAAGUACAUGGUGACUUUCAUUGAUGAUUAUUCCAGAAGAUGUUGGGUGUAUCCAAUUAAGAAAAAGUCAGAUGUAUUUCUAGUGUUUAAAGAAUACAAAGCGCGGGUGGUGACACAACUUAAAAGUAAAUUUUAACUCCCAAGUAUAAGAGUGUCUUGUUGUAUUAUAACUCGGUGAGUCCGAGGUCGAUCCACAGAGAAAAGAUUUAAUUAGUUUAUUUUAUUUUAUCUAAAAAUUGAAAUUAAAACUUGAAUAUAAACAACUUAAUUUAAAUGAAACUAUGGAAUUGAACUAGUUAGGGUUAUGGAUCCACUCUUAGAAAUAAAUAAAACUUAAUAAAUUCUUUUUGCCAAUUUAUUUUAGAUUUAUUACCCAAAAGAUUAAUUAUACAAAUUAUUAUUAUUUUCCCUUUAAUUUUAUGAUGGAUUAAGUAUUUAUUGUGCCAAAAUUUAAUUUGUCUACAAUAAGGCAAAAUACCAUUUCACCAUGCCUUAUAUUAAGAUCUUAAGAAUUUAUUGUGCCAAAUUCAUUUGUUUGUCUACAAUAAAUCAAAAUUUCAAAAUAUAAAACAUGUAUAAAAUUAAAUAGAAAAUAAUUUAAUUUAUAAAAUUAAACAUAGAAUUUGAUUAAAUCAUAUUUAUUUCUUAAGAGUUUCACCUUCCCCUAACUAAUAUUAUUUAGUUAAGCAUAAUUAAAAUAAAAAGUAGUAAAAUUGAAUUACUUGUAAUUAAAAGAAAUAAAAACAACUAAAAUUGGAAAUAAAACUAAUUUUAUUAAUGAAAAUAAUUAUACAAAAUAUUAAAAACACACCUGGAAAUCAAGAUUACAAGGAGAUGGAGAGAAUUUGAGAAGAAGAGAGUUGUAGAGAGAUGAUUAAAACAUAAAAAUGAGGCCUUAUUUAUAGAAAAAUAAAUUCAUAAUCCAGUGCUUUGUGGUCCAUCAUAGGCUUCAUGCAUGUGCUCCUCACAACCCUUAGAUCAAGAUCCAAUGGCUGGUCAAACUUCAAAAGUCAACAUCACACAUGGCAUCAUUUGACUCGUCCGAUUUGCCCAAAGAACGGUUGAGAUUUGGCGGGUUAAUGGGUGGAUCGGGUCGACCCGAAUACAAAGAUUCGGAUCCUCCAACUUGCUUCACCAACCAUUGCCACGUGGCACAAUCAUGGCCAUUGAAUGAUGAACGGUUGAGAUUUAGUCAAGAUUGCCAGUUAUCCCAUGCACUCAUAUCUAUUGUAAGCUCAUUUCAUCAUCCAAUCAGUGCUCGGUCAACAGGAAAAGUCAACUUUUUUUACACAAGCCCAAUUUUAAGCCGAUCUUGACUGAUCUUAAGGUUUUCGGACCUCCGGAAUCCAAAUUUGACCUCCGUUUAUUUGUUUGGAGCCUCGAAGUACGUGAAAUUAAUAAUUUUCCUAAUAAACACAUAAAAAUACACAAAAUUAAAUAUAUUUAAAACAUAAUUAAUAAUUCAUAAUAUAUUACAUAAACACAAAUAUAAAUUAUAACAUAAGCAUAAAAUAACAUAUUAUCGCUUGAUAACUAAACAAUUUUUAAUACUAAUCACACCCCCCAACCAGCUUAUUGCUAGCCCUCUAGCAAUUAAAGCGUUAUAUUAAGAUUUAUAAAAUUCACAUGCAAGUUAAUAGUUGUUCAUCUAUCCUCUAAAUUACCAAAUAAAUGAACUCUCCCAAAUUCCUUUACCACAUUGAUGUUCACUCAUUAUCCAGAAUAUCAUCAAACCUUCUUUUGUGCUCAAGUAAUUAACACAAUACUUAUGGGGCUUCAUUAAAAGAAAAACAACAUUUUCGUUCUAAAAUUCAUUAGAAAUUAUAUCUUUAGGCAAUAGAUUAUUCACACAUUUUUUUUUUAUAUUACAUUUCUAACCCGUUUAGCAAGCUUUAGGUCAGUGACUCCCAGACCAGUUGGCCUUAGGGCACUAGGUGUUGAAGCACCCCUACGGACUUAAUUACUCGGGUUUCUAAUAAACAAACAAUAUAUCUAUUACCCAUGUAGCGAGCUUUAGGCCAGUGACUCCCAGACCAGUUGACCUUAGGGCACUAGGUGUUGAAGCACCCCUACGGACUUAAUUACUCGGGUUUCUAGAUAUAACAAAAUUAAAAACAUUUUUUCUUCUUCUUUUUUUUUGAUUUUUUUUUUUUGGUUUUUUUGUUUUUUUGUUUUUGGAAAUAUACACUUUCUACUACCUUAGAUACUAUUCCUAAUAAAUCAAAAGAACUAAAUGCUGUAAAACUUUAACUUACAACCCACUAGUAUGUGUCAUAGUGUGUGUGUGAAGAAUGAUUCAAUAAUACCUGUUAAAUGAGUAAACAAUUAAAUAACUUAAUAACCAAGUGGAGAGUUCACAAAUUUGAGUAAUUCAAAGAAAAGGGAACAAAAACAACUUACUAUGAAUCUCAAAAUCAAAAUAUAAUACAACAAGACUAUUAGGAUGCGUCUCAAAAGUCGUGACUCUUUACACGGCCAUCCUAGACAAAAAACAAAUUUUUUUUUUUUUGGUUUUUUUUUUAACAAAGAAAAGAAAAGAGAAAAGAGAAAAACAACACACAUAUUUAAAAUAUACGUCAAUUAUCCCCACCCCACAACCUAAUCUAAACAUUAUCUUAACAUUUUAUAAUUUUACAGAUAUGCAAAAAAAUAAAAAUAAAAGAGAAUAAUAAAAGAAGAAGAAGAAGAGAUCUCACCUGAACUUGAUGCAGAAGCUUAAAAGCAAAUAACAAAGAUGAAGAAAGAGUCAAUUUUUUUUUUUAACAACACCCUUAAGAUUAAGAAGAUGCGUUUCUAGAGAGACUACAUUCUCUAUAUCCUGCCAUCUUCGACUCAAAUUUGUCCUAAGUUAGUCUUUACAGAAAAAAAAAUUUUUUUUUUUUUUGUUUUUUGUUUUUUUUUUUUUUUGUAAACACAUAACCAGGACUAAGACAUUCCACAAUUAUCAACUAUUCCCUCCCCCCAACCUGAAAAAGACAUUGUCCUCAAUGUUUUAAAAGGAAAGAGAAAGAGUGUAGAAGACAUCACAUGAACACUACAACAGAAAAUAUUUACAAACGGAGAGUUAAAUCUAAAUCGCACUUCUUAUUAUUGCUACUGUUACCGUUACCGUCAUUAGUCGACCAAUUCAGUGCAACAGUCUGUGGAUCUGGCUCUGGUGUAUAAGCUUGCAAAAGAUCAAGUAACUCAUUAGCAGUAGAAGCAGAGAUAAAUAGUUUUUUUACAGAAUGUGGAACAAAAUGAUUCUUUAUUGCAUGAUUAAUAAAAGUUAGCAAGCCGUCAUAAAAAUCAUUAACAUUUAACAAACCGAUGGGUUUUUGAUGAAUGUUCAAGUGGGCCCAAGAUGCAAAUGUAAUUAGUGCCUCAAAAGUUGCAAGAUCUCCUGGCAAGAAAAUAAAAGCAUCAGCAUGAUUCAUCAUUUCAGAUAUUCUCUCUUGCAUACUUGAUACCACUAAUUCUUCUCCAAUUGGUGGGCCAGACAUGCACACUAGCGGUUUCAUGGGUUUUGGGAUAAUGCCGAGUACUUGGCUUCCUCUGGUAAAAACAGCUUCUGAGACAAGUCUUGAUAACCCUCGUUCACCUCCUCCAUAUACAAGAUGCAGUUUCCUCUCUGCUAUGACACGACCAAGAUCUACAGCUGCCUGAACGAACUCUUUGUACUUUCCAUAGUGAAACCCAGAAAGCACACAAAUGUUUUUGAAUUGUUUACUCGAAGAUGAUGCCAUUGGACUAAUUUUUCAAAAACAAGUUGUGAGUGUUUGAAAAAUGAGCUCAUAUUUAAAGAUCUUGGUAACAUAAAUAAUGAGAAACAGCUGUAAAUGGGUUGGCAAUAUUUGUCAAAUGACGAGUAAAACUCGUGGCUCAAUAAUUCAAAAACAAACAGUAAAAAGAAAGUAAUGAUUAGAAAAAGCAAACAGUAAAAGAAAACCAAAUAUUUAUUAAAUACAAAAUCACAUCGCUAAAUGCAAUAAUGCAAAUGAUAAAAUAACAGUAAAGUAAAAUAACAGUGAAGUGAAAGGAUAUUUACUGGUAGUUGUGAUUGUGGCUCACAUCUUCCUCUGGUUUUACGUCCAGUAACGGCUUGAACGCCCUCUAUGGGUCGAGGAUCGGCUUCCCAUCCAGUUUUCUUAUAAACUGGCAAACAGGGUCUUUUUGAGUCAGAUUCCCAAGACUUAACUGUGCACUUUGUUUUUGGAAUAGUAUCCACAAAUUGUAAAUCUCACGUUGCACAAUUCCGCUUCGAUGCGUCUCAAGAGAUCGUAAGAUAUCAUCCAACGAUUCUUUACUCAUGCCAUCUUUAACGAAUUUAAUUUUAUCUUCACGAGUAUCAGAAACCAUUCCUAAAGAUUUACAAUCUGGUCGUUUGCAACCAAGUCUCACACAGUUAUGACAUUUUGAGCCAAGUCGUUUAGCUCUCCUUUUCUUAGCAAACGUACUUUUACCAAAACCAGGCAUGUAAGAAACAAAUUGACCAGAAAACUCACCUGCUAAUCGGACCUUUGCUUCAAUUAACCAACGAAUGUCAGAAGGAAUGCCAUUGAUCAUUAACAAACGCAGUCGUUCACAACGAGCUUUGUAAAUUUUCCUGAGGGCAUUCUGAGGGAGAGAGGGAAAAUGCUUAUGGAGUUUAUGUUGUAUUUCUUCCAUGUAUGAUUUUGGGGUUUCAGUUAUUGUGGGAAACUGAAGAUACCGACUUAAGAAGUCACGGAGUACCGUUAUCCGCCAUUUAUACGGGAAAAUAGAUCAAAACACACCAAAAUCAAAUCUGCAAAAUCAAAUCAAGCGUGAAAGCGAGUAAAAAGAAGCACACAAUAUAAAAGGAAAAUGAACUUACAUUCGUCCUCUCAUUGAGUUAACCUCAAGCUCCAUUUGAAAUUCAUAUAUGCCACUCUCUACUGUUCUGAGUUGUCCCUCUAGAUCCUCAACAUAGGACACGAAUUCUGGUGGUUGCAGAUCCCAAAGUGGAUGUGAUUUACAGCUUUGUAUCAGGCCUCUUAAGUGAAAUUUUAUACGCCGAAAUCUUUUAAGAUGUGCGAACAGGUAUUUUCUCAUUGAGGUGCUCAUGAUGUAAAAUGAAAAUUGAUGAGAGAAUGUACAACUGUCAAACAAACACGCUUACACAAGAAAAACAAUGUUAAAAAAAAAACUAUGUACAGUGCAUCAAUCUAAGGAAAAAAAAAAGUCAAACAAUGAAACGGUAAAAUAAUAGUAAAACAAAAAAAAAUCAUUAAAAACUUAAUCAAGAAUUGGUGGGUCAUCCAAAUUAAUUUCGGUGUCCUCGUCACGUGGGUGAUGUUCCAGAUAUGGUUUUAAUCUUUGACCAUUAACUUUAAAUGUGACACCAUUAUUUGGAUUCUCAAUUUCUAUGGCCCCAUAUGAAUAUACAUUUUUUACAACAAAUGGGCCACUCCAUUUUGACUUUAACUUUCCUGGAAAUAAAUGAAGACGAGAAUUAUAAAGCAACACUUUUUGACCAAUCUCAAAUGUUUUUCGAAAAAUUCUUUUAUCAUGAAAUGCUUUUGUUCUUGCCUUAAUAAUUCUUGAAUUUUCAUAUGCAUCAUUCCUUAAUUCCUCAAGUUCAUUCAAUUGCAAUUUUCGCACAUUACCAACAUCAACCAAAUUUGAAUUAAAAGCUUUAAUAGCCCAAAGUGAUUUAUGUUCAAGUUCAACAGGUAAAUGACAAGGUUUACCAUAAAUUAACCGAUAGGGUGACAUUCCUAAUGAUGUUUUAAAUGCAGUGCGGUAAGCCCAAAGUGCAUCAUUAAGUCUAAGAGACCAAUCUUUUCGGUUUGGGUUAACCGUUUUUUCCAAAAUUUGUUUUAUCUCCCUAUUUGCUAAUUCAACUUGACCAUUUGUUUGAGGAUGAUAAGGGGUAGCAAUUUUAUGUGUAAUUCCAUAUUUCUUCAUUAAAGACUCAAAUGACUUAUUACAAAAAUGCUUACCUCCAUCACUGAUAAUGGCUCGAGGGAUUCCAAAUCGACUUAAAAUGUUUUCUCUUAAAAAUUUAAUCACAGUUUUACUGUCAUUAUUUCGACAAGAAAUUACUUCAAUCCAUUUUGAGACAUAAUCAACUGCAACUAAUAUAUACACAAAUCCAAAAGAUGAUGGAAAUGGACCCAUGAAAUCAAUUCCCCAACAGUCAAAUAUUUCAAUUUCAAGUAUGGGAUUUAAGGGUAUCAUGUUUCUUUUUGUAAUUGAUCCCAAUUUUUGACAUUUUUCACAACUUUUGCAAAAUUCAUAUGUGUCUUUAAACAUGGUAGGCCAAUAAAAUCCACACUGCAAAAUUUUAGCAGUAGUUUUUCUUGAAGAAAAGUGACCACCACAUGCUUCAGAAUGACAAAAAUUAAUGACACUACUUACCUCAUUAUCAGGAAUACAUCGCCGAAAAAUUUGAUCUGGGCAAUAUUUGAACAAAUAAGGAUCAUCCCAAUAAAAUUUCUUUACUUCAACAAAAAAUUUCUUCUUCUCUUGAGCAUUCCAUUGCAAAGGCAUUUUACCUGUAACAAGAAAAUUAACAAUAUUAGCAUACCAUGGCAUUGAAGUAACAGAAAAUAAAAAUUCAUCAGGGAAAGAAUCAUUUAUGGGUGUUAUAUCAUUGCAGAAUUCGGAUGUGAGUCUUGAUAGAUGAUCAGCAACAACAUUUUCAGCACCCUUUUUAUCUUUGAUGGUAAGGUCAAAUUCUUGUAGUAACAAAAUCCAACGAAUUAAUCUCGGUUUGGCAUCCUGUUUACUCAUCAAAUAUCUCACAGCAGCAUGGUCAGUAAACACAAUAGAUUUAGAGCCAAGCAAAUAUGAACGGAAUUUGUUUAAUGCAAAUACCACAGCAAGUAAUUCUUUUUCAGUUGUAGAAUAAUUCAUUUGAGCACUAUCCAAAGUCUUGCUCGCAUAAUAAAUCACAAAAGGCUUACCAUCCCUUCUUUGUCCUAAAAUAGCACCAACAGCAAAAUCACUUGCAUCACACAUUAAUUCAAAUGGCAAAGACCAAUCAGGAGAUUGCAUAAUAGGUGCAGAUGUUAAAAGACAAAUUAUUUUUUCAAAAGAUUUUUGGCAAUCAUCAUUCCAUUCAAACGGUGCAUCUUUUAAUAAGAGGUUACAAAGUGGUUUAGAUAUGGCACUAAAGUUUUUUAUAAACCUCCUAUAAAAUCCUGCAUGUCCUAAAAAGGAUCGCACAUCUCUAACUGUUUUUGGUUGUGGCAAUUUAGAUAUGACUUCGAUUUUUGCUUUGUCAACUUCAAUUCCUUUAAUAGAAACAACAUGACCCAAAACAAUUCCAGAAGUAACCAUGUAGUGACAUUUUUCCCAAUUCAACACGAGUUCUUUUUCAACACAUCUUUUUAAAACUUUCUCCAAAUUAUCAAGGCAAUCAUCAAAAGAAUUCCCAAACACAGUCAAAUCAUCCAUAAAGACCUCUAAACAAUGUUCAACCAUAUCACAAAAAAUGCUUAACAUACAUCUUUGAAAUGUUGCAGGAGCAUUACAAAGCCCGAAUGGCAUUCUUUUAAAUGCAAAUGUUCCAAAAGGACAUGUGAAUGUGGUCUUUUCUUGGUCCUCAAGUGCUAUAGGAAUUUGAUAAUAACCUGAAUAUCCAUCUAAAAAACAGUAGUAGGGAUGUCCUGCUACUCUUUCUAAGAUUUGGUCAAGGAAUGGUAAUGGAAAAUGAUCUUUUCUAGUGGCUUCAUUUAAUUUUCUAUAAUCAAUGCACAUGCGCCAACUAGAUGUAAUUCGUGUUGGAAUUAAUUCUCCUUUUUCAUUUUUAACAACAGUGAUUCCAGAUUUUUUUGGCACUACUUGUGUAGGACUUACCCACUUACUAUCAGAAAUAGGGUAGAUAAUUCCCACAUCAAGUAAUUUAAGGACUUCUGUUUUGACUACCUCUUUCAUGUGUGGGUUUAAUCUUCUUUGAGGUUGUUGACAUAUUUUAGCAUUUUCUUCCAAAUUAAUUCUAUGUGUGCAGAUUAAGGGAUUAAUGCCUUUAAUGUCAUUUAAAGUCCAUCCUAUUGCAUUUUUAUGCUUUUUAAGAACAGUUAGUAACUUACCUUCUUGGUCGCUUGUUAAAGUAGAAGAAAUCACAACAGGAUAAGUUUGUUCUUCUCCAAGAAAAGCAUAUUUCAAUCCUUCAGGCAAAGGUUUCAAUUCCAUUUUAGGUGCUUCUUGUUGUUCUGUCUUUUCAAUACUUCCAAGCUCCUCAAAUUUUGGCUCGUCAUCAUAAUUUUGCGAAGUCUGCAUAGAAUCAAGCAACGAAUUUAUAUUAGAAAUAUCAAGUUUAAGUUGCUUAUUUGACUCAAUUGAAUUAACUAAACAAACAUUAGAAAGUUCAGAAAAAUCCCCUUUUUGAAUAUUUUCCUCGAUACAAGAUUCAAACAAUUCCUUUUGUUCAUCAAUAUCAUCUUCAUUCUCAUUUUCUUCAUUAGGUUGCCUGCACAUGUUGAAAACAUUCAAUUCCAAAGUCAUAUUCCCAAAGGAUAAAUUCAUUAAACCAUUCCUACAAUUAAUCAAAGCAUUAGCAGUUGCUAAAAAUGGUCGACCUAAAAUUACAGGAAUUGGUUUGUAAUUAUUCACAACAGGUUCAGUUUCCAAGACAAUAAAAUCCACAGGAUAAAUAAAUUUAUCAACUUGUACUAAAACAUCUUCCACUAUUCCUUUUGGUACUUUAACGGAUCUAUCGGCAAGCAAAAGUGUAGUUGAAGUUGAUUUUAACUCACCAAGAUUAAGUUGAAGAUAAACUGAAUAUGGAAGCAAAUUAACACUAGCACCAAGAUCUAGUAAAGCAUGCUCAAUUCUGUGGUUACCAAUAAUACAAGAAAUGGUAGGACAACCAGGAUCUUUAUAUUUCAACUUAUUAUUAGUAGACAGAAUUGUACUUACCUGUUCGGCCAUGAAAGCACUCUUUCUUACCUUCAAUUUCCUCUUAACAGUGCACAAGUCCUUUAAAAAUUUGGCAUAUGAAGGAACCUGCUUGAUUGCAUCUAAUAGAGGAAUGUUAACUUUCACUUGCUUAAAGAUUUCAUAAAUUUCAGAAGAGUGGUUUGAUUUCUUUGGUUUAUUCAAUGCAUGCGGAAAUGGUGGUUCAAGUGGAACACUAGUUAUUUCUUCACUAGGUGUAAGUUCAUUUAGUCAUUCCUUACCCUUUGAAUUUUCAUAAGGUUCAGGCAUAGGUCUAUCAACAACCUUACCACUACGAAGAGUUAUAACUGACUUGACUUGGUCUGUGGGUGAAUUUUGUUGAAUUUUAGGAUUUGGUUGUGGUUGGGCUGGAAAUUUUCCUUUUUCUUGAAUGGUGAGUGCAGAAGCAAUUUUAGCAAGAGUAUCUUUCAAAUAAAAAAAAGUUUGUGCAUUUUGAUUGUUAAUAACAUCUUGCUUUCUGAUGAAUGAAUGCAUUGUGUCCUCCAGAUUUUUCCAAGGUGGUGGAACAUAUGGUGCAUAAGGAUGAGGAUUUUGAAAAUUUUGUGGAGGUGGUGCUUGUGAAGAUUGUGCAUUAUUAUUAUUCCUCCAACUGAAAUUCGGAUGAUUUUUCCAACCAGGAUUAUAAGUCUGUGAAUAUGGGUUUGGUUUAUUGAAAGUGUUAAUGACAUUAGCUUGAUCAUUUAGACAUUCUUUAAGUGCAGGCAAAGUGGGACACUCUUGAGUGAAAUGAUCAUUCGAAUUACAUAUGUUACAUGCAAUUUCUUGAACAGAUUUUACUUGAUCACUCUUUUUAUGCUCCAAAGCUUCAACUUUCCUAACUAGGGAUGCAAAUUUUGCUUGUAAAUCAUGAUCUUCCCUAAGGUUAUGGAUUCCUCCACUAGAUGGAGAUGAUUGUUGCUUAUUUGUCAAUUCAAAAGUUCCAACAGUAUCCCAAUGUUGUGCAUUUUCAGCUAAUUGGUCAAGGUAAUCUAGUGCAUCUUCAGGAUUUUUAUCCCUAAAUUCACCAUUACACAUCAUUUCAACAACCUGUCUACUUUGGGGUAUUAAGCCUUCGUAGAAAUAAGUGACCAAUCGCCAAGUUUCAAAACCAUGAUGUGGGCAUAUGUUAAGCAACUCUUUAAACCUAUCCCAACAUUGGUAUAAUGUUUCUCCAUUUUUUUGAGUGAAAGAAGUGAUUUGCCUUUUAAAAGAAUUUGUUCUAUGAGGUGGAAAGAAUUUUUUCAAAAACUGUUCUUGCAUGUUAUUCCAAGUUCUUACUGAUCCAGAUCUAAGGUUUUGUAGCCAAGUUUUAGCUUUAUCUUUUAAUGAAAAAGGAAAAAGCUUUAAUCUAAUUAUGUUCAUGCUACAAUUUUGGUCCGUGUAUGUAUUACAAACUUCCUCAAAAUCUCUUAGAUGCAAGUACGGAUUCUCAGAUUCUAAACCAUGAAAUGUUGGUAAAAGUUGGAUAAUACCUGGUUUAAAAUUGAAUCGAGAUGCUUCUGGAUGCUCCGGUUCUGGUUGGAUUCAUGUAGUCUCUCAGAGUCCUUGGUUGAUUCUGAUCGUGCCCAUGUUGAGAUUGGUUGUCUCCCUGAUCAAUUUGAGGAUUAAGUUCGCCCAAAACAUUUUCGCCUUCAUUCUCAUCCAUGAUUGGUGGUGGAGAUUGAGAUCUACGAAUUAACCUGCCACUUGAAGAUCGAGACCAACGUCUCAUGCAAGGGUUAUGUUAUAAAGAUAAUAUUUACACAAAUUGAUAAUAAAAUAAAAUAAAAAAUUAAAUAUGCAAAUAAUAUAAGUGUACAAAAGAAAAUUAAAUAACAAUUUUGGUGGUUGAACCCACCAGUUAACAAUAUAAAAUAAAUGCAAAAGAAAGAAAAAGAAAAAAUGGUAGUUAAACCCACCAAUAAAGCAAAAAAAUAAAAUAAAAUAAAAUAAACGCAAAAUAAUAAAAUAAAUAAAUAAAAUGGUGGUUGAACCCACCAAUAAAAAAAAUAAAGCAAAAAAAAAUACAAAAUUAAAUAAAUACUGAAAAUAAAAAUUAGGAGUUAGUAGUUAGUUUGGUGGUUGAACCCACCAAUAAAGCAAAAAUAAAUAAAUACGAAAUUAAAUAAAUGCAGAAAAUUAAAUAACUGAAAUUAAAAAAGUUAGCAGUUAGCAGUUAGUAAGUUAAGAGUCAGUAAUUAGAGUUAGUAGUUAAAGUUAGUUUAGUCCAAAAUAUGUUAGUUUAGUCCAAAAUAUGUCCAAAUAUGUUCAAAAUAUGUCCAAAUAUGUCCAAAAUAUGUCCAAAGUAUGUCCAAGUCUUAAUUAUUUUGAGGAAUUUCGUCUAGGGAUUCUAUUGCAAAUUAUUUUUAAUUUUAUGGUCAAACUGUAAUUUUUAGAAGUUUAGAAUUAGUAAUUUGGGAUGAAAGUGAAACAGUUGAAAGAUAUCGGGGUCCGAACGUAAUUACCAGAAGAUUGGGCUGGAAACGGAAAUUGUUGGGGUGAAACUAGAAUUAUGAAAGAUAUGGGGACAAAAGAGAAUUUAAGAAAAGAAAAAGGGGGUAAACGAAAUUUUACAUAUAAGAGAAAAAUAAAAAACGGAAAAACAAACCAAAUAAAAAAAACUUUUCCCCGGCAACGGCGCCAAAAACUUGACACAUCUUAAAAGUAAUUUUUAACUCUCAAGUAUAAGAGUGUCUUGUUGUAUUAUAACUCGGUGAGUCCGAGGUCGAUCCACAGAGAAAAGAUUUAAUUAGUUUAUUUUAUUUUAUCUAAAAAUUGAAAUUAAAACUUGAAUAUAAACAACUUAAUUUAAAUGAAACUAUGGAAUUGAACUAGUUAAGGUUAUGGAUCCACUCUUAGAAAUAAAUAAAACUUAAUAAAUUCUUUUUGCCAAUUUGUUUUAGAUUUAUUACCCAAAAGAUUAAUUAUACAAAUUAUUAUUAUUUUCCCUUUAAUUUUAUGAUGGAUUAAGUAUUUAUUGUGCCAAAAUUUAAUUUGUCUACAAUAAGGCAAAAUACCAUUUCACCAUGCCUUAUAUUAAGAUCUUAAGAAUUUAUUGUGCCAAAUUCAUUUGUUUGUCUACAAUAAAUCAAAAUUUCAAAAUAUAAAACAUGUAUAAAAUUAAAUAGAAAAUAAUUUAAUUUAUAAAAUUAAACAUAGAAUUUGAUUAAAUCAUAUUUAUUUCUUAAGAGUUUCACCUUCCCCUAACUAAUAUUAUUUAGUUAAGCAUAAUUAAAAUAAAAAGUAGUAAAAUUGAAUUACUUGUAAUUAAAAGAAAUAAAAACAACUAAAAUUGGAAAUAAAACUAAUUUUAUUAAUGAAAAUAAUUAUACAAAAUAUUAAAAACACACCUGGAAAUCAAGAUUACAAGGAGAUGGAGAGAAUUUGAGAAUAAGAGAGUUGUAGAGAGAUGAUUAAAACAUAAAAAUGAGGCCUUAUUUAUAGAAAAAUAAAUUCAUAAUCCAGUGCUUUGUGGUCCAUCAUAGGCUUCAUGCAUGUGCUCCUCACAACCCUUAGAUCAAGAUCCAAUGGCUGGUCAAACUUCAAAAGUCAACAUCACACAUGGCAUCAUUUGACUCGUCCGAUUUGCCCAAAGAACGGUUGAGAUUUGGCGGGUUAAUGGGUGGAUCGGGUCGACCCGAAUACAAAGAUUCGGAUCCUCCAACUUGCUUCACCAACCAUUGCCACGUGGCACAAUCAUGGCCAUUGAAUGAUGAACGGUUGAGAUUUAGUCAAGAUUGCCAGUUAUCCCAUGCACUCAUAUCUAUUGUAAGCUCAUUUCAUCAUCCAAUCAGUGCUCGGUCAACAGGAAAAGUCAAUUUUUUUUACACAAGCCCAAUUUUAAGCCGAUCUUGACUGAUCUUAAGGUUUUCGAACCUCCGGAAUCCAAAUUUGACCUCCGUUUAUUUGUUUGGAGCCUCGAAGUACGUGAAAUUAAUAAUUUUCCUAAUAAACACAUAAAAAUACACAAAAUUAAAUAUAUUUAAAACAUAAUUAAUAAUUCAUAAUAUAUUACAUAAACACAAAUAUAAAUUAUAACAUAAGCAUAAAAUAACAUAUUAUCGCUUGAUAACUAAACAAUUUUUAAUACUAAUCAGGUGGAACUUGAAUCUGGUAAAAAGAUCAAGUGUUUGAGGACAGAUAAUGGUGGAGAGUAUACAAACGGCGAGUUUCUUGCUUUCUGUAAGCAAGAAGGUAUUCAGAGGCAGUUCACAGUGGCAUACACUCCUCAACAAAAUGGAGUGGCAGAGCGGAUGAAUAGAACUCUUACAGAACGGAUAAGAGCUAUGUUAAUGACUGCUGGUCUACCCAAUUCAUUUUGCGCAGAAGCAGCCAAAACUGGCUGUUAUAUAGUAAAUCGAUCGCCAUCUAUAGCUAUUGGGCUGAAGACAGUGAUGGAGAUGUGGACUGGAAAGCCAGCUAAUUAUUCCUACCUACAUGCAUUUGGAUGUCCUGUGUAUGUGAUGUACAAUGCCCAAGAAAGAACAAAGCUGGAUCCAAAAUCUAGAAGAUGUAUCUUCUUGGGGUAUGCUGAUGGAGUAAAAGGGUAUCGUCUGUGGGACCCCACUGCCCACAAGAUCGUCAUCAGAAGAGAUGUUAUCUUUAUAGAAGAUCAACUGCAAAUGAGAGAUGAGGAUGAUGGCACUGCAAAAGAAAAGUCAAAGAUUGUGCCGGUAUAUGUCGAAAAUAAUCUAAAAAAUUUAUAUUCUUCUGAAGCAGUACCAGAGCACGAGGAACAAGAACCAGUCGAGUCCGAGGCUCCAGAAGUUCGUUGGUCAAUGUGGCACUCGGAGUAUGUCACAGAAAUCAAUGUUGUAUACUGUCUUCUAACAGAGGAUGGAGAGCCUUCAACUUUCCAUGAAGCUUUAAACAGCUCAGAUGUUGCUUUGUGGAUGACAGCAAUGUAGGAAGAAAUUGAAGCUCUACACAAGAACAAGACAUGGGAACUUGUACCACUACCACGUUGUAGAAAAGCCAUUGGAAACAAAUGGGUCUACAAGAUCAAACGUGAUGGCAAUGACCAAAUGGAGCGGUAUCGUGCAAAAUUGGUGGUGAAAGGAUAUGCUCAGAAAGAAGGUAUUGAUUUCAACGAGAUAUUUUCGCCGGUGGUUUGACUCACAACAGUCAGAGUAGUCUUGGCGAUGUGUGCUACAUUUGACUUACAUCUUGAGCAGUUAGAUGUGAAAACUGCAUUUCUUCAUGGAAAACUUGAAGAAGAAAUAUAUAUGCUCCAACCAAAAGGUUUUGCAGAAACAGGAAAAGAGAACUUGGUCUGCAGGUUGAAUAAAUCUCUAUACGGUCUCAAACAGGCGUCGAGGUGUUGGUAUAAGAGAUUUGAUUCCUUCAUUAUGAGCCUUGGAUACAACAGACUCAAUUCAGACCAUUGUGCAUAUUACAAGAGGUUUGAAGAUAGUGAUUUCAUCAUUUUGCUGUUGUAUGUGGAUGAUAUGUUGGUAGCAGGUCCCAACAAAGAUCGAGUCCAAGAAUUGAAGGCACAGUUGGCUAGGGAGUUUGAAAUGAAGGACUUGGGACCAGCAAACAAGAUUCUAGGGAUGUAAAUUCACCGAGACAGAAAUAACAGGAAGAUUUGGCUUUCUUAGAAGAAUUACUUGAAGAAAAUCUUACGACGCUUCAACAUGCAAGAUUGUAAGUCAAUUUCUACCCUACUUCCUAUUAAUUUCAAAUUAUCCUCAAGUAUGUGUCCAAGCAAUGAAGCAGAGAGGAAGGAAAUGUCUCGAGUACCGUAUGCAUCAGCAGUGGGAAGUUUGAUGUUCGCUAUGAUAUGUACUAGACCGGACAUUGCACAAGUAGUGGGAGCAGUCAGUCGAUACAUGGCGAAUCCUGGUGGAGAGCAUUGGAUAGCUGUGAAGAGGAUUCUAAGAUACAUUAGAGGAACCUCAGAUGUUGCAUUAUGUUAUGGAGGAUCAGAGUUUACUGUCAGGGGCUAUAUGGAUUCAGAUUUUGCAAGAGACCUUGAUAAAAGGAAAUCCACUACUGGUUAUGUGUUUACACUUGCGGGAGCAGCUGUAAGUUGGGUUUCGAAACUGCAGACCGUUGUGGCUUUAUCUACAACAGAAGCAGAAUACAUGGCAGCUACACAAGCUUGCAAGGAAGCUAUUUGGAUACAAAGAUUAUUGGAGGAGCUAGGGCACAAACAACAGAAAAUUCCUGUGUUUUGUGACAGUCAGAGUGCCUUGUACAUUGCAAGGAAUCCAGCCUUUCAUUCCAGGACAAAGCACAUAGGAGUUCAGUAUCACUUCGUUCGUGAAGUAGUGGAAGAUAGAAGUGUGGAUUUGCAGAAAAUCCAUACCAAAGAGAACCUAGCAGAUGUUUUGACCAAGCCGAUAAAUACUGAUAAGUUUGUCUGGAGUAGAACCUCUUGUGGCUUAGCAGAAACGUAGGCAACAUGAUUAUGGCGAAGCAGAAAGGAUGGUGUGGAGAUUGAUUGAUUCUCAAUCUAAUCUCCAAGUGGGAGAAAUGUCAAAUAAAGUGGCCAUCUAGAUGAUCUAAAGCUGCCAUCUAGAUGGUCAGCAACAAUUUUGUUCAAAGAAGACGAAGAAUUUUGCAGCAAGUUUGAAAGAAAAAGAAGCACACGGCUUUGACAUUUGAAAGAAGAAAAAGAAGGUAAAAAAUAAUAUAGAAUUGAUUAAUAGUGCCAAAGCUUUCUCUAUAAAUAGAAACGAAGAGAAUAAGCAAAUGCAUUCCAUUCAGAAAGCAAUUUAGGGAGUUGAGAGAGAGUUCAAGAGCUUGCAUUUAUAAGCUCUUGUUACAGUGAUUGAGAGAGUUUGGGUGUAUUGGGGUUUUUGGGAAGUGAGCUAAAAUACUACAAUACUUAUAACUCCUUUUCACUAGUAAAAUAUUUCCUUCUGUCUUCGCCCGUGGAUGUAGGCUAAAAGCCGAACCACGUAAUUUCUGGUGUCCUCUAUUGUGCUUGUUCUUUAUUUUCCUUCUAAUUUCAUUUUAGCUGCGGUCUUGCUUCAUCCACCAAAUUUCCUAACAGAUGCUCCAACAACGAUAAUAGGAGACAUUUCGGCUGAUAAAUUUUCCUUAAUGUGUAAGAGAAUCUUUGCAUAAUCUGCCAAAGCUUGACCAGAGUUGAAAUAUCCACGAAGAGUUGCAUUCUUUAGGGCAUCUUUGCGUGAUAUAAAAGGUACUGAUUUUCUAUAGAACCGAUGCUGCAUAAAAAAUCGAAUUAAAGAAAAAAAAUCCAUCACAACUUUUCAGUUCAUAUUGUAGAAUAUUCUGAUUAAGAUUUGUCUUUAUUAUUAUUAUUUUGUAUGGGAACUCUAUUUCAAUUAUUAUCAAGCUAGCCUGAUAACAGAUUCUUUACUUACCUCUAUGUAAACUUGUAAGGCUUUAAAUCAACGAGCAUUAUCAGUAAGCCAUCCAGUGCCACCAAGGUCAUCAUCAAGACUACUCUCUUUACCAAGAUAUGCCAAUAUCGGCGCCGCCGUGGCUCCACCACCACCCCAAUGUUUGAAGUUCAACACAUAUCUAUGAGAAAAAGUUAAAUAACUUUGUGGAUUAUAGUUAAAGUGAUCAAGUAUUUGAUCAUCAUAAUAAGUUUCGAGAUCACCCUUUGGUUCUGAAGUUAAUAUUUUUUUACUAGGGUUUAGAAAAAUAGUCUUUCCACGCACAACACCAAGCUUUGGGAUGUUUUUUAAUGGUGAAGUGGAAGCAAAAGCAAAAUUUGUGAGGAGAAGAAGAAAAAAGGCAUGGAAGCCACCGACCUUCCAUGGCAAAGUUGUAAAUCCUUAAUUAGCAGGAUGAUUAUGUAAAUACAGAAGAAAUAGAAUUAAGAUUCGGUUAUAAAUUCAGCUUCAGAAUCGACGUGUUUUUUAAUCUAUUCUGGAUUUUUUAUUAUCCUAUCAUAUAAUCAUUGGUGGUUUUAGUUUUAUAUUAGUAAUGAUCUUUAGUUUUCAUAAAAUUAUGGUUUUUCUAAUAUAUAUUGUUAUCAGUUUCGUAACUAAAUACGUUGCGGUGAAAAUUAUUAAGUCUUUCCUUAGUAAUUAACUAACUUGACAUACGUAGUUCUAAUGGUUGGACACAUAUUUCUAAUUUAAUUAACUUGUAAUUAAUUAUUUGCUAGUAAUUAACUUGAUUUAGUAUGUGGUAAAUACAUAAUUUUGAUAAAAUCAGUAAAAAAAUAGUAAAUUUUCUAUCAUGUAAGUGUAAAAUUAAAGAUAUAAUUUUUUUUAAUUACAAUAGCUAAUAUUUACUUGAUACUUUAAUACUGUAACUUUUAAACUAAGCUACCCAAACAUGGUUGUAAUUUUCUAUAAUCAUGCUACCAAAGAUGUCAGGAUUCCAAUCAUUGUUUACGAGGCUACUAUAUAUGUUAAUCAUGCUAAUGCUAUAAGCCUUGGAUUGGAAGUAAUGUAAAUCCAACCGUUGGGUAACGUAGCUAGCCUAAUUACACUUUAUUAAGAGAACAAUACAAUUAACAAUAGUCUCACAUGAAAGGGUGGCAAUUCAUUAUCCGAAUUUGUGAAUUAGACACUAACACAUCAUAUCGAGAAGAUUUUUUAUGACUAUUAUGACAACUUGUUCACGUCCAACAAACCAUCCCAAAGCCAAAUGGAGAAUGCACUGAAGAUCUGCCUCGCAAAGUCACUGAAGAGAUGAAUGCCCAGCUAAAUCAGCCCUAUACAGAAGCAGACAUCACAGAAGCUUUGAGCCAAAUGCACCCUACAAAAGCCCCUGGUCCAGAUGGCCUUCCAGCUGCUUUCUUCCAAAAGCAUUGGAAAUCAGUAAGUCAAGGUGUUACUACCACAUGCUUGCAGGUCCUAAAUAACAAAGGUAACCCUACUCCACUAAAUCAUACUUACAUAGCUCUGAUUCCAAAGGCUGAAAAACCUAAGAAAAUGGCGGAUUUUAGACCGAUCAGCCUAUGUAAUGUAAUUUAUCGGAUAAUUACAAAAACCAUUGCCAAUAGGUUGAAGCUGGUUUUGAACGAUGUAAUCUCACCAGCUCAAAGUGCCUUUGUUCCAAAUAGGCUCAUAACCGAUAACAUAAUUAUUGGUUACGAAUACUUACAUAAAAUAAGGCUUAGUAUGGGGAAAAAACAUGGGCUAGUGGCUUUGAAAUUAGACAUAAGCAAAGCAUAUGACAGGGUGGAAUGGGACUUUUUGAAAUGUACCUUAGAAAAAUUGGGAUUCUCGCUUGGCUUUGUUGAAUUGAUAAUGCAAUGCAUAACUACCUCUUCAUUUUCUGUGCUGAUAAAUGGGGUGGCUAAAGGGCUGAUCCAACCUCAAAGAGGAUUAAAGCAAGGAUGCCCAUUGUCCCCAUAUCUUUUUAUUCUCUGUGCAGAGACUUUUACAAAUCUUUUACAGCAAGCAGAAUCUCAGCAACUGAUUCAUGGGAUAAAAUUCAGCAAUGAACUUUCCAUCACUCAUCUUUUGUUCGCUGAUGAUAGUUUGAUUUUUACAAGAGCCACAAGGGAGGAUUGUACAAAUUUAAAGAAGAUUUUUUAGUGUUAUGUUGCAGCCUCUGGGCAGAUUUUCAAUUUCGAGAAGUCGUCUAUGUUUUUCAGUGAGAGUACCAAGCCGUAGCAGAUUUCCUCAAUUACAACCAUCUUCCAAAUUCAGGUGGUAUCCAGGCAUGCAAAAUACUUAGGGCUGCCCUCCAUGGUGGGUAGAAAUAAGACGAGUUUUUUUAAGGAUAUCAAACUCAGAGUUCUUGGAAAGAUUUCGAGCUGGCAAGCAAAUUUGUUCUCUUGUGGGGAGAAGGAGGUGUUGAUAAAUGAUGUAGCUCAAGUGGUGCCUGCAUAUGCCAUGAGUGUGUUUAAGCUCCCCCUAGGACUUUGUGAUGACAUGCAAAAGGCAAUUGCUAGUUUUUGGUGGGGAAGCAGCCGAGAUCACAAGUCAAUCCAUUGGUCGAAAUGGAAUAAUUUGUAUCAAGCAAAGAGUAGAGGUGGGCUGGGAUUUCGAAACUUGUCCAGCUUNNNNNNNNNNNNNNNNNNNNNNNNNNNNNNNNNNNNNNNNNNNNNNNNNNNNNNNNNNNNNNNNNNNNNNNNNNNNNNNNNNNNUUUUAAAAAUUCAAGUCUGAUGCAGGCUCAGUUAGGCUCAUAUCCUUCCUUUAUAUGGAGGAGUAUUUUAUGGGGUCGAAAUGUAUUAGAAAAAGGGUUGCGCUGGAGAAUUGGAAAUGGUGAGCAGCUGCUAGUGUAUCAAAGUCAAUGGAUUCCUCGAUCUAUAACUUUUCAGCCAAUAUCCCCCCCAUCAUUGAGCCCAGAUACAAUUGUUGCAAAGCUGAUAAGUGAGGAGCAAAGCCGGAAAGAAGCUGUAAUUAGGCAACAUUUUCUAAAAGAAGAUGCUGAUCAAAUUUUGAAAAUCCCUUUGCCAAGACAACCAAAACCUGACCAAGUGUUGUGGCACUAUGAUAAGAAGGGUAAUUAUUCAGUUAAAAGCGGUUACCAAGUGGCUAUGAAAAUGAAUUUUCCUGAGAAGCCAAGCUGCUCGAGUGAGAAUGAUAAGUAUUGGCAUGCUAUUUGGUAUUUGCAACUUCCGGAAAAAGUUAAAAUCUUCAUGUGGAGGGCGGCAAAUAACUUGUUGGCAACGGCAGGAAAUCUUUGGAAGAGGACAGUGGUGCAAUUCCCUUGGUGCCAGAGAUGUAAGUUAUCAAAGGAGACUAUUUUUUCACACUCUCUAUGAAUGCAAAGCUUCAAGGAAAAUUUGGAGGCUAACCCCUUUUGGGGAGGAUAUUGAGUUUAGCAAUGGAAGAGAUGUUCUAAGCUUGCUGUAGGAUUUGAAUGGAAAAAGGAGAAAAUCUGAGAUGGAACUGAUUGUUGCUGUGUGCUGGAGCAUCUGGCACUCAAGGAAGCUUUUCCUCUUCAAAAACAAAAAAGAAGAUCCCCAGCUAUCAGUUGCAGCAGCAGAAGCAAUGGUGCAAUCUUAUAGCAGAAUCCAAAUGCCCCAAAUGCAAAGUAACUCCCAGCUGAGUACUGCUAAUCAGAAACAAUGGAAACACCCUCCAGAGGGCUGGUUCAAAGUUAAUGUUGAUGCAGCAGUAGGAGUGGAACAACAAAGAGCUGGCCUGGGAAUUGUUAUAAGGAAUUCAGGAGGAAAGUUUAUAGCUGCAGCAAUGAAGCCCUCAAAGUUUAUUGGCAAGAUUGAUUUUGCAGAAGCUGAAGCUAUCAGGCUCGGGCUGGAGAUAGCAGAAAAUGUUGGAUGCUUUCCACUAAUUGUGGAAUCUGACGCCCAGGAAGUGGUGGACUUAGUCAAUUUCAAGAAAAGCUCAAGAGCUGAAAUAUUCUGGGUUGCUUCUGAAAUGCAAGACCAAGUAAAGAGGCUGAACCAGGUGAAAGUAGAAUAUACCCCAAGAGGGUGCAAUACAUUAGCUCAUUCUCUUGCAAGACUAGCAUUAGAGCUAAAUGAUUUUGUUUUUUGGGUAGAAAAUAUACCCUCAAAUUUUUUGUACCUAUUCACACAGUUGGAUAAAUGAAAGUAAUACUUUCUCUCAAAAAAAAAAAAAAUUAUCAUGUCAAAUCUCUGUAUCCUCUUCACUAAUCAAUUCGUUUUUGCACUUUGACUUCCCCACAGGGAAUUCUUAAUUAAUUAAUUUAUUUUUUUAAAUAAGUGCAAAAUUUAUCCCGCCGAGUAUAAUCAAGGGGUGCACGUCAAGACAAAACAAGCAACAGCUGCGACAUGGUUUCAGAGUCAUAUCAUCUAUAAGCCAAACGUGUGUCUGCUCAAUUAGACACCAUAACCUCUAAAGACAAAACAAAUGCAUGCAACUUACCAUAAAAAGAUGAAUGACGAAGUCAUUAUGCAAACUAGAAGAAAUGUAAACUGAUAGGCAAUAAUUGAAAUAAGAUGCGAAAUUAUUUAUAACACAAUUAACAAUUCAACAAUCAGAUGUGUUGAUUUAUUUUCAAUCUGACUUAGACACUAUGUUAUAUUUUAUUAUGUUUUAAUAUAUAUAUAUAUAUAUAUAAAUAAUCAAAAAAUUAUAUAAAAUUCACCAUGAAAAUAAGGAAAACGAAAAAAAAAAUCGAACGGGCCCGCUGAUGGAUCACCAAUGAACGAAAAAGAGCAACUGAAACAAACGAAAUGCAAUGGCAUUUUGGGGAAUCUAUCAAAAGCUGAUACCCUUUUUGCCGAUUCCCAGCCAACCUCUAUAAAUUGCCCGCAAUUGGAAAAAUUCGACCAAAAAAAAAAACAAAUUCACUUCAAAAAGUUCACACACACUCACACACACGCGCGCGCGCGCGCGCGGAAGCCUACUUCUUCUUCUUCUUCUUCUUCUUUCAAUUCUCUGGUAAAACGCAAUAUUUUUUUGUCGUUUUUUCUUCCUGUUAAUACUUAAUGCUUGGGCGUUUUGUGUAUAAUGGAAAUGGAGUCUCGUGUCUGAUUUAUUAUCGCAGGGAACGAUGAAUUAUGCUGAUCUAAAUCGACGUAUCACCGUUAAGGUAACUAUAUAAUUUUUUAAUUUCAAAUUCAUUUCUUUCUUUUCUUUUGUUUUUUAAAAGAGUAAUAUUAGCUUCAACUGUGAUGCUGUUCAGUAGCAGUGCUGACCUUUUUAUUCAUAAAUGUCUUCAGAUAUUUCAUAAUAUGGAAUAUUCUUCUUUAUUCUGUUCUAUUUAUUUACUGGUUUUAAUGUACAUAUUGUCGAGGAGCUAAAUACGCGAGUAUAAAAAUUAACUUCAACUGAUAAUUGGUAGUCUGAUUAUGCCAUUAGUUUUAUCGAGUCCACGUUGAUUCAGUUUGUUGUUUGAUUUUUAUGUGGAACUGUUACUUGAUUAUACAUGAACAUUCACUUGUGCAAAUUUAAUAAUGCCACAUUAUUUAAUAUUUAAUUUUGAAGGCCACUUUUUUAGUUGAGGGCAGGGAACCACUACGAUUCCAUAACACGCUCAUCUAAUCACCUUGACAAUAAGACUUCUCCUAGUCGGCAAUUAUUUAGAAAUAACGUCUUGACAUAUGCUGCGGAAAUUAAAGAAUGAAGUAGACUUACGAAGUCAAGGUGUUUUUCUAGUCUACAUAUUUUAAUUUGUGUAGAAAAUUAGAAAUAUUCAAUGUAUAAUCUGAUUCUACACAAAGACUAAUGCCCCAAGAUUGUGAUUGAAAUGCUAUAAGCAGCUUAUUUUAUAAGUUUAGAUAAAAAUGAAGUUUGAUGGCUUCGUUAAAAGUUGUUUUUUUUAAUAAUUUUCUCUAUUUUGACUGUAACUUUUAAAAACAAAAUAGAGAUUAUUUUUAUAAGUAACUUAUUAAAUAAGUUGCUAUAUCUUUUUAAAUGUUCAUAUUAUAACCUUAAUAUUUUAAGAAAAGAAUAAUUAUAUCUUACUUUUCUAUAAGAUCUAAUAUAUAAAUAAAAGACAAUUUAAACGCAUGUUUAUUUUAGUCAUUAAAUAAUACAACACAUUCAUAAUCAAAUUUACUAAACGUGAGCAAGAUACUUUUUUAAUCAUCAACUUAUUUCGUCCUCACGAUAGAAAUAACUUAUUUUAUCAACCACCGCCAUCCUAAACUUGGUGCUAAGUCUCGUUUGGGAUUGCAUUAGAUUGUCAAAUAAUUAAGAGAAAUAGCUAUUAAGGAGAAGAAUAGGAAGAGGUUCGCCAGAAGCAAUAUACUCGCAAGCUUGGCUACUAAUAAACGAAGCAUACAAGCUUAAACACCUAAAAUAUAUAUAUAGAGAGUAGUUUUUUGGUACGGGAUCUUAAAGUGCGGGAAACAUUAGGAAAAUUUUUAAAACCUCGGGAUUUUAAAGGCUUAAUAAUUAAAACACUUAAACUGAACGGUUUAUGCGUUUUCCCGGACGUUCUCGUACUUUAAAAUUCUGAAUUAGAAUAUUUUUAUAUGUGUGUGUUGUUGUCCAAAUUUUAAUGUACUCGCAAGCGCACGAAUCUAUUGUUGUAUAGAUCAAUGGUGACGAGUGUCGAUCCCACGAGGAGGUGGAUUUUAAUUGUGUAGAAUUAAUUUUGUAAAUGGGUGAUUGGAUUUGUGGUGGAAAUGAUUUGGAAUAUCCUAAAACUUAAAUUAAAAUGGCGAGAAUAAAUUCUAAAAUUGGAAUUGAAAUUACGAGAAUAAAUUGAAGAGAAUUCUAUUAAAAUGACGUACUUGGGUAUCUGGAUCCGUAUCAACAUGCAUCAUGGGCUAAAUAAUCCUUAUUAAUGCCAAUUAAAUCAUGAGGGGGGAAUCCACACCUCAUGAACCACACUCUAAUCAAUAUGGUGCUAAGGGCUUAUCGUGCCAAAUAAUAAUAACCUUGUACUAGAGGGCCGGUGAAACCAAGGCGGUACUAGACAAGAUUAGUAUUAUUUGUCGACGAGAAGUCAAAACAUCCACAAAAACUAGAGGGGAAGAGAAAAUAAAUUUACCAAAUAAAACCCAUGACACAUGUUGAGACUUCACUUUCAACCCAAGCUUGAAAGAAAAUUAGCUACUCAUAAUUGAACUAGGGGCAAAAUGAGAAUUUAUUAAAAUACGAAGAAACUACAAGAUGGAGAAGGAAUUACAAAAAAUAGAGUCCAAAAAUGGAUUCAGAGAUAUCAAAUUAUGGGGGAGAGGCCCCCUUUUUAUAGAUACAUCAAGUAAAUCAUGGCCAUCGGAUUAAAAACAGUUUGGACGCUCAGGAUUGCGCCACGUCAUCAGUCAACAGUACGCGGUUUGACCACGCGGAUGAACAGUAACACGGUUUGACCUAGAUGAAUAGUAACGCGGUUUGACUCGGAUGAACAGUAACGCGUUUGAUUGAAAAUAAUCCUGUGUGAUGCAUGUACCGUACGCGAGAUUUUUCGUCCACUGAUAGGCUGCCACGUCACCAUCAACAGUACAUAAGAAUUUUAGCCCAACAGGAUCGUGACACCUCAUCAGUCAAUGCCACAUCAUCGGUCAAUGCCACGUCAUCAUCCGUCUAUGUGAACAAUGUAGUGAACAGUAACGUAGACAGUACCGUACACGUGAAUAGUACCGUACAUGUGAAUAGUGUCAUUUUUCCUUUUAUGCUCCUCCUAAGGUUUUCGACCGUCCUGAGUUCAAAAGUGAUGUCCGUUUUGCCGUCUGAUCUCUCCUUUAUUGUAAAAUGACUAUAAUGCCCCUAAAAUACAUAAAAUACUUAAUUAAAAUAAAACACAUGUAAUUAAAUCACAAGAAGGUUAAAUACAUAAAAGUAAGGGUUGUUAGUAAGACUUGAAAUGUAAAAUGACGGUCUUCUCUUUUAUAAAUUUACAUUUUCUAACACUCAACACACCCCCCAACCAGCUUAUUGCUAGUCCCUAGCAAAUAAAGCGAAAACAAAAUUCAAAUUCAAAAUAAAUUUUUUUUUAAUAAAAACACUCGUAUUUAUUCCAUUAGAUUAAUAAUAGCAAUCAAAUAAAAGUAUAAGCAUUAUCUCCAGUCUAAAGCAACAUCACACCCACAUCAACCAUCCACAUGAAUCAGCUCAGUAGACUUUGUUAUAGCUACUUUCAAGAAUGACAUGUCAAACCCCAAAAUCUCACUGGAAGUAGUGACACUCUCACAAAGAAAUUAAAACCAAUAAAAAUAGUCACUCCAAUGAAUGGUAAUUGAGAGAGAAAAUAAUAAAGAAGUGAUAUCACAUGCUCUCACCAAGAUGAAAUAAAUAUGCCCUCAGCUUAGAAAUAAUACAGUCUCAAGUCAAAUAAAAAUGCUAGUCAACCCAAUUUAUUUAUCUUUUUUUUAUAUUUAUUUAUUUAUUUUUAUUAUGCACCACUACAUCUCUUUAGCCCACAUAACUAGCUUCUACUUCAAAUUAUAGUUCCCUAAAAUCAGGAAGGACUUUUAUUAGGAUGUAACGUAGGCUAGGGACAUGGUUAACAAAGAAGGGAAAUAAGGAAAACAAAGUAUAUGUUUGAGAAAAAUGCAGAGGACUUUUUUUUUUUUUUUGGGAGUUGCAAGGUGGAUUUCACCUAUUAUUGUUAUUUUUAUUCUUUUGAAACAACAAUUUUUUUCUUUUGUUUUAGCAACAACAAUUUUUUAUUUGAACUAGGCAUAACUUCAUUGUACAAAAUGUUUAUUUACAUUUUUCUCAAACAUAAAUAGGUGAUGGAACUUAUAAGACAUCGGGUAAUACUCCAAAUCGGAGUGGGUCAAGAUGAUAAGUUGACAAAGAAAAGGUUUUUUUUUUUUUUAAAGGCUCAAAAGGGUUAACUAUGGAUAUUUAAUAAAAGGGAUGGCUAGAAAGGCUCAAACGGAUCAAAGAUGGCCUUUCCAUCGUCUUUUAGGGCUCUAAAUAAUCAUCCAUAUCUACUAGUUAGACAGGCCUCCAAAUGUAGCAACACACUUUUUUUUUUUAAUUUUACAAUUUUUUUUAAGGAUUAACUUAAAAGAAAUCUAAAGAUCGUGUAUAAAAUAAUAAACUGCUAAACUGUAUAGAGAAUGGGCAAAAGGGUUACUCUCCAAGAAAAUAAUAGGUUCAACAACUCACUUGGCACUUAUUUAUGACAUGUUCAUUCCUUCAAGCAACUCAUAUUUGUCUCCGACAUCAACAUGUAGAGUAGCAAACAUAAUGUAACAUCACUUAAGACCAAAGAUAAUACAAAUACUAAAAUUUGAAAUUAAUCAUGUCAUCCAAUGUUAAAACAAAUCACACAAUUUUUUUUUAACAACAUUCUACCCCCCAACCUAUUCUAAACAUGAAAGGAAAAUAUGCAUGCAGAAAUGUGAAAAUGAUGCAUAAAAACUAAUUAGAAAAGUUACACGUAAAAUAAUAGAAAACAAAGAUGGUUUUUUUUUUUUUAAAGAUGCGUUUCUAGAGGCACUACACUCCAUAUUCAGCCAUCUUCGACUCAAAAGUUGGAAAAUGUAUAUUUAUAGAGGAGAAAUUAAAAAGAAGAAGAAAAAUGAACAUCAAAACUUAAUAAAGAAAAAAAAAUUAUUUUUAAUUUUUUUGUUUUUUUAAUUAAUUAAUUUUUUUUAAAACAAUGAAGAUGCGUUUCUAGAGUCACUAUCCUCCAUAUUCAGCCAUCUUCAACAUAAAAAGUUAGCAAUAGUUAGUUUCUACAACAAACAAUUAGUAAAAACUUAACCAAAAUUCCACAAUUGUCGACUAUUCACUCCCCCCAACCAGAAUGAAACAUUGUCCUCAAUGUUUGAAAGGAAAGAAGUAGAGUUUAGAAGACAUCACCUGGGUGGUGCAACAUAGAAAAUAAUAUUUACAAGCGGAGAGUUAAAUCUAAUUUGUACUUCUUACUGCGGCUACCGUUACCAUCAUUAUUUGGAUGCUCCAACACAAAGGUCCAGGGGUCUGGCUCCGGUCUAUAAGCUUGUAACAUAUCAAGUAGCUCAUUAGCAGUGUGAGCACAAAUAAAGAGUUUUUUCGCAUUAGAGGGAAUGAAAUAGUUUUUUAUUGCAUGGUUAAGAAAUGCGAUAAAGCCAUUAUAAAAGUUAUUGACAUUUAACAAACCGAUGGGUUUUUGGUGGAUAUGCAGAUGGGCCCAAGAUGCUAGUGUGAUAAGUGCCUCUAGUGUUGCAAGAUCUCCUGGAAGGAAAAUAAAAGCAUCAGCAUGAUUAAGCAUUUCAGUUAUUCUUUCUUGCAUACCUGAGACGACUAACUCUUCUCCAGUUGAUGAGUUAGACGAACUGCCCAAUGGUUUUAGGACUCUUGGAAUGAUGCCUAACACUUGACUUCCUCUGACAAAAGCUGCUUCAGAGACCAUUUUUGAUAACCCUCGGUUACCUCCUCCAUACACCAAGUGUAAUUUUCUCUCUGCUAUACUUCGACCAAGAUCGAUGGCUGCCUCAACGAACUCUUUAUGUUUGCCAUAGGUAAAUCCAGAAAGCACACAAAUGUUCUUGAAUUGUCUAUUUGGAGUAGCUGCCAUUAUGAUACUUCUCAAAAAAUAAUUUGUGAGUGCUUGUAAAAAAAAAAUCACAUUUAAGAGCCUUGGUGACAGUGGGUCAUAGUUGUGUAUGAGGUAACAUGUCAGUGUCAAAUAACGUGUAAAGCACGUGGCUCGCGAGUCAAAAAGGAAACAGUAAAAGGGAAAAAGCAAACAGUAAUAAGGAAAAAGCAAACAGUAAUAAAAUUAUUAAAGACAAUAAUGCACACAAUAAAACAAUAGUGAAAUAAAAUAACAGUAAAGUGAAAGGAUAUUUACAGAUAGUUGCGACUGUGGCUCACAUCUUCCUCUGGUUUUAAGUCUAGAAACGGCUUGAACGCCCUCUAUGGGUCGAGGAUAGGCUUCUUAUCCAGUUUUGUUAUAAACUGGCAAACAGGGUCGUUUAUAGUUAGAUUCUCAAGACUAUAUCGUGCAUGCUCUUUCUGGAAUAAUGAUCAUAACUGGAGAAUCGCUCCUUGCACAUAUCCACUGGGAUGCGUUUCAAGAGACAAAAUGAUAUCAUCCAAUGACUCCUUAUUCAAGCCAUCCCUAAUGAAUUGAAUCUUAUCUUCCCUGUUAUCAGACAUCAUUCCUAAAGAACAUGGGUUUUUAUUGCAACUCAUUCUGGCACACUUAUGACAAACAACAGAAAUUCUUCGAGCUCGUUGUUUUCUUGCAUAAUUUUCUUUACCACAACCAGGCAUGUAUGCAAUAAAUUUUGGAGGUAACUCACCUGCCGAUCGUACUUUCGCCUCAAUUAACCAACGAAUAUCAGCAGGUAUGUUAUUCCUCAUGAGCAAUCGCAUGCGUUCGGACCGAGCUUUAUAGAUCGUAAGGAGGGCAUUCUGAGGAAGUGAAGGGAAUCGCUUGUAAAGCUUCGCUAGAAUCUCCUUUCUGUCCAUACUUUCGCCUCAGAAUAUCAGUUAUUAUGGGAAACUGAAGUAACCGACUUGAUUAUCACGGAGUACCGUUAUCCGCCACUUCACCAAGGUAACAAACUAAAGCACACAAACAGAAAAACAAAUUAAAACACAUAAAGAAAAUUAAAAUCGUCCUCUUAUUGAAUUCACCUCAAGCUCCAACUGGAUGUCGUAAACACUUCUCUCAAUAUCUCUGAGUUGGCUUUCUAGACCCUCAACAUAGGAUACUAACUCUGGUGGUUGACACGUUGAAGUGGUUUAAGAAUGUUCAGGAGGAAUGGUCUAAGUAAGGUACUCAUGAUUAAAAAUGAUAAGAGAAAACUUAAUAGUUAAACAAACACACUUAUGCAAAAAUAAUUUCAAUUAGCAAAAGAAUAAUAUAAAGAAAGAAAGAAAGAAAAAAUCAAAUCACUGAAAAGAAAAAAAUCAAUUCAAAUUUGGUGGGUCACUCAAAUUUAUUUCGAUGUCUUCUCCAUGUGGUUGGUAUUCUAGAUAUGGCUUUAAUCUUUGAGCAUUAACUUUAAACAUGACGCCAUUCUUUGGGUCCUUAAUUUCAAUUGCCCCAUGUGGAAAAACAGUAUGAACAAUAAAGGGACCAGACCAAUGAGAGCGUAACUUACCUGGGAAUAGGUGCAAGCGAGAAUUGAAUAAAAGUACUUUCUGACUUGGAGUGAAUGAUUUUCUCAUAAUUUGCUUGUCAUGAAAGACUUUCAUCCAUUGCUUGUAAAUCUUGGCAUUUUCGUAUGCAUCAUUGCGAAUUUCUUCAAGUUCUGCCAGUUGUAAUCUUCUUUCUGAGCUGGCUUGCUGCAUGUCAAAGUUGAAUUUCUUGAUGGCCCAAUAUGCACGAUGCUCGAGUUCCACAAGUAGGUGGCAAGCUUUUCCAUACACUAGCCUGUAGGGUGACAUCCCAAUCGGGGUCUUGAAAGCCGUUCUAUAUGCCCAUAAGGCAUUAUCAAGUCCUAAUGACCAAUCUUUUCUGUCCGGCCUCACCGUCUUUUCUAAUAUGUGCUUUAUUUCUCGAUUGGAGAUCUCAACUUGGCCACUGGUUUGUGGAUGAUACGGGGUCGCCACUUUGUGUGUGAUUGAAUACUUUGUCAAAAGAGCUUUGAAUGCUUUGUUACAAAAGUGGGCACCACCAUCACUGAUUAUUGCUCAAGGGAAUCCAAAGCGUGAGACAAUAUUGCUUUUCAAAAAUCCUAUCACCACCUUGUGAUCAUUGGUUCUGCAUGGAAUUGCUUCUACCCAUUUCGAUACAUAGUCAACAGCAACUAAUAUGUAUUGAUGGCCAAAAGAAGGGGGAAAGGGUCCCAUGAAGUCGAUACCCCAUAUAUCAAAAAUCUCAACCACUAAAAUUGAAUUUAGUGGCAUCAUGUUCCUUCGUGUAAUGCUCCCCAUUCGUUGACACCUAUCAUAUGAAGAACAGAAAGUGUAAGCGUCUUGAAAUAUAGUUGGCUAAUAGAAACCACAUUGCAAAACUUUAGUAGCUGUUUUCUUAGCACUGAAAUGGCCUCCACAAGCUUGUUCAUGGCAGAAUGAAAGGAUAUUCUGAAUUUCACUUUUGGGACACAUCGUCUAACAAUUUGGUCUGCACAAUACUUGAACAAAUAAAGGUCAUCCCAAAAGAAAUUCUUUAUUUCUGCAAAAAAUUUAACCUUGUCUUGCUUGGUCCAAUGCUCUAGAAGUUUACCUGUAACAAGAUAAUUAACUAUAUCAGCAUACCAAGGUAAUACUUCCACAUUCAUUAAUUGUUCAUUUGGAAAUGACUCAUUCAAUGGUAAUGAUUCUGUAAUUGUGUCAAAAUGGAGACGAGAGAGGUGGUCCGCCACAACAUUUUCUGUCCCUUUCUUAUCUUUGAAUUCCAAGUCAAAUUCCUGCAAAAGUAACACCCAACGAAUUAGUCUAGCUUUUGCAUCUUUCUUUGUAAGAAGAUAUUUAAGAGCAGCAUGAUCUGUGAACACGAUUAUUUUACAACCAAUGAGAUAAGAUCGAAAUUUCUCCAAUGCAAACACUACUGCUAGCAUUUCUUUUUCAGUAGUUGAAUAGUUCAACUAUGCAUCAUUCAAUGUCAUACUAGCAUAGUAAAUAACGUGGGAAAUUCGAUCAACUCUUUGUCCUAAUACUGCUCCUACUGCAUAAUCAGAUGCAUCACACAUGAGCUCAAAUGGUAAGCUCUAGUUCGGGGCCUGAAUGAUGGGUGAUGAUGUCAACAACUGCUUUAAUUUUUUAAAAGCCACAAGACAUGAAUCAUUAAAGAUAAAAGGUACAUCAUUAGCAAGUAAAUUGCAUAAGGGUCUAGAAACUUUGCUAAAAUCUUUAAUGAAACGUUUAUAGAAACCAGCAUGCCCAAGGAAAGAUCUUACUUCUCUGACUGUUUUGGGUGGAGGAAGAUUAGAAAUGAGAUCCACCUUGGCUUUGUCAACCUCAAUACCUUUGCUCGAAAUGAUGUGACCGAGAACAAUACCUUGUUUUACCAUAAAAUGACAUUUCUCCCAAUUUAAAACCAAGUUCUUCUCAAUACAUCUCUGCAGAACUAAUGUUAGAUGAUGUAAACAUUGAUCAAAUGAAUCACCAAAGACAGAAAAGUCAUCCAUAAAGACUUCAAGGAAUCGUUCAACCAUAUCAGAAAAAAUGCUCAACAUGCAUCGUUGAAAUGUAGCAGGUGCAUUACAUAAUCCAAAUGGCAUCCUCCUAUAUGCAAAAGUGCCAAAAGGGCAAGUGAAAGUAGUUUUCUCUUGAUCUUUUGGUGCUAUGGGAAUCUGAUUAUAUCUUGAGUAGCCAUCUAGAAAGCAAUAAAAUUCAUGGCCUGCUAAUCUAUCAAGCAUUUGAUCGAUAAAGGGUAAAGGAAAAUAAUCUUUACGUGUGACAGAAUUCAACUUUCUAUAAUCAAUGCAAACACGCCAUUCUGUAGUUACUCUAGUGGGUAUCAAUUCAUUAUCAGCAUUGGUAACUACUGUGACUCCUGACUUUUUGGGGACAACUUGUACAGGACUGACCCAUGAACUAUCAGAAAUUGGGUAAAUGAUACCUGCAUCUAAUAGCUUAAGGACUUCUGUUCUAACAACUUCUUUCAUAUUAGGAUUUAACCGACGUUGCAUUUCCCUAGUAGAUUUAGCAUUUUUAUCAAGGUGAAUGUAAUGCAUGCAAUCUACUGGAUUUAUACCUUUUAUGUCUGCUAUGGUCCAUCCUAAUGCUCCUUUGUGCUCUUUUAAAACAUCCAACAACUUACCUUUUUAUUCGUCAUUUAGGGAUGAUGAGAUGAUUACCGGUACAGUACUUUCUUCUCCCAAAAAUGCAUAUUCCAAAGUGUUGGGUAAUGGUUUGAGCUCAAGUUUCGGUGGUGAUUCUGAUGAUGGGAUGAGUUUCUUCUCUGAUGGUGCUAGUUGCUUAACUCUUGACUUCUAUUUAUCAGUGUCCAUAGAUGGUGUUGAGUCAAGUAGGGCGUUGACCUCAUCGACCGAUCUGUCAAUAUCAAAAUCCAAACCAAAGUGAGUUAAACAUGUUUGUAAAGGAUCAUCACUAAGGUUUGAAACAAAAGUAUCAUCAACUAAUGCUUCAAUUAAAUCCACAUCAACAAUUCCAUCAUCUGCACUGUGAGGUUGUUUGGCAAUGUUGAAGAUGUUCAGCUCCAUAGUCAUGUUGCCGAAGGACAACUGCAUAUUUCCGGUCCUGCAUUGAAUGUGAGCAUCCACAGUUGCCAAGAAAGGUCGGCCUAGAAUAAUGGGGAUGUGCUUCCUCGAGUCCUGUAUUGGUUGAGUGUCAAUUACAAUGAAAUCAACAGGAAAAUAAAAAUUGUCUACCUGGAUAAGCACGUCCUCCACAAUACCAUGAGGUAUUUUUGUGGACCGAUCUGCAAGUUGUAACACCACUGGAGUUGGGUGUAAUUCUCCAAGUCCAAGUUUCACAAACACUGAAUAAGGUAACAGAUUUACACUAGCUCCUAAAUCCAACAAAGCAUUCUCAAUUGUGUGGUUCCCUAUGCUACAUGAGAUAGUAGGGGAGCCCGGGUCUUUGCAUUUUAAAGGAAUUUUGUGUUGGAGUAUAGAACUAAUGUUUUCUGUUAAAAAUGCCUUAUUUUGAACAUGCAUAUUUCUUUUUUUAGUACAAAGGUCUUUAAGAAACUUGGCAUAAGAUGGAACUUGCUUAAUAGCAUCAAGCAAAGGGAUAUUAACACUUACCUGUUUGAAGAUUUCAAGAAUCUCACCUGUGGAUUUUCCCUUUUUUCCUUUAGCUAACCUUUGAGGAAAUGGAGCUUUCGGAACGUAUUCUCAUGAGUUGUUUUCUUCUUUCUCCUCCGGUGAUGAGUACUCAACAUUCACAGGUACAAUUUGAUUUUCUUUUGUCACCAGCAUCUCCACUUUGUUGUCGACUUCUUUUCCUUUUCGCAAUGUCAUGACUGCUUUGACUUCUCCAUGCUGUUGUGGUGAACUGGUACUUGCUUCAUGUACUUCUUUAGGAUUAGGCACGGGUUGACUUGGAAACUUGCCUUUCUCAACAGUCAUUGCCAAGGUCUGAACUGAAGAAGCAAGUUGUCCCACCAUCUUCUCGAGGCUUGAAACUGAUUGGGCUUGUGAGUUGAAGCCCGCUCUCAAUUCAUUUCGUAGUCCAUCAAUGGUGCGGUUCUGUUGCUCAAUCGUGGAGUGAGUAACAUUCCUGAAAUUCUGGAAUGCAUCCUCCCAUGGUCUAGGUUGAGAGUGGUUCUGGUUCUGAUUGUAUGGUCUGAAUGGUGGCUGAGAGGCUUGAGGAAUUUCAGAAAUUUGUUGCAUUGGUGGAGCUGGAGCUGCUGGUCCAUUCUGUUGGAAUCUUUGAGACCAUGAAAAAUUGGGGUGGUCUCUUCAUCCAGGGUUAUAUGUGUUGGAGUAUGGAUUGUAAUUUGAUGGCUUUCUCAUUACACCUAUGGCAUUGGCUUGAUCAGAGUAUGACUCAGGGUCAUGUGGUUCUGUUGAUUUAGCAGUCGAUAACGAUGCUAUUUGUCGAGCAAGACCUUCAACCAUCUCCUUGACUUCUUUGAAUCCCGAAGUUGACUCGCGAAUGUGAACCUCAUUUACUCCCUUAAUUCUUCUAGUAUUCCUGAAUGAUCGACUCCGUUGUUGGGAAUUAUCCGCUUGUCGCUGGAAGAAUUCCCAAAUCUCUGAUGCACUUUUUGACAUUAGCUCUCCUCCACUUGUUGCCAUUAGCCAUUCUUGCACAUUUGGUAGUGAUCCCUCCAAAAAGUAUUGGCAUUGGUGCCAUUUCUCGUACCCAUGAUGUGGACACUUCAAGAGUAGCCCAUUGAAUCGCUCCCAUGUUUCGAAAAACUGCUCGUACUCUCUCUGAGUAAACUCCGAGAUUUCCCUGCGAAUAGCAUUGGUUUUAUGCACUGGGAAAUAUUUAUUCAAAAAUUUAGUUACCAUUUGUUCCCAUGAUGAAAUGCUAUUGGCAGGCAAUGUAUUAAGCCAUGAACGAGCUCUAUCCUUUAAAGAAAAUGGGAAUAAUCUGAGUUUAACAUCAUUGUCUGAAAAAUUUUCAUAUUUAAAGUUUGACAAAUGGCAUGAAAAUCAUUCAGAUGAUUAUAUGGGUCCUCAUUUUCUAGGUCAUAAAAUGUGGGGAGACAAUUUAGCACACUAGAUUUUAAUUCAAAGCUCCUAGCAGCUACAUUUGGGUAUCUUAUACAUGAUGCGCUCAAAUUUGCUAAAGGACUGAAAUAAUCCUUAAAUGGCCUCUCCUGUGGUUGCAAAUCCAUUUUAUUUUUUACUUGUUUGUGUGUGCGAAGUGUUUUCUCAAGUUCAAGGUCUAUAGGUUCAAGAUUGGGUAAUAAUGACAUUCGACCAUGCAUGCAAAACAAAUAAAAUAAAAAAUAAAGAUGGGAACAAAAUAAAUAAAAAUAAAAAAGAGGGAGAAAUUACGAUACUAACCUUAUUGGGCUAUUACAAACUUUCUAUAAAAAUACACAAAAACAAAUACGUGAAAUAAAUUAACUAAACAUUAAAUUAAUAAAAUAAACAAAAAAAAUUACAAAGAAAAAUAAAUUAAAAAUUAAAUUACAGAAUUUUAAAGAAGAGAAAAAGGAAAGAAAUGCUAACCUUUAAAUGUAAAUUCACUUUUUUUUCUUUUUUUUAAUAAUAAAAAAAAUACAAGAAAACAAAUAAAAGAAAUUAUUCACAAAAAUUAAUUCUAAAAAUUACUUACCUCCCUGGCAACGGCGCCAAAAACUUGUUGUGCAAAUUUUAAUAUACUCGCAAGCGCACGAAUCUAUUGCAGUAUAGAUCAAUGGUGACGAGUGUCGAUCCCACGAGGAGGUGGAUUUUAAUUGUGUAGAAUUAAUUUUGUAAAUGGGUGAUUGGAUUUGUGGUGGAAAUGAUUUGGAAUAUCCUAAAACUUAAAUUAAAAUGGCGAGAAUAAAUUCUAAAAUUGGAAUUGAAAUUACGAGAAUAAAUUGAAGAGAAUUCUAUUAAAAUGACGUACUUGGGUAUCUGGAUCCGUAUCAACAUGCAUCAUGGGCUAAAUAAUCCUUAUUAAUGCCAAUUAAAUCAUGAGGGGGGAAUCCACACCUCAUGAACCACACUCUAAUCAAUAUGGUGCUAAGGGCUUAUCGUGCCAAAUAAUAAUAACCUUGUACUAGAGGGCCGGUGAAACCAAGGCGGUACUAGACAAGAUUAGUAUUAUUUGUCGACGAGAAGUCAAAACAUCCACAAAAACUAGAGGGGAAGAGAAAAUAAAUUUACCAAAUAAAACCCAUGACACAUGUUGAGACUUCACUUUCAACCCAAGCUUGAAAGAAAAUUAGCUACUCAUAAUUGAACUAGGGGCAAAAUGAGAAUUUAUUAAAAUACGAAGAAACUACAAGAUGGAGAAGGAAUUACAAAAAAUAGAGUCCAAAAAUGGAUUCAGAGAUAUCAAAUUAUGGGGGAGAGGCCCCCUUUUUAUAGAUACAUCAAGUAAAUCAUGGCCAUCGGAUUAAAAACAGUUUGGACGCUCAAGAUUGCGACACGUCAUCAGUCAACAGUAACACGGUUUGACUCGGAUGAACAGUAACACGGUUUGACUCGGAUGAACAGUAACGCGGUUUGACUCGGAUGAACAAUAACGCGUUUGGUUGAAAAUAAUUCUGUGUGAUGCAUGUACCGUAUGCGAGAUUUUUCGUUCACUAAUAUGCUGCCACGUCACCAUCAACAGUACAUAAGAAUUUUAGCCCAACAGGAUCGUGACACCUCAUCAGUCAAUGCCACAUCAUCGGUCAAUGCCACGUCAUCGAUCCGUCUAUGUGAACAAUGUAGUGAACAGUAACGUAGACAGUACCGUACACGUGAAUAGUACCGUACAUGUGAAUAGUGCCAUUUUUCCAUUUAUGUUCCUCCUAAGGUUUUCGACCGUUCUGAGUUCAAAAGUGAUGUCCGUUUUGCCGUCUGAUCUCUCCUUUAUUGUGAAAUGACUUUAAUGCCCCUAAAAUACAUAAAAUACUUAAUUAAAAUAAAACACAUGUAAUUAAAUCACAAGAAGGUUAAAUACAUAAAAGUAAGGGUUGUUAGUAAGACUUGAAAUGUAAAAUGACGGUCUUCUCCUUUAUAAGUAUGCAUUUUCUGACACUCAACAUGUGUGUGUAUGGAGGGCAAAUCUUUGACUACCUCCAGCUUCAAGGACCUAUACAAUAACUCUUAAAUCAAACGGAGAAAAUAGUUAAUUCAAUCUGAUUGAAUAUGAUUGAUAUUUACCAUAUGAUUAUUACAUAAAGAUUGAGCCUUAAGUGUUUUACAUUAAGUAAUACUGCACAUUUGUUCUACACAUUUAGACAACUCAGAGUAAGAAUUAUGAAAAUGACAACCAAAUCCAAACUAGCUAGGUGCACUAUUAUUAUUUAUCUUUGCUCCAUAAAUAUUAGAAAGAUAGAGGAGCGGAAGAAAAAGAAAAAACUAAUUUUGUAGUCACAAAUCAAUCUUAUGCUCUGAUUUUGAAGCAAAUCUGCAAAAUAUUUGAGGAUCCAACCAUGAAGCAUGUCCACUUCAAUCUUUCGCUGCACUGCUAACCAUUAUGGGUCGUCUUCUAUUGCUGGCUGUACGUCUAAGCAAUGGGAACCUACUCCAAUUUACACACUGUUAAUUAAUUAUGUUAUCAAAUAAUUUAGUUAAUAAUUGAACACUUAUUUUUUAUUUUAUAGAAAAAUUUACAUACUGCUUCUUGUUGUCACUGUUAUUAUAUUGUCUGAUAUCUUCCAAAACCCUAUAAUCUCCCCCCCACCAAAAAAAAAAGAAGAAAAAGAAUAAGGCAUAUAAUUAAACGGGUAACUUCGAUAGAAAAUAGUGUACAAAAUUUUUAAGCUUAAUUACCCCUCGCUGCUAUGGGAUCACGAAGGCCAUUAGGUAAAAUAAUGUUGCUACCAAAUCUCUUUAAAACCACUCUUAUAUCUUGCAAAUUAAAAAGAAAUAGAAAUCAAACAACAAUUGAGGUAAACUUUAUAAUUAAAAAAGAAAAUGAGAAAAAUUAAAUUAUUAAAAGAAUUAAUUUGGGGAUUAAUCAAUACUUACAUGACCUCCGUAAUAUGUUGUAAUCUAAUGUGGUCUCGGAACCACUCCAUAAGACUUAUUGCAUGAAUUCAUAUAUUCUGUCAGAUUAAAUGAGUAUGUUUGAAACAUUGUGUCGUUUUUGCCAAUUCCAAUUGGUGAGACCAUUUCAUUGUAUGUCUGGAUUGAACUCCCCCUCCCUAAAAAAAAUAAUAAAUAAAUAAGAUAAAGAAGAAAACUAUUUUUAAUCAUUCAUAAAUAUGUAUUCUCAUAAAUAAAAUUUAGAGAUGUACAUAAAAUAAGUAUUGUUAGACGAAAGACUCAUUCAUUGCGACAUGUUGUUUAUUUGACGGUCUCAAUAGUACUAUCCAAUUGGUUUAUUGGCUUAUAUUUGUGUGGUGUAGAUCUAUUUGAAUAACAUUGCAGAAAUAUGAGAUAAUAUGGAAAAUAUUAGAAAUAGUUAAUAGCAUUAUUAAGAUACUAAAUAUCAGCCAAAAUAAUAAAAUAAAUAAAAAGCUCAAAGAGUUCUUGUUGUAAAUCAUGACUCGAAUAGGAAAAUAAACAAGACUAAUCAUAUCUUUGUGUAAAUUUAAUUUGUAUAAAAAAAACGUGUAGGUGUAAUAUUAUAAAUAAACUCAUAGAGAAAAGAAUGUGUAAACUCCUGUGAUUUGACAAAAUAAUCAAAAUAAUCUGUUUAUUUUUUAAAAUAGUUACAAAGCUCCUUUUGUAACAUACAAACUAUGGAAAUUCAUGGGCUACUUAACAUCCAUUUUAAUUUUUUUUUAUUUACACAAAAACAUCAUAGACGAAAGAAGAUAAAAAAUUUCAUUGCACCCAAUUUUUUUGCAUGCGAUCAAUAAGGAAAAGAGGCAGAAAGUGUUGGAAAUAUAGCACAAGUGGCUAUUUGAGGCGUGAUUUUGAGUGAGACCUAUGUGGUGUAAGUGAAAAGUUAAAAUUGUUUCAAAUAUUUCUCUGUAAAUACUUCAAAAUGGUUUUAUCUAUAUGAUCAAAAUGAUCCUUGGAUAAAUGAGAAAUGGUAACUGAAAGUAAAUUCAUGGAAUUGGAAAAUUAAAGGAAGAUACAUUUGUCCCACAUGAAAAAGGUAGUGAAGGCAUGAAAGGCUUGUAUAUAAUUAUUUAUAGUAUGAGUAAAAUAUAAACCAAAAUGCUCUCUCUUCCGUGCUCCUUCCUGAGUAUACGAAAGUUGGCCCAAAUCGAUCGUGGUAGGCCUGCCUUAGUCUUGCACAUUUGAAGUUCAUCGUGAAACGAUCCCAUAGUUGUCGUUCAAACCUCUGGGCACUUAAAAAAAGGUUUUCUUUUUAUUUUUUUUAUAUUUUUUAAAUUUAAUAAAUGCCAUAUUAUUUAAUAUUUAAUUUUAAGGCAUCUUUUUAAGUUGAGGGCAGGGAACCACUCCGAUACGUAACUUCGUGACCUGCUAAUCUAAUCACCUUGACUUUGAAGACUUCUUCCCCUAGUCAGCAAUGAUUUGGAACUUACGUCUUGACAUAUGCUGUGGAAAAAAAAGAGUGAAGCAGACUUAUUAAGUCGAGAUGUUUCUUCAGUCUAGAUAUUUUCGUUUAUACGUGUACACAUAUUCAAUGUCUAACCUUAUUUUGAAAAAAGACUAAUGUCCUAUUUGGGAUUACGGUUGAAAUACUAUAAAUAGUUUAUUUUAUAAGUUUUGAUAAAAAUAAUGUUUGGUAAAUUUGUUAAAAGUUAAUUUAUAUUUUCUCUAUUUUGACAAUAGCUUUUAAAACAAGUAUGAGAUUAUUUUUAGAAGCAACUUAUUAAAUAAAAUGCAUUUUUUUAAAUUUUCUAUUAUAACUAAGAAAAGAAUAAUUGUAUCUUACUUUUUUUAUAAAUCCUAAUAUAUAAAUAAAAGACAAUUUAAACUUAUAAUUAUUUUAGUGAUUAUAUAAUAAAAUAGUUCUUGCAUAAUUGAAUUUACCAAACACUGAGCGAGCUACUUUUAUAAUGAUUAGCUUAUUUUAUCCGCAUAACAGAAGUAGUUUAUUCAAUAGCCACCGGAAUCUCAAACUGAUUCUAAGUCAUGUUUGGAAUUGCAUGACAUUGUCAAAUAAUUAACAAAAGAAGCUAUUAUGUAGAAGCAUAGGAACAGGUUGAGAAUGAGAGAUACAUGUACAUGGAGAGCAAAUUCUUUUACUCUCACCGGCUUCAACGACCUAUACAAUAACUCCUAAAUCAAAGGGAGAAAAUGGUUAAUUCAAUGUGAUUGUACAUGAAUUGAUAUUCACCAUAUGAUUAUUACAUAAAGAUUGAGCCCUUUAUAUGUGCUUUACAUUAAGUAAUACUGCACACUUGUUCUACACAUUUAGACAACCCAGAUUAAGAAUAAUGAAAAUGAACUCUUAAACUAGCUAGGUGCUCUAUUAUUUAUCUUUGCUCCAUAAAUAUUAGAAAGAUAGAGGAGAGGAAGAAAAAGAAAAACAACAACAUACACUCUAAAUAAUCCUUCAAUUCUGAAACAUCCUUCAGAGGCUUGUAAUCAAAUAAACAACAACAACAUAGAAUUAAGUGCCACAAGGUUAGUAACAUUAUAAAAGAUCUUUCAACAUGCCGUCUAAAAAAUGUUGUUAUAUUUAGUUAGAUUACAAUAAACUUUAUAAGUAUGAAGCUAUUGAUAUUAUCAAAUGCAAACGUACAAAUUUGGCCUUAUUUGAUAAUUAGAGUUGUGCGUGGUUUUGUAGUUCAAAUUUAGAUUCUGUAAAAUACGAACCUCUGGAGGGCUGAAUCUAAGCACCAGUAUACUAUAUAUAUGGUAAUGCAAAGGCCGUGUAUAAGCCCAAAUCCAGAUUUUUACUUUGUAUAUUACACGUUAAUCGAAAUGUAUAUAUACUCUGAGGAUGACAGAUAAUUAAUUAGACAUAGUACAUUCGAUAAUGAUGCUACAAUAACAUUGCAUUAAUUGUAAUUAAGGGAAAAUCGGAUGGAUAUAUAUAAGCAAUUAUGUAAAGUAAUAUGAUUAAUUUCUUGCAGGUUUUGAACUUUUUAGAGAGAAAAGCAAGUCCAUUUUUUCUAGCAGCGGUUUUAUCCAUUUCAACCCAGGACUGUUUGAUGGUCAUGUAGCAGCCCUCGCUGGCUUCCUGCAUCAUUAAUUUUCAAAAUUCAAUGGUUAAAUUUUAACAAGAAAACAUAAUCAUACAUAUAUAGAAUUUUAAUUAAUUAAUUUUUUUUCUUACCCUACAGUCAUUGGUGACAAGAUCAUAAUAUGCGUUUGAUGGUGUGAUAUUAUCAAAGUAGAGAAUUGGGGCGGGCGAGGCAACUGCUCCCAAAGACUGUGAGGAUACUUCAAGCGAAACCAUGCUGCAAGCACUGGUGAUAACAAACCCACAAUUGAGUAACUCUCAAAACCAUAUCACAUCCCAGAUUUGAUAAAAUAGGACUAAUUGAGAUGGUUAUUUUUAAAAAAGUAAUUAUCUUAAAUAUAUUUAGUAUUUCUUAAUUUUACGAUCGCUGAAAGUAUUCAUUAAUUGGAAUGCAAAAUAAAUUUGUAUCAAAAUAAUAUUGGCGUAAUCAAUAUUUUGGUCAAACGAGAUCAAAAUGAAUAAAAUGGCGCAACAAAUGACACGACAUUAAUCAAAAGAUGUAAGUAAGUUAAUAAUAUUAAAAUUUACUUCCUCGAUAAGAUGCUCCAACGACGAUAAUGGGUGACAUUUCGGCCGAUAAAUUUUCCUUGAUGUGUAAGAGAAUCUUUGCAUAAUCUACCAAAGCUUGACCAGAGUUUAAAUAUCCACGAAGAGUUGCAUUGUUUAGGGCAUCUUUGCUUGAUACAAAAGGUACUGAUUUUCCAUAGAACCGAUACUGCAUGAAAAAUUGAAUUAAAAAAAAUCCAUCACAACUUUUCAGUUCAUAUUAUAGAAUAUUCUGAUUAAGAUUUGUCUUUAUUAUUAUUAUUUCGUAUGCGAACUCUAUUUUAAUUAUUAUCAAGCUAGCCUGAUAACAAAUUCUUUACUUACCUCUAUGUAAACUUAUAAGGCUUUAAAUCGAUGAGCAUUAUCAGCAAGCCAUCCAAUGCCACCAAGGUCAUCAUAUCAAGACUACUCUCUUCACCAAGAUAUGCCAAUAUCGGCGCCGCCAUGGCUCUGCCACCACCCCAAUGCUUGAAGUUCAACGCAUAUCUAUGAGGAAAAGUUAAAUAACUUUGUGGAUUAUAGUUAAAGUGAUCAAGUGUUUGAUCAUAAUAGUAAGUUUCGAGAUCAUAAUAGUAACUUUGUGGAUUUUUUUGCUAGGGUUUUGAAAAAUAGUCCUUCCACGAACAGCACCAAGCUUUGGGAUGUUCUUUAAUGGUGAAGUGGAAGCAAAAGCAAAAUUUGUGACGAGAAGAAGAAAAAGGCAUGGAGCGACCGACCUUUCAUGGCAAAGUUGUAAAUCCUUAAUUAGCAGGAUGAUUAUGUAAAUACAGAAGAAAUAGAGUUAAGAUUAGAUUAUAAAUUCAGCUUCAAAAUCGACGUGUUUGUUAAUAUAUCCUGGAUUUGUUGUUAUCGUAUAAUAUAAUUAAUGUUGCUUUUAGUUUUAUAUUAGUAUGGAUCUUCAGUUUUCAUAAAAUUAUAGUGUGUCUAAUGUUGUGCAAAUUUUAUUGAACUCACAAGUGUACGAAUCUAUUGUAGAAUAGAUUAAUGGUGACGAGUAUCGAUCCCACGAGGAGGUUGAUUCUAAUUGUGUGUAGAAUUAAUUUUUCUAAAUGGAUGUUUGGAUUUGUGGUGAAAGUGACUUAGAUUAUCUUAAAAUUGGAAUUGAAAUGGCGAGAAUAAAUUGAAGAGAAAUCUAUUGAAAUGAAACACUUGGGUAUCUGGAUCCGUAUCAACAUGCACCAUGGGCUAAAUAUUCCUUAUUAAUGUCAAUUAAAUCAUGAGGGGGGAAUCCACACCUCAUGAACCACACUAUAAUCAAUAUGGUGCUAAGGGCUUAUCGUGCCAAAUAAUAAUAACCUUGUACUAGUGAGUCGGUGAAACCAAGACGGUAUCUAGACAAGAUUAUUAUUAUUUGUCGACGAGAAAUCAAAACAUCUACAAAAACUAGAGGGGAAGAGAAAAUAAAUUUACCAAAUAGAGCCCAUGACACAUGUUGAGACUUCACCUUCAACCCAAGCUUGAAAGAAAAUUAGCUACUCACAAUUGAACUAGGGGUAAAAUGAGAAUUUAUUAAAAUACAUAGAAAAUACAAGAUGGAGAAUAAAUUACAGAAAAUGGAGCCCAAAAUUGGAUUCAGAGAUAUCAAAUUAGGGGGGGAGAGCUCCCUUUUUAUAGAUACAUUGAGUAAAUCAUGGCCAUCGAAUCAAAAACAUUUCGAACACUCAGGAUUGCGCCACGUCAUUAGUCAACAGUACGCGGUUUGAACAGUAACACGGUUUGGUUGAAAAUAAUCCUGUGUAAUGCAUAUACUGUACGCGAGAUUUUUGGUCCACUGAUAUGUUGCCACGUCAUCGAUCAACAAUACAUAAGAAUUUUAGUCCAAUAGGAUCGUGACACCUCAUCAGUCAAUGCCACAUCAUCGGUCAAUGCCACGUCAUCGGUCAAUGCCACGUCAUCGUUCCGUCUAUGUGAAUAGUGUCAUGAACAGUAACGUAGACAAUACCGUACAUGUGAGUAGGACCGUACAUGUGAACAAUGACAUUUUUCCUUUUAUGCUCCUCCUAAAGUUUUCGACUGUCCUAAGUUCAAAAGUGAUGUCCGUUUUGCCGUAUGAUUUCUCGUUCAUUGUGAAAUGACUAUGAUGCCCCUAAAAUACAUAAAAUACUUAAUUAAAAUAAAACACACGUAAUUAAAUCACAAGAAGUUUAAAUACAUAAAAGUAAGGGUGUUAGUAAGACUUGAAAUGUAAAAUGAUGAUUUUCUCCUACAUAAAUAUACAUUUUCUAACACUCAACAUCUAAUAUAUAGUUAACAGUUUCGUAAUUAAUAAAAUUUUUUAUUAUUUCUUUCCUAGUAAUUAAUUAUCUUGUGCUGGAAAGAAUAUCACUAACCACAACUUCUGCAGAAGCUUCCUCACCUUCGGAUGACAUCAGCGGUGGGUCCAGGAUGUUUGAUCGGAUCGGCGAAAUUAAAAAUUUAUUGUAUAUGUUUGCGUGAAUAUUUACAAAGGAGUGAAAAAACUAAUAUAUUAAAUAACGCGACAUCAACAACGUCGUUCUGAAUGAAAUUUUUAUAUAUAAUUUGUAAAAUAAACUAAUAAUUAGAAUGACAAUUUAGCCUUUUUAACUUGUAGAGACACAACCUUAAAUUCCUUAAUAUGCUGGUUAAUUCAGAUCAUUGAGAUGGAGACAAUUAGACAAACCUUAUUUUAUCAGAGUGAACUGCGAAAGUACAAGCUUUACAAAAGAGAUUAAUGUCGUAGUGUGAAUAGAAUUAAAAAAUACUAAGGCAGACAAUUCGUCGAACACAUAAUAUUUGCUACAUUGCUACUACCUAAUAAUUUCACAACCAAUUAACAGUCUCCUUUAUUGGAAAAAUCACAUUAAUCAACCAAAUACAUUUCUUGGUUUCUAAGCUCCAAAAUUGAAAUUUCAUGAAAAGGUUUCUGCAUUGGUGUCUUAUUGCGAGCGAUAAAUUCGUUGGACACGAGUUGCAUUGUAGGUCGAGACUUUGGUUGAGAACGCAAGCAUGAAAAUACUACUGUUGAAACAAGAAUGAUAUCCUGCCUAAUCAUUUGGUCCCCCGGAGGCGGGAGGCGUGGGUCCAACAAAUCAAUCAGCUUUAUAUUUUUAUCCAAUGAUGACGAUGACGAUGAGAGGAGCGCUUCUGGAUGCCUUCCCACUAGUACUUCUAGUGCCACCACUCCAAAGCUAUAAACAUCACAUUUCUCUGUCACAAUCAUGGUGUAGGCAAGUUCUAUAGGAAAACAAAGGCCUUCAUUAGUAACGUUUCCAUAAAUAAUAACAAGAACAAUUUGUUCAUGUUUUUUAGCUUCCGCAGCAAGUUAUGACAAAGAAACUUAUGUUUUAACUUAUGUUCAUUGUGUGUGUGUUUUAAAAGGAAAAGGGGUAGGCAAAGUUUAAAUUUAUUUUUAGCCCCUUAGCUUUUUCAAAAUUCGAACCAAGUAGCGACAUAAAUAAAGCUGCUUAAAAGCUACUUGGCAGAGUAUAUAUAAAAAUUAAUUAAGAGGAUAAUUAAAGAAGCAUAAGAGGAAUAGCUAGAGGAUGACCUGGAGCAAUAUAUCCAAAAGUGCCAGCUAAAAGAGUUCGGUUGGAUGAGUCAAAAUUUAACAAUCUAGCAAUGCCAAAGUCCGCAACAAAUGCUUCUAAUUCUGAGUUAAGUAGAAUGUUGUUGCUUGAUAUGUCCCGGUGAACAAUUGGUGGUGUGCAGUGAUGAUGUAAGUAUGACAAAGCGUGAGCCAUACCCUUCACAAUGUUCACCCUUUUAGUCCAAUCCAACCCAAUAGCUUCCUCAUCUGUGCGUAGAACACAGAACAAGCUUCCCAUUUCCAUGUACUCAUAGAUUAAGAACAUGCAUGUCUUGUGCAAACAAAAGCCGUAAAGCUUUACGAUAUUUCGAUGCCGUAUUUGGGACAGUAGACGAGCCUCAUUCCGAAAACUCUCGAGGGAAGCUAACUCCUCAGUUUCUGAACGGUGAAGCUUCUUCAAAGCAACCACUUUUCCACUGGGCAGCCGUGCUCUGUAAACGCUGCCGUAGCCUCCGGUUCCAAUGCAGUAUUUGAUAUCGAAAUCCUCAGUGGCUUCAAUCAUGUCUUGAAAUGUAAUUCUACCAUCGUAAUUCCAAAUUGCAAACUCAUCAGCGCACUUGGUAAUUUCUCCUGUCCCAGUUGGUUCAACUUCCUUAUCCCUUCGUCUACGGAUAAUCAAGAUUCCAAAUAUCAAGGCAAGGAAUGCGACCAUAGCAAGAAUAAUUGCAACCAAGAGAGUGGCAAUCAUUUUGUGAUGUGGCGGUGGCGCAUUUGCCAAAGUAGUUGGGAUUUCUCCUCCGAAUUUAUUACCUGACACAUCUAAGUGUGGCACUUUUCUGACAAAUACAGGGAUUCCACCGGAAAGGUUAUUCAUGGAAAGGUCCACGGUGUGUAUGCCCGGAAUUGCUCCAAGUUGGUAAGGUAUUUUACCAUUGAUGGAGUUACAGCUUAGAUCAAGAUAAUAUAGUUCUUGAAGUUUGCCAAUCUGUGACGGAAUGCUUCCGCUUAACAAGUUGUUUCCCAAUAUUAAUGUCGUCAGCUUUGAGCAAUUCAUGAGUUCUGGAGGAAUUGGGCCAUCAAGUUUGUUGUCAGACAAGUCUAAAAAUGUCAACCUGUUUAAAUGACCAAGUGUUAAAGGAAUAGAUCCAGUUAGAUUGUUAUAUUCCAGGGACAGAGAUUUCAAGUUGACUAAACUAGCUAUGGUCGAAGGAAUUGGACCUUCAAGUUUGUUGUUGGGCAGGUCAAGAACUUGAAGAAAGUUCAAAUGACCCACAGACGAAGGGAUUGGACCAACAAGUUUGUUUUCAGACAAGUCUAAAUAUGUCAACCUGUCUAAAUGACCAAGUGUUGAAGGAAUAGGUCCAGUUAGAUUGUUAUCCUGCAGGGACAGAUAUGUCAAGUUGACUAAACUAGCUAUGGUCGAAGGAAUCGGACCUUCAAGUUUGUUGUUGGACAGGUCAAGAACUUGAAGAAAGUUCAAAUGACCCACAGACGAAGGGAUUGGGCCAACAAGUUUGUUUUCGGACAAGUCUAAAUCUGUCAACCUGUUUAAAUGACCAAGUGUUAAAGGAAUAGGUCCAAUUAGAUUGUUAUAAUGCAGGGACAGAGAUGUCAAGCUGACUAAACUAGCUAUGGUCGAAGGAAUUGGACCUUCAAGUUUGUUGUCGGACAGGCCAAGAACUUGAAGAAAGUUCAAAUUCCCGAUUUCUAAUGGGAUGGAACCAUUGAUUCGGUUUGAGUGCAUAUUCAAAGUAGUUAGCUGAGUCAAAGGACCUACAGACGAAGGGAUUGGACCAACAAGUUUGUUUUGGGACAAGUCUAAAAUUCUCAACCUCUUUAAAUGGCCAAUUGUUGAAGGAAUUGAACCUCCAAUUUCAUUUCUGGACAGGUCAAGAACUUGAAGAACCUUCAAAUUCUCGAUUUCUAAUGGGAUGGAACCAUUAAUUUGGUUUGAGGCAAUAGCCAAAGUAGUUAGCUGGGUUAGAUGACCUAGAGUGGAGGGGACAUUACCAACAAGGGAGUUAGAAGACAAGUUCAAAAUUUUCAAUUUGCUUAGACGACCAAGAGUUGGAGGGAUAUGUCCCGUAAGGUGAUUAUUAGAUAGAUCCAGGUGGACGAGAUUCCUCAAUCUCCCCAUCUCUGAAGGGAUAAUUCCUGUUGUGCAUGUGAUUUAUGAAAAACGAGAUCAGUAUUCACUAUCCUCAUAGCAACAAAAAAAAAUGCAAAAUUUAUAUGGAGAGAGAGUCAUACUCAAGUGCGGACGGCACACACUUCUUCAGCGUUGUAAAAGCAAACGCCCGCACUAAGCAUGAGCACGAUUUUAUAAAAAAUAUAAUAUGUUACAGUGAAGUUUGGCAGCUUACCGGUAAGAUUGUUGGAGGUCAGUUCAAGAGUUCGGAUUGUUGAAAGAACAGUAAUUUCAGAUGGAAUGCUCCCAGAGAGAAGAUAAUUUGAACGAAUUUUGAAACUUCUGAGGUUGGGAAAGCAAGAGAAUUUGAAACGACCAAGCUCUCCUGUGAUGUUAUCAUUUUCAUACCAGAGUAAGCUGACCCCGAUUACGCUUACCGCUGAAUUGCAACUGAUGCCAGUCCACUUACAAUGAUCGGACGUGUAGUUGCCCGUCGUCGCCCAAUUGUUGACCCACCAGCCGGUAGCAAGUAAAGCUUCCCUUUCUAACAGUAUGGGUGACGACAACAAUCCUGCAGCUGAUGUCGUUACAGAUAUUGUCGUAUCACUUAUAGCACCAACAUUUAUUAAAAUUAUAAUGACCACCAGUCUCGAAACAGAGGACGCUGAUGCCAUGUUUAUGGUGGUUUUCUGUUGAUUGAGCUACAUUUGAUUCUCAGCAAAGCGUUUAUAUAAGAAUCAAUUGUUUUGCAAGCUCCCAGUGUUAACUUCCAAUACGCGUUUUCAAAUAGUGUGAGUCAAUGUCUUCUCUGGAUGGAUUCAAUCAUGGAGAUAUAACCUUAUCGGCUUGUAUUUGUGAGGUGUAGAUCUAUUUGAACAACUUUGCAGAAACAUGAGAUAAUAUGGACAAUAGUAGAAAUAAUUAAUAGCAUUAUUAGUAGUAUAAGAUAUUAAGUAUUACCCAAAAUAAGAAAAGGAAAAAAGUUCAAAGAAAAGAAUUGUUAUAAAUAAUGGCUCAAAUAGGAAAAUAAACAAGACUAAUCAUAUCUUUUGUAACAUACAUACCAUAGCUCAUGGGCUAACUAACAUUUUUUUUUUUUAACCCUAAACAUCAUAAAUGAAAGAAGAUGAAAUUUUAAUUACCGCUCAAUUUUUCUGCACGCAACCAAAUUUAAAAAAAAAGAAAAAAGAAAGUGUUAGAAAAAUAAUGCGCAAGUAGCUACUUGAGGCAUGAUUUUGAAUGAGACCUUUUUGGUAUAAGUGAAAAUUCAGAAAUUGUUUCGCAUAUUCCUCUAUGAGUACUUCGGAAUGUUAUCUAUACAAUCAAAAUGAUCCUCAAGUGAAUGAGAAAUUGUUACUCAAAGUGCACUCAUGAAUUUGAAAAAUUAAAGGAAAAUACAUUUGUCCCACAUUGGAAAGAUUUAUACAUAAUUACUAGAUGAACGGUAAGCUACUAUUAGCAAAGGGGCGUUCCUUGUGCACAGUCACGGGAGUGCAAAAUUUAACCACCCCAAUUAGCUUAACCAGUGUUCAUAUUGGGGGUGUUUACCCGACCCUUAGUUGGGGUUAGCUAAUGUGGCAACUUAGUUUGCCUUUUUUUUUUUUUUGCUCUUUGUAAUAAUAAUAAUAACAAAUUAAUAUAAUUUUUUAAUUUAAUAUUAUAUUACAUAAUAUUAAAUUAUGUUUUAAUUUUUAUUAUUUUAAAUAUAUAACUAAACAAUGUAUUAUUUAAUUGUAUUAUUUUAAUUAAUAUAUAAAAUUAUAUUAAUUAAUCUUUAAUAAGUUAAUAUAAUUAGUAAUAAAUACUUAAAUAAUAUAAUAUUACAUUAUUAAUUAUAGUACAAUAAUUAAUUUAGCUAUUUUUAAAUAAUUUAAUAUAACUAACAAUAAAUAUUUAAAUUUGAAUAAAUUUGAAUAAUAUUAAUUGAAAAUUAAUAAUAUAAAUAAUUACUGGAUUAUUUAGCUCAAUUUAUUUUCUUAGUGAAUAUGUCAUAACAAUUGUAUCACUUUAUUAUUCUAUAAUUAUCUUGUAAUAUGUAUAAAUUUUUAUUCUAUCAUCCUCAAAUGAUUUUUGAAUUAAUCUUGAAGAUUUUAACUAUUUAUUUAUGUUGUUAAAUUAUUUAGUGAUUAUUUGAUUAAAUUAUUUACUUCGAUCUUUAUUUCACAAGUUAUAUAUUUAGAAAAUACUGAAAAAUACACAUCCAAAAAUUUAAGACUAUAAGCCUCGGAAAAAUUAUGACAUUUCAAUAUAUAUUUUUAAUAAAAAUGUUAAAUUUCUAAAUUUCUAAAAUUUAAUAAUUUUAUAUUUAUUAUUUUUAAGUACUAAUAAAUAUUAUUUUCUAAAUAUAUAAUUUAAAUUAAUCACAAAAAAAUUAAUACAGUACAGUGUAACGCUAAACAUUAUACAACAUUAUUAUAAUACAAUGCUAAUGCAAUACAACAUAAUACAAUACACCUACAAUAAAAUAAUGCAAUACAACAUAAAAUAGAAUACAGUGUGUCAAAUGCACCAUUGUAUUAUUGUUUCGUUCUCAUGGUAUAAUUGCCGUCCAUACCUGUGCAAAACAUUAAGAGUUAAAAAUAUAUAUUUUUAUGAUUAAUUUUAGAUUUUUUUAAACUUUAAUAAUGCCAUAUUAUUUAAUAUUACAAUUGCCGUUCGAACAUGUGCAAAACAUGAAGACUAAUAUAUAUAUAUAUAUAUAUAUACACACCAUAUUAUUUAAUAUUUAAUUUUUAAGGCAACUUUUACUUUUAAAAAAAAAAUUUAAGGCAACUUUUUUAGUUGAGGGCAGGGAACCCCUACGAUACGUAAUUCCAUAACACGCUUAUCUAAUCACCUUGACUAUAAGACUUCUCCUAGUCAGCAAUUAUUUGGAAAAAAACGUCUUGACAUGUGCUGUGGAAAUUAAAGAAUGAGGUGGACUUACGAAGUCAAGGGGUUUUUCUAGUCUACAGAUUUUAAUUUAUAUGUGUAGAAAAUUAGAAAUAUUCAGUGUCUAAUCUGAUUCUACAUAAAGACUAAUGCCCCAAGAUUGUGAUUGAAAUACCACAAGCAGUUUAUUUCAUAAGUUUAGGUAAAAAUGAGGUUUGAUGGCUUUGUUAAAAGUUGCUUCUUUCGUAAUUUUCUCAUUUUGACUGCAACUUCAAAAAAUAGGCAGGAGAUUAUUUUGAUAAGCAACUUAUUAAAUAAGUUGCUAGAUCUUUUUAAAUGUUCCUAUAAUAAUCUUAAUAUUUUAAGAAAAGAAUAAUUAUAUCUUUCUUUUCUAUAAGCUCUAAUAUAUAAAUAAAACACAGUUUAAACUUAUGUCUAUUUUAGUGAUUAAAUAAUACAAUACAUUCAUAAUCAAAUUUACCAAACACAAGCAAGAUACUUUUUUAAUCAUCAACUUAUUUCAUCCUCACAACAAAAAUAACUUAUUUUAUCAGCCACCGCCAUCCUAAACUUGAUGCUAAGUCACAUUUGGGAUUGCAUUUGAUUGUCAAAUAAUUAAGAGAAAUAGCCAUUAUGGAGAAGAAUAGGGAGAGGUUCGCCUAAAGCAAUAUACCCGUAAGCUUGGCUACUAAUAAACGGAGCAUAUAAGCAUAAACACCUAACUUUUGAGGCAUAUAAGGGAUCUAAAAGUGCGGGAAACGUUCGGAAAAACUUUAAAACCACAGGGUUUUAAAGGCUUAAACUGCAUGGUUUAUGUGUUUUCCUAGAUAUUCCUACACUUUAAAAUUCAAGAUUAAAACAUUUCCAUAUGUGUGUGUGUGUGUGUGUGUGUGGAGGGCAAAUCUUUGACUCUCUCCAGCUUCAAGUACCUAUACGGUAACUCUUAAAUCAAAAGGGAGAAAAUGGUUAACCCAAUCUGAUUGUAUAUGAAUUGAUAUUCACCAUAUGAUUAUUGCAUAAAGAUUGAGCCUUAAGUGCUUUACAUUAAGUAAUACUGAACACCUGUUCUACACAUUUAGACAACUCAGAGUAAAAAUUAUGAAAAUGACAACCAAAUCCAAACUAGCUAGGUGCACUAUUAUUAUUUAUCUUUACUCCAUAAAUAUUAGAAAGAUAGAGGAGAGGAAGAAAAAGAAAAGACUAAUUUUGUAGUCACAAUUUAAUCUUAUGCUCUGAUUUUGAAGCAAAUCUGCAAAAUAUUUGAGGAUCCAAUCAUGAACCAUGUCCACUUCAAUCUUUCGCUGCACUACUAACCAUACUGGGUCAUCUUCUGUUGCUGGCUGUGUGUCUAAGCAAUGGGAACCUACUCCAAUUUACACACUAUUAAUUAUGUUAUCCAAUAAUUUAGUUAAUAAUUGAACACUAAUUUUUUAUUUUAUAGAAAAAUUUAAAUACUGUUUCUUGUUGUCACUGCUAUUAUACUGUCUGAUAUAUCUUCCAGAAUCCUAUAAUCCCCCCCCCCCCAAAAAAAUAGAAGAAACAGAAAAGAUAUAUAAUUAAACAGGUAACUUCGAUAGAAAAGAGUGUACACAAUUCUUAAGCUUAAUUACCCCUCGCUACUAUAGGGAUCACGAAGGCCAUUAGAGAAAAUAAUGUUGCUACCAAAUCUCUUUAAAACCACUCUUAUAUCCUGCAAAUUAAAAAGAAAUAGAAAUCAAACAAAAAUUGAGGUGAACUUUAUAAUUAAAACAGAAAAUGAGAAAUCUUAAAAUAUUAGAAGAAUUAAUUUGGGGAUUAAUCGACACUUACAUUACCACUUUAAUAAGUUGUAAUCCAAUGUGGUCUUGGAACCACUCCAUAAGACUUAUUGCAUGAAUCCAUAUAUUCUGUCAGAUUAAAUGGGUCUGCUUGAGACAUUGUGUCGUUUUUGCCAAUUCCAAUUGGUGAGACCAUUGCACUGCAUGUCUGCAUGAGAAACCCCCCAAUAAUAAAAAAUAAUAAUAAUAAAAUAACAUAAAGAAGAAAACUAUUUUUAAUCAUUCAUAAAUAUAAAGUCUCAUUGCCACAUGUUGUUUAUUUAACGGUCUCAAUAGAACUAUCCAAUGAAAUCAUGUCACUUGUAAUUGCAUACCUGUCAGCCCCAGCUGGAGUCCAAUGUUGCAUCGGAGAAGAAUUCAUCAACAUCAUGGCAAGAAUCCUCCCCUCUUAAAUCAACAAUUCCUGAGAUGAUCCAGUCUAGGGCAUCUGUGUCUUCUAAAGCUCCAUCAAUUGCAUUACAGGCUUUGUUCACUGGGCUUUCCUGAGGAUCAUCAUACUGAGCUGCACCCGUAUACAUAUACUCUAAAUAAUCUUUCAAUUCUUAAACAUCCUUCAGAGGCCUGUAAUCAAAUAAACAAUAACAUAGAAUUAAGUGCCACAAGGUCAUUAAUUUUAUAAAAGAUCUUUCAACAUAUUGUCUUCAAAAUGUUGUUAUAUUUAGUUAGAUUACAAUAAACUUUAUAAGUAUGAAGCUAUUGAUAUUCUCAAAUACAAACGUUCAAAUUUGGCCUCAUUUGAUUAUCAGAGUUGUGCGUGGUUUUGUAGUUUAAAUUUAGAUUCUGCAAAAUAUGGACGUCUGAACCUAAGCACCAGUAUACUAUAUAUGGUAACGCAAAGGCCGUGUAUAAGCCCAAAUCCAGAUUUUUACUUUGUAUAUUACACGUUAAUCGAAAUGUAUAUAUACGCUGAGGAUGACAGAUAAUUAAUUAGACAUAGUACAUUCGAUAACGAUGCUACAAUAACAUUGCAUUAAUUGUAAUUAAGGGAAAAUCGGAUGGAUAUACAAUACAAUACAAUAUACAAUAUGGAUAUACAAUAACAUACAAUAUGAUUCUGAUACAACCCCAAUAUUACAGUUAGACAAGCCCAACUCAGCUAGCUCUAUCAAUACUGAGGAAAAGGCCCAGGCAAACUCAAGUGAGGCUAUCCAAAAUCGACCCCAAGAUAACCUCAAGCCAAGUCGCGUAAGGAAGCCUCCCAAAUGGCUCAAGGAUUACACAUACUGAGCAUAUAUGAGCUGAGGACUCGGUUUCUAACGGCCUUAGCUAUUUAGAGAACAACUUUUUUGUUAUAGAGGGAGGUUGUUAUUUAGUUUUGACAGCUGUGAGCAUAUUCUUGCUGCUAUAAGUAUUUCCAUGGUUGUAUUUGAUGAUAUAUAAAAUUCUGGACCUAGUUUCUUCUUCUUCUCUGAAUUUUUCUCUCUAUUCUAUCUUGCCAUUCACUCAUUUCUUUAAAAUUCUGGGAGCUUGCACUUGCUUGAAAAGUGUGGAAACCUUGCUGUUCGGUGUGUUCACCAGCGGCAUAACAGAUUCAUUACUUGCAGGUUUUGAACUUUAUAGAGAGAAAAGCAAGUCCAUUUUUUCCAGCAGCGACUUUAUCGAUUUCAGCCUAGGACUGUCUGAUGGUCUUGUAGCAGGUCUCGCUGGCUUCCUGCAUCAUUAAUUUUCAAAAUUCAAUGGCUAAAUUUUAACAAGAGAACAUAAUCAUGCUUAUAUAAAAUUUUAAUUAACUAAUUUAUUUCUUACCCGAAAGUCCUUGGUGACAAGAUCAUAAUAUGCGUUUGACGGUGUGAUAUUAUCAAAGUAGAGAAUUGGGGCGGAUGAGGCAACUGCUCCCAAAGCAAUGUGACGAUACUUCAAGCGAAACCAUGCAGCAAGCAUUGUUGAUAACAAACCAACAAACGAGUAACUCUCGAAACCAUAUCACAUCCCAGAUCUGAUAAAAUAGGAUGAAUAGAGAAGAUUAUUUUUAAAUACAUAAUUAUCUUGAACAUAUUUAUUAUUUCUUGAUUUUACGAUCGCCAAGAGUAUUCGUUAGUUGCAAUAUUAAAUAAAUUUGUAUCAUAGUAAUAUUGCUGUAGUCAAUAUCUUGAUCGAUCAAUCGUGAUCUAAAUGAGUAAAAUGAUGUGACAGAUGACACGACAUUAAUCAAAAGAUGUAAGUAAGUUAAUAAUAUUAUAAUUUACUUCCUCCAUAAGAUGCUCCAACAACCAUAAUGGGAGACAUUUCGUCCGAUAAAUUUUUCUGGAUGUGUAAGAGAAUCUUGCAUAAUCAGCCAAAGCUUGAGCAGAGUUGAAAUAUCCACGAAGAGUUGCAUUCUUUAGGGCAUCUUUGCUUGAUACAAAAGGUACUGAUUUUCCAUAGAACCGAUACUGCAUAAAAAAUUGAAUUAAAAAAAAAUCCAUCACAACUUUUCAGUUCAUAUUGUAGAAUAUUCUGAUUAAGAUUUGUCUUUAUUAUUAUUAUUUCGUAUGUGAACUCUAUUUCAAUUAUUAUCAAGCUAGCCUGAUAACAUAUUCUUUACUUACCUCUAUGUAAACUUGUAAGGCUUUAAAUCGAUGAGCAUUAUUAGUAAGCCAUCCAAUGCCACCAAGGUCAUCAUAUCAAGACUACUCUCUUCACCAAGAUAUGCCAGUAUCGGGCGCCGCCAUGGCUCUGCCACCACCCCAAUGCUUGAAGUUCAACGCAUAUCUAUGAGGAAAAGUUAAAUAACUUUGUGGAUUAUAGUUAAAGUGAUCAAGUGUUUGAUAAUAAUAGUAAGUUUCGAGAUCAACAUAGUCACUUUGUGGAUUUUUUUGCUAGGGUUUUGAAAAAUAGUCCUUCCACGAACAGCACCAAGCUUUGGGAUGUUCUUUAAUGGUGAAGUGGUAGCAAAAGCAAAAUUUGUGACGAGAAGAAGAAAAAGGCAUGGAGCCGCCGACCUUUCAUGGCAAAGUUGUAAAUCCUUAAUUAGCAGGAUGAUUAUGUAAAUACAGAAGAAAUAGAGUUAAGAUUAGAUUAUAAAUUCAGCUUCAAAAUCGACGUGUUUGUUAAUAUAUCCUGGAUUUGUUGUUAUCGUAUAAUUUAAUUAAUGUUGGUUUUAGUUUUAUAUUAGUAUGGAUCUUCAUUUUUCAUAAAAUUAUAGUGUGUCGAAUAUAUAGUUAUCGGUUUCGUAAUUAAUAAAAAUUUUUAUUAUUUCUUUCCUAGUAAUUAAUUAUCUUGUGCUUACCAGAAUAUCACUAACCACAACUUCUGCAGAAGCUUCCUCACCUUCGGAUGACAUCAGCGGUGCGUCCAGGAUGUUUGAUCGGAUCAGCUAAAUUAAAAAUUUAUUGUAUAUGUUUGUGUGAAUAUUUACAAAGGAGUGAAAAAAAACUAAUAUAUUGAAUAACGCGACAUCAAGAACUUCGUUCUGAAUGAAAUUUUUAUAUAUAAUUUGCAAAAUAAGCUAAUAAAUAGAAUGACAAUUUACCCUUUUUAACUUGUAGAGACACAACCUUAAAUUCCUUAAUAUGCUGGUUAAUUCAGAUCAUUGAGAUGGAGACAAUUAGACAAACCUUAUUUUAUCAGAGUGAACUGCGAAAGUACUAGCUUUACAAAAGAGACUAAUGACGUAGUGUGAAUGGAAUUAAAAAAUACUAAGGCAGACAAUUCGUCGAACACAUAAUAUUUGCUACAUUGCUACUACCUAAUAAUUUCACAACCAAUUAACAGUCUCCUUUAUUGGAAAAAUCACAUUAAUCAACCAAAUACAUUUCUUGGUUUCUAAGCUCCAAAAUUGAAAUUUCAUGAAAAGGUUUCUGCAUUGGUGUCUUAUUGCGAGCGAUAAAUUCGUUGGACACGAGUUGCAUUGUAGGUCGAGACUUUGGUUGAGAACGCAAGCAUGAAAAUACUACUGUUGAAACAAGAAUGAUAUCCUGCCUAAUCAUUUGAUCCCCCGGAGGCGGGAGGCGUGGGUCCAACAAAUCAAUCAGCUUUAUAUUUUUAUCCAAUGACGAAGAUGACGAUGAGAGGAGCUCUCCUGGAUGCUUUCCCAUUAGUACUUCUAGUGCCACUACUCCGAAGCUAUAAACAUCAGAUUUCUCUGUCACAACCAUGGUGUAGGCACGUUGUAUAGGAAAACGGAAGUCUUUAUUAGUAAUGUUUCCAUAAACAAUAACAAGCACAAUUUGUUCAUGUUUUUUAGCUUCUUUAGCAAGGUAUGACAGAGAAGCAUAUGUUCUAACUGAUAUUCAGUGUAUGUGUGUUUUGAAAGGUAAAGGGAUAGGUAAAGUCUAAAUUCAGUUAUAGCUCCUUAGUUUUUUCAAAAUUCGAACCCAAGUAGCGAGCUAAAUAAAGCUGGUUAAAAACUACUUAGCAGAGUAUAUAUAAAAAUUAAAUAAGAGGAUAACUAAAGAAGCAUAAGAGGAAUAGCUAGAAGAUGACCUGGAGCAAUAUAUCCAUAAGUGCCAGCUAACAGAGUUCGAUUGGAUGAGUCAAAAUUUAACAAUCUAGCAAUACCAAAGUCAGCAACAAAAGCUUCGAAUUCUGAGUUGAGUAGAAUGUUGUUGCUUGAUAUGUCGCGGUGAACAAUUGGUGGUGUGCAGUGAUGAUGCAAGUAUGACAAAGCAUGAGCCAUACCCUUCACAAUGUUCACCCUUUUAGUCCAAUCCAACCCAACAGCUUCCUCAUCUGUGCGUAGAAUACAGAACAAGCUUCCCAUUUCCAUGUACUCAUAGAUCAAGAACAUGCAGUUCUCGUGCAAACAAAAGCCGUAAAGCUUUACAAUAUUUCGAUGCCGUAUUUGGGACAGUAGACGAGCCUCAUUCCGGAAACUCUCGAGGGAAGCUAACUCCUCAGUUUCUGAACGGUGAAGCUUCUUCAAAGCAACCACUUUUCCACUGGGCAGCCGUGCUCUGUAAACGCUGUCGUAGCCUCCGGUUCCAAUGCAGUAUUUGAUAUCGAAAUCCUCAGUGGCUUCAAUCAUGUCUUGAAAUGUAAUUCUACCAUCGUAAUUCCAAAUUGCAAACUCAUCAGCGCACUUGGUAAUUUCUCCUGUCCCAGUUGGUUCAACUUCCUUAUCCCUUCGUCUACGGAUAAUCAAGAUUCCAAAUAUCAAGGCAAGGAAUGCGACCAUAGCAAGAAUAAUUGCAACCAAGCGAGUGGCAAUUGUUUUGUGAUGUGGCGGUGGCGCAUUUGCCAAAGUAGUUGGGAUUUCUCCUCCCAAUUUAUUGCCUGACACAUCUAAGUGUGGCACUUUUCUGACAAAUACAGGGAUUCCACCGGAAAGGUUAUUCAUGGAAAGGUCCACAGUGUCUAUGCGUGGAAAUUCUCCAAGUUGGGAAGGUAUUUUACCAUUAAUGAAGUUACCGCUUAGAUCAAGAUAAUAUAGUUCUUGAAGUUUGCCGAUCUGUGACGGAAUGCUUCCGCUUAACAAGUUGUUUCCCAAUUUUAAUAUCCUCAGCUUUGAGCAAUUCAUGAGUUCUGGAGGAAUUGGGCCAUCAAGUUUAUUGUUGUACAUAUUCAAAGUAGUUAACUGAGUCAAAUGACCCAGAGACGAAGGGAUUGGGCCAACAAGUUUGUUUUGGGACAAGUCUACACUUCUCAACCACUUUAAAUGGCCAAGUGUUGUAGGAAUUGAACCUCCAAUUUCAUUUCUGGACAGGUCAAGAGCUUGAAGAACCUUCAAACUCCCGAUUCCUAAUGGGAUGGAACCAUUCAUUUGGUUUGAGGCAAUAGCCAAAGUAGUUAGCUGGGUUAGAUGACCUACAUUGGAUGGGAUAUUACCGACAAGGGAGUUAAAAGACAAGUUCAAAAUUUUCAAUUUGCUUAGACCACAAAGAGUUGGAGGGAUAUGUCCCAUGAGGUGAUUAUCAGAUAGAUCCAGGUGGACGAGAUUCCUUAAUCGCCUCAUCUCUAAAGGGAUAAUUCCUGUUGUGCAUGUGAUUUAUGAAAAACGAGAUCAGUAUUCACUAUCUUCAUUAAAAAAAAAUUACAUAGAGGGAGAGUCAAGCUCAAGUGCGGACGACUCACACUUCUUUAGUGUUGUAAAAACAGACGCCUGCUUUAAGCAGCAGCGCGAUUUUAUACAUACAUAUAUAUAUAUAUGGUGAAGUUUCACAGCUUACCGGUAAGGCCGUUGUAGGGCAGUUCAAGAGUUUGGAGCAUUGAAAGGGCAGUAAUUUCAGAUGGAAUGCGCCCAGAGAGAACAUAAUUUGUACGAAUUUUGAAAUUUCUGAGGUUCGGAAAGCAAGAGAAUUUGAAACGACCGAGCUCUCCUUUGAUGUUAUCAUUUUCAUACCAGAGUAAGCUGACCCCGAUUACGCUUCCCGCUGAAUUGCAACUGACGCCAGUCCACUUACAAUGAUCGGACGUGUAGUUGCCCGACGUCGCCCAAUUGUUGACCCACCAGCCGGUAGCAAGUAAAGCUUCCCUUUCUAACAGUAUGGGUGACGACAAUAAUCUUGCAGCUGAUGCCGUUACAGAUAUUGUCGUAUCACUUAUAGCACCAACAUUUAUUAAAAUUAAAAUGACCACCAAUCUCGAAACAGUGGAUGCUGCUGCCAUGUUUAUAAUGGUUUUCGGUUGAUUGAGCUGGCUAUUUGAUUCCUUGCAAAGCGUUUAUAUAAGAAUUAAUUGUUUUGCAAGCUCCCGGUGUUAACUUCCAAUACGCGUUUUCAAAUAGUGUGAGUCAAUGUCUUCUCUGGAUGGAUUCAAUCAUGGAGAUAUAACCUUAUCGGCUUGUAUUUGUGAGGUGUAGAUCUAUUUGAACAACUUUGCAGAAACAUGAGAUAAUAUGGACAAUAUUAGAAAUAAUUAAUAGCGCUAUUAAGAUAUUAAAUAUUACCCAAAAUAAUAAAGAAAAAAAAAAGCUCGAAGGAUUGUUGUUGUAAAAUAUGACUCAAAUAGAAAAAUAAACAAGACUAAUCAUAUCUUUGUAUAAAUUUAAGUAUAAAAAAAACUUGUAGGUGUAUUAUUAUAAUAAGCUGUAGAGAAAAGAAUUUGUAGACUUCUGUGAUUUGACAAAAUAAUAAAAUAAUCCCUUUAUUUUUUAAAAUAGUUACAAAACUCCUUUUGCAACAUGCAAACUAUAUGGAAAAUUGGAAAUUCAUGGGCUACCUAAUAUCCCUCUUAUUUUUUUAUUUUUUAUUUUACACCAAAACAUCAUAGACAAAAGAAGAUAAAAAUUUCAUUGCACUCAAUUUUUUUCAUGAAAUCAAACAAGGAAAAGAAGCAAAAAGUGUUGGAAAUAUAGCACAAGUUACUAUUUGAUGCGUGAUUUUGAGUGAGACUUAUCUGUUGUUUCAAAUAUUCCUCCGUAAAUACUUCAGAAUGAUUUUACCUAUAUAAUCAAAAUAACCCUUGGAUAAAUGAGAAAUUGUUACUCAAAGUAAAUUCAUGGAAUUGGAAAAGUAAAGGAAAUUAUAUUUGUCCCACAUGAAAAAGAUAGCAAAGGCAUGAAAGGUUUGUAUAUAAUUACUCAUGUGUGUAUAAGUAAAAUAUAAACCAAGACGCUCUCUCUUCCGUGCCCCAUCCUAAGUACACAAAUUCAAUGUGAUACGAUCCUAUAGUUUCCGUUCAAACCUAUGCACACUUUAAAAAAAGGUUUUUUUUAAUAUAUUUUUUAUGUAUUUUACAUUUUUUUUAAAAUUUAAUAAAUGCCAUAUUAUUUAAAUAUUUAAUUUUAAGGCAUCUUUUUUAAGUUGAGGGCAAGGAACCCCUCCGAUACGUAAUGCCGAAACAUGCUAAUCUAAUCACCUUGACUUUAAAGACUGCUUCCCCUAGUCAGCAAUUAUUUGGAACUUACGUCUUGACAUGUGCUGUGGAAAAUAAAGAAUGAAGUAGACUUAUUGAGUCAAGCUGUUUCUUCAAUCCAGAUAUUUAGUUUAUACGUGUGCAAAUAUUCAAUGCCUAACUUUAUUCUGCACAAAGCCUAAUGUCCUAUUUGGGAUAACGGUUGAAAUACUUAUAAGUUUUGAUAAAAAUGAUGUUUGAUAAAUUUGUUAAAAGUUUAAUUCAUAUUUUCUCCAUUUUGACAAUAACUCUUAAAAUAAGUAUGAGAUUGUCUUUUAUAAGCAACUUAUUAAAUAAAAUGCCAUUUUUUUUAAAGUUUCUAUUAUAACUUUAAUAUUUUAAGAAAAGAAUAAGUGUAUCUUAUUUUUUUAAAAAUCCUAAUAUAUAAGUAAAAGACAAUUUAAACUUAUGUUUAUUUUAAUGAUUAUAUAAUAAAAUAUUAUUUUCGUAAUCAAAUUUACCAAACACUGAGCGAGCUACUUUUAUAAUCAUUAGAUAAUUCCAUUCACAUCGCAGAAGCAGCUUAUUUCAACAGCCACCAAAAUCUUAAACUGAUCCUAAGUCAUGUUCGGAAUUGCAUGGGAUUGUCAAAUAAUUAACAAAAGAAGCUAUUAUGUAGGAGAAUAGGAACAGGUUCACCUGGAGCAAUAUACUCAUAAGCUUGGCUACUAAUAAACGGAGCGUGUAAGGAUAAACACCUAANNNNNNNNNNNNNNNNNNNNNNNNNNNNNNNNNNNNNNNNNNNNNNNNNNNNNNNNNNNNNNNNNNNNNNNNNNNNNNNNNNNNNNNNNNNNNNNNNNNNAUGGUUAAUCCAAUGUGGUUGUGUAUGAAUUGAUAUUCACCGUAUGAUUAUUACAUAAAGAUUGAACCUUUGUACGUGCUUUACAUUAAGUAAAACUGCACACUUGUUCUACACAUUUAGACAACCCAGAUUAAGAAUUAUGAAAAUGAAAUCUACAACUAGCUAGGUGCACUAUUAUUUAUCUUUGCUCCUUAAAUAUUAGAAAGAUAGAGGAGAGGGAGAAAAAGAAAAGACUAAUUUUGUAGUCCAAAUUUAAUCUUAUGCUCUAAUUUUGAAGCAAAUCAGCAGAGUAUUUGAGGAACCAAUCAUGAACCAUGUCCAUUUCAAUCUUUCGCUGCAUUACUAACCAUUCGGGGUCAUCUUCUGUUGCUGGCUGUAUGUCUAAGCAAUGGGAACCUGCUCCAAUUUACACACUAUUAAUUAUGUUAUCCAAUAAUUUAGUUAAUAAUUGAACACUAAUUUUUUAUUUUAUAGAAAACUUUACAUACUGUUUUUUGUUGUCACUGCUAUUAUAUUGUCUGAUAUAUUUUCCAGAACCCUAUAAUCCCAAACAAAGAAAGAAAAAGAAAAAGAAAAAGGUAUAUAAUAAAACGGGUAACUUCGAUAGAAAAGAAUAUCCAAAAUUCUUAAGCUAAAUUACCCAGCGCUGCUACAGGGAUCGCGAUGGCCAUUAGAGAAAAUAAUGUUGCUACCAAAUCUCUUUAAAACCACUCUUAUAUCCUGCAAAUUAAAAAGAAAUAAAAAUCAAACUCAAGAACGAGGUGAAGUUUUUAAUUUAAAAAAGGAAAAAAAAAGAGAAAAUUAAAAGAAUUAAUUUGGGGAUUAAUUGACACUUACAUGACCACCAUAAUAAGUUGUAAUCCAAUGUGGUCUUGGAACCACUCCAAAAGACUUAUUGCAUGAAUCCCUAUAUUCUGUCAGAUAAAAUGGGUCUGCUUGAAACAUUGUUUCGUUUUUGCCAAUUCCAAUUGGUGAGACCAUUUCACUGCAUGUCUACAUGAGAAACCCCCCUAUACUAAUAAUAAUAAUAAUAAUAAUAAGAUAAAAAAGAAAAAUAUUUUUAAUCAUUCAUAAAUAUAUAGUCAUAUAAAUAAAAUUAAGAGAUGUACAUAAAAUAGGUAUUGUUAGGCGAAAGACUAAUUCAUUGCGACAUAUUGUUUAUUUGACGGUCUCAAUAGAACUAUCCAAUGAAAUCAUGUCAUCUGUAAUCGCAUACUUGCCAACCCCAGCUGGAGUCCAAUGUUUCAUCGGAGAAGAAUUCAUCAACAUCAUGGCAAGAAUUCUCCCCUCUUAAAGCAACAAUUCCUGAGAAUAUCCGGCCUAGGGUAUAUGUGCCUUCUGAAUCUCCAUCAAUACCUUCACAAGCUUUGUUCACUGGAUAUUCCUGAGGAUCAUCAUACUGAGCUGCACCUGUAUACAUAAACUCCAAAUAAUCCUUCAAUUCUGAAACAUCCUUCAGAGGCCUGUUACAAAUAAACAAUAACAACAUAAAAUUAAGUGCCUCCAAGAUUAGUGACAUCAUAAAAGAUCCUUCAACAUACCUGUCUAAAAAACUUUGUUAUAUUUAGUCAAAUUACAAUAAACUUUGUAAGUGUGAAGCUAUUGAUAUUCUCAAAUACAAAAUCCAAAUUUGGCCUUAUUUAACAAUCAGAGUUGUACAUAUUGUUUUGCACGUCUGAACCUAAGUACCAAUGUACUAUAUAUGGUAAUGCAUAGGCCGUAUAUGAGGCCAAACCCCAGAUUUUACUAUGUACGUAUAUUACACAUUAACUGAAAUGUAAAUAUACCUUGAGGAUGACAGAUAAUUAAUUGGAUAUAUAUAGACAGUUUUGUAAUGAUACUACAUUAACAUUGCACUGUAAUUGAAGGAAAAUCAGAUGGAUAUAUAUCGGCAGUUAUAAAAGUAAUAUGAUUCAAUUACUUGCAGGUUUUGAACUUUUAAGAGAGAACAGUAAGUCCAUUUUUUUCCAGCAGCGGCUUUAUCGAUUUCAGCCCAGGACUGUUUGAUGGUCUUGUAGCAACUCUCACUAGCUUCCUGCAUCAUUAAUAUUCAAAAUUCAAUAGUUAGAUUUUAACAAGAAAAUAUAAUCAUACAUAUAUAGAAUUUAAUUAAUUAAUAUUAUUUUCUUACCCUAAAAUCCUUGCUGACAAGAUCAUAAUAUGCGUUCGAUGGUGUGAUAUUAUCAAAGUAGAGAAUUGGGGCUGAAGAGGCAACUUCUCCUAAAGCAAUAUGAGGAUACUUCAAGCGAAACCAUGCAGCGAGCACUGAUGAUAACAAUAACAAACCCACACGAGUAACUCUCAAAGAGCAUCUGUUAGUAGGAAUAUAAAAUAAAAUUGUAUCAUAAUAAUUGAGGCGUAAUCCAGAUUUUAGUCAAAUAUUUAAAAUAAGGUGACAGAUGACAUGAUGUCAAUCAAAAGAUGUAAGUAAGUUAAUAAUAUUGUAACUUACUUCCUCCAUAAGAUGCUCCGACAACGAUAAUGGGAGACAUUUCGGCCGAUAAAGUUUUCUUGAUGUGUAAGAGAAUCUCCGCAUAAUCAGCCAAAGGCUUGAGCAGAGUUGAAAUAUCCACGAAGAGUUGCAUUCUGUAGGGCAUCGUUACUUGAUACAAAAGGCACCGAUUUUCCACAGAACUGAUGCUGAACAAAAAAUCAAAUUAGAAAAAAAAUAUAUAUCACAACUUUUUAGUUGAUAUUAUAGAUUAAAUUUAUCUUUAUUAUUAUUGUUUGGCGUUCGAACUCUGUUUCAAUUAUUAUCAAAUUCUUUACUUACCUCUAUGUAAACUUGUAAGCCUUUAAAUCGAUGAGCAUUAUCAGUAACCUGGAUUUGUAUGUGAUUAGGAGGUCAUUGCUUAGAGAUUCCCAUGUCCACUCUUAGUGCCAAAAGACUUGGUCUUGAUGCACAGGUGACAAGUUUGUUGGGGAGUACAUUUGGACUCACUAUCUUCAUUUAAUUCCAAACAUCUUAGCAUUUGGUUAUUUAUGUUGGUCAAAGUUCGCAAGUUCAGUUUGCUUGGUCAACUCAAGUAGACGAGAGAGUUGCGGCUUUAAAAUUUGGCAGUGAGGACAUGUGAGCUUUUUUGAACGAAUGUGAGUCUGAAACCUUUUUUGAACGAAAACACGGAGCAAAUGUGAGCUUCUCGUAGGCUAAGGUUCCAAGAGAGGUUACAUAUGUUUACCAUGAAGUGUCAUAUGAACUUGUACAGAUUGAUUUCUGAUGUUUCUUUUUCCCGGUAAUUUCUUAUUUUAAAUCUUAUUGCUUGUCUUUGUGUAUGUGCGUUGGGCUGGAGGCUCCAUUGAAAUGGUGUUUCCUCAAAUUAUGAAUUAUAACGCUCGUAAGUGUUAAUAUCAUCUCUUCUUCUUGUCCAGCUUAUUAAGAAAGUCUUUCAGAAUCCUUUUCAAACAUAUUCCUUUUUUUUUCUGAUUUUUGGAAGGAAAGAUUUUCCUAGUUCAGUGCUGGAAAUGUUGUUAAUUAACAAGGAUUUUGGUUGUAUUAACUAUUUAAAUGUACUUCUACAUUCCUACCUUUUUUGAGAAUUCACAAUUUAAAAUAAAAUGUGUGCAUUAGUAUUUUGUAAACAAAUUCUUUCAUCUGUACUACAAUAGCAAAUGAUGGAGCUCACUGGGAAUUUUUUUCAUUUUUACCAUUGAUGUGAUAACUAAUAUAAGGCAUAAUGGUUUCUGUAUCAUUUCCAGCCUCAGCCUGAUUCCAAUACUUGUGGAUCAAAGCAGAAAGCUGCCACACCACCUGCAGGUUCUGGAGAGCUUCCUUCAACGAGUUCAAGCAAAACCAAGGAGUGGAGUUGUGCCCUCUGUCAGGUCAAUGCUACUACCGAGAGAGAUCUAGACGUGCAUCUCCAAGGUAAGAAGCACAAGGCCAAGGAAAAAGUACUUAGAGAUUUGAAGAUGUGCAUUAACUCCACUUCAAAAAAAUAUACGGAAAGCAGAGAUAGUGCUGACCAAGAAAUGAAGUCUAAUGUAGAAAAGGAAUCACUUAAAGGUAAUAAAACUGUUGUUGGUUUAGACCAGAAAGUGGAGGAAGGUCAAACCCUGCAGGUUAAGCCCAAUUCCAAUCUUUGUGGAUCAAAUCAGAAAGCUACCGCACCACCUGCAGGUUCUGGAGAGCUUCCUUCGGCGAAUUCUAACAAACCCAAGGAGUGGAGUUGUGCCCUCUGUCGGAUCAGUGCUACUACCAAGAGAGGUCUAGAUGAGCAUCUUCAAGGUAGGAAGCACAAGGCCAAGGUUUCAGGACUACUUAGAGAUAAGAAAAUGUGCAGUAACUCCACUUCAUCCACGUCAGAAAAAUCUACUGAAAGCAGAGAUGGUGUUGGCCAAGAAAUGAACACUAAAGUACAAGAGGAAUCAGUUAAAGCUAAAAAAACUGUUGUUGGCCUAGACCGGAAAGGGGAGGUUGGUGUAGAUGAGCAUCCUCAAGGUAAGAAGCAGAAGGCCAAGGAAGAACUACUUGGAGCUCAGAAGUGGAUAAAAAAAUCUACAGAAAGCAGAGAUAGUGUGAUACAACCUGGCCAAUUGUUGUGAAUCAGAUCGAGCACAAUGAGACAGCAAGGGAAGAGACCCAGCCUGCAGAAAUGGAAGAAGUCCAACCCGUGAAUGAGACACAAGCUAGAGAGCAGCUCAAGACAGGUUCAGCUCGCGCGAGAAAGAAACCAGGAUGGCUCAAAGACUUUGUCAUUUGAGGAAUGUUCGAGAAUGCUUGAGAGAUUAUAAUAACGAAUAUUGUUUUGUUUUCAAUUAUUAUUUUGUUGUUAUCAAUUUUAUUCUAUUUUAGUUAGUUAAGGGUGCGUGGCUGUUUUUGGGAGAGAGAAUAUAUUGUACUGUCAAAGGGACCCGUGAGGGAUAUCAAAAAGGAAUAUAUCAUUUUGUCUUUUUUCAGCUUCGUCUUCUUUCUCUUCUCUGCAAUUCCCCUGUCCCUUUUCUCUUUCUGCAAAUUCUUUUCCCCACAGAUUGGAGCCUGCACUCGCUCAAAGAGUGUCGUAUCAACUGGUGCUUUCAUUUCAUCUCUUCACACACAAAAAAAAAAAAACAAAUGUCUCUCACAGAACCAACGACUGAUUCAGCAGUUCUCUCCACCAUGAAAACGCUCAUUGAAAAUCAAACGCUUGCUGUUCAUCAGACCUUACAACAAUAUAUGUCCACGGUGGAUUCUCGAUUUGAGGAGCUACGUUCCCAAAUCAAUGGUUCUGUCGGAGCGUCAGUGGGUUCUUCCCGCCCAAUGGCACCGGAACCAGCGUCUUCGACUGUACUGUCAGGUGUUUCGGAUAUCUCUCCUCUGUUGCGUUCUAUGAAAAUGGAUGUCCCAAAAUUUGAUGGCACUGAUCCGAAUGGUUGGGAUUUUCGAAUCAAUGAGUUCUUUGAUUUUCACGGCACCCCUGACCAGUUACGCCUUCGUAUUGUAUCUUUUCACAUGGAGGGAAAAGCAGCAGCAUGGUAUCAAUGGAUGAAGGCCAACAACUUGCUGAGCACUUGGCAGAAUUUUUUACUCAAUCUUAAGCAAAGAUUUGGUACAUCCAUGUAUGAAGAUCAUCAAGGUAACCUCUCCAAGCUCUCCCAAACGUCGACUGUUGCUGAUUUUCAGUCUGCCUUUGAGGAUUUGAUGAACAAGGUCACGAGCAUCUCCGAGCCAUUGUUGGUUAGUUUCUUUAUCACGGGCUUAAAACCCGAUAUCAGACGAGAAUUAUUAUUUGCAAGACCCACAUCUCUCAUGGAGGCUUUUGCUUUAGCCAAAGCUUAUGAGGCACGGUCGGAAGAAAUCAAGACCUCUAGCCAUUCUUGGACAAAGUGGACACCCUCAUCUACUCACACCCACCAAUCCACCAUUACUGCCUCCCCACAACCUGCAUCAUAUAAAACCCCAACAACAACUCCUCUUCCUAGUUUUUCAGCCACUAAACAGCCACCUCAACCCCCAUUAUUGCCUACUCCCACCUUGCCCAUUCGUCGAUUAACUCCAGCCGAAUUAAGAGAGAAAAGAGAAAAAGGGCUCUGUUACAACUGCGACCAAAAAUAUAGCGCCACACAUCGCUGUUGUAGCAAGUUUUUGUUAUUAAUGGGUAUGGAUGAUGAAGAUGAUGAGCCAAGUAAGGACGCUUUUAGUCAUGCACAACCAGAUGAAGUAGUCACAGCGGACAUAUCUAGUUUGAAUGCCUUGGCUGGGCAAACUAAUCCACGAUCUUUAAGGGUGCUGGGCACCGUUGCCAGCUAUCAGUUUCAGGUGUUAAUUGACAGUGGCAGUACCCACAAUUUCCUUAAGCCACCAUUGGCUGAACGCCUUGGCCUUUCCGUUCAAGCUAUACCUCCUUUUCGAGUCUACAUUGGCAAUGGCGAUUUUCUUACUUGUCGAUUUCUCUGUCCUAAAGUGCCUAUUAAUAUGCAGGGGCAUGAAUUUCUUUUGGAUUUAUUCCUUUUGCCAAUCGAAGGCCCUGAUGCUGUCCUUGGGAUUCAAUGGUUACAAAGCUUGGGAAGAAUUUCUACGGAUUACUCCGAGAUGACGAUGGAGUUUCAAUGGGAGGGAAAAUCUAUCAUUUUACGGGGAGACCCAAUUCCAAACCCGAAUUUUAUCUCUUUUAACCAGUUUCAUGCCUUGUUAUCUAACUCCAAAAUCGACAGCUUAUUUGAACUUCAUUCUUUACCAACUGAGCCAUCAGCCACUCACACAUCUACCAACACAUUGCCGGAUAAUGACUUCGAAUUUCUGAGGUCGUUGCCUAAACCAAUUACUACUCUCUUAAAAAAAUUUAAGGCAUUAUUUGAUCCACCCACUGGUCUUCCCCCUCAACGGCUAUUUGAUCACAAAAUACACCUCAUUCCCAAUUCCAAACCAGUCAACGUUCGCCCCUAUCGGUAUCCUUAUUUUCAGAAAACCGAAAUGGAGAAAUUGGUGAGAGAAAUGUUAAAUCAAGGCAUCAUAAAACCCAGCCAAAGCCCGUUUUCUUCACCGGUAAUGCUAGUAAAGAAAAAGGAUGGCUCAUACAGAUUCUGUGUGGAUUACCGCGCUGUGAAUGCAGUGACGGUGAAGGACAAAUUUCCCAUCCCCACCAUUGAUGAACUAUUUGACGAACUUGGCGGUGCUAGGAUUUUCAGCAAACUUGAUCUAAGAGCCGGUUAUCACCAGAUAAGAGUUCACAAGAGGGAUACUUAUAAAACAGCGUUUCGCACGCAUGAUGGACACUAUGAGUUUCUUGUUAUGCCGUUCGGUUUGACCAACGCGCCGUCCACUUUUCAAGCAACAAUGAACCAACUAUUCGCUUCCUUUUUACGUAAAUUUGUUAUUGUCUUUUUUGAUGAUAUCUUGGUCUAUAGUGCAUCAUUGGCUGAACAUGUGCAUCAUUUGGAGCAGGUCAUGAGUUGUUUAUACACAUCUCAAUUUUAUGUCAAAUUCUCCAAUUGUUUAUUUUGUCAGGAAUCAAUUGAUUAUUUGGGCCAUAUUGUGUCGACUCGAGGAGUGCAUGCUGAUCCGCAAAAGAUCACAGCCAUGGUAGAUUGGCCCUUGCCUAAAUCGGUGAAGCAACUGAGAGGGUUCUUGGGGCUGACAGGGUACUACCGACGUUUUAUUCAAGGCUAUGCAACCAUCGCAGCUCCUCUCACUGAGUUGCUUUGUAAGGAGGUUUUUCAUUGGAACCUGGCAGCUACUCAAGCUUUUCAAGCAUUAAAGAAGGCUCUUGUGGAAGCCCCUGUACUACACUUGCCGAAUUUUGCCUUGGAGUUUGUCAUUGAGACCGAUGCUUCUAAUGUCGGGAUCGGUGCUAUGCUAAUGCAAGCCGGGCAUCCGCUAUCUUAUUUUAGCAAAAAGUUGGGUCCUCGAAUGCGUGCAUCCUCAACAUAUUUGAAGGAAUUAUAUGCUAUUGUAGCUGCAGUUCAAAAAUGGCGUCAAUACCUCCUUGGCAGAUUUUUCCUUAUACGAACUGACCAUAAAAGCAUAAAGGAAUUGUUUCAACAAGUUAUUCACACCCCAGAGCAGCAAUUUUACAUUCGUAAGUUGAUGGGAUAUCAAUUCAGAAUCGAUUAUAAAGCUGGUACCUUCAAUAAAGCUGCUGAUGCUUUAUCGCGAAUUCAUAGGGACAACGUGACUGAAGAACCCAAACCAACAACUCUUUGUUUGUCGUUUGUAAGCCAACCUUCUAGUGAACUAUUGACAAAUCUGCACAAGGAAAAUUGCUCUCUUCCUGAUAUGAAACAACUCCAUCAGAGGUAUGCAGCCGGUUCACUUUCUUCUGCCUUCUCAGUUCAAGAAGGGUUCCUGCUAUUUCAACAUCGAUAUUACCUCAGCCCCAACUCAUCAUUAAAAGCCGUGCUACUCAAAGAGUUUCACGAGACACCUAUGGCAGGCCAUGCUGGUAUUAAAUAGACAUUGGUACGUCUUUCAUCGACUUUCUUUUGGCCUAAGAUGAGGGAAGAUGUUGAGCAACAUGUAGCUGCUUGCCUUGUUUGCCAGCAAAUUAAAUACUCAACUCAAGCGCCGGCGGGUCUAUUACAACCCUUGCCUGUCCCUUCAUUAGUUUGGGAUGAGUUAACCAUGGAUUUCAUUACAGGGCUGCCACUUUCGAGAGGAUUUGAAGCAAUUCUAGUUGUUGUGGAUCGUUUAUCAAAGUCAGCUCACUUUGGAGCCUUGCCUUCUCAAUUUACUGCCAUCAAAACAGCAGCUUUAUUUGCUGACAUGGUUGUAAAAUUACAUGGAUUUCCUAGCUCUAUAAUUUCAGAUCGUGAUCCUAUAUUCAUGAGCAACUUUUGGCAGAAAUUGUUUGAUUUAAAUGGUACACAGUUACGGCACAGCACGGCUUACCACCCCCAAAGGGAUGGUCAAUCCGAAGUAGUUAAUCGAGGGCUUGAGCAAUAUUUACGAGCCUUCUCACAAGAUAAGCCACAGACAUGGUCUUCAUUUUUAGGCUGGGCUGAAUUUUGCUACAAUACCAGUUAUCACAGCAGCUUGCGAAUGACUCCCUUUCAAGCCCUUUAUGGUCGUUUUCCUCCCACAAUUCCAAGUUACUCAAGGGGCUCUACUUCAAUCCAAGCUUUAGAAGACAUGUUAAUUGAGAGGGAUGCCAUGCUUUGCUCAUUGAAAGAGAACUUACGACAAGCUCAGCAUCGAAUGGCUCAAAAGGCUAAUUUACAUCGCCGAGAAACUCAAUUGCAGGUAGGUGAUAAAGUGUUGGUGCACCUUCAGCCAUAUCGCCAGACAUCAGUUGCUAAGCGCUCAUCUCAUAAGCUGGCAAGGUGCUAUUAUGGACCAUUCACAGUGGUAGAGCGUAUUGGACCCGUUGCUUACAAGUUAGAGUUACCCACAAAUUGUAGAAUUCACCCGGUGUUCCAUAUUUCCUUACUAAAACCUUAUGUGGGAAACUCCCCCAUUGAUGUUUAUUCACUGCCUCCAGGAAGUGUGGAUAACAAGCCCUUGUCAUCACCAAUUGCAGUAUGUGCUGAGCGAAAGAUACUUCGACAAGGCAAAGAAAUUCCACAAAUUUUGGUGCAAUGGUCUGAUAGCUCACCAGAAAAUUCAACUUGGGAGGACUUUGAGGAAUUUCGUAAACUCUACCCUGCACUACACCGUGAGGACAAGGUAAGCUUUCAAGGAAUGGGGAAUGAUACAACCUGGCCAAUUGUUGUGAAUCAGAUCGAGCACAAUGAGACAGCAAGGGAAGAGACCCAGCCUGCAGAAAUGGAAGAAGUCCAACCCGUGAAUGAGACACAAGCUAGAGAGCAGCUCAAGACAGGUUCAGCUCGCGCGAGAAAGAAACCAGGAUGGCUCAAAGACUUUGUCAUUUGAGGAAUGUUCGAGAAUGCUUGAGAGAUUAUAAUAACGAAUAUUGUUUUGUUUUCAAUUAUUAUUUUGUUGUUAUCAAUUUUAUUCUAUUUUAGUUAGUUAAGGGUGCAUGGCUGUUUUUGGGAGAGAGAAUAUAUUGUACUGUCAAAGGGACCCAUGAGGGAUAUCAAAAAAGAAUAUAUCAUUUUGUCUUUUUUCAGCUUCGUCUUCUUUCUCUUCUCUGCAAUUCCCCUGUCCCUUUUCUCUUUCUGCAAAUUCUUUUCCCCACAGAUUGGAGCCUGCACUCGCUUAAAGAGUGUCGUAUCACAGUGCUGGCCAAGAAAUGAAGAAUAAAGCAACAUAGGAAUCAGUUAAAGCUAAUAGAACUGUUGUUGGUUUAGACCAGAAAGAGGAGGGUUGUCAAGCCCAGCAGGUUAAACCAUAUCCCAAUCUUUGUGGAUCAAAACAGGAAGCUUCCACACUACCAGCAGGUUCUGGAGAGCUCAUGUUGACGAGUUCAAAGAAACCCCAUGGAUUGGAGUUGUGCCCUCUGUCAGGUCAGUACUACUAGCAAGAGAGAUCUAGAUGAGCAUCUUCACGGCAAGAAGCACAAGGCCAGGAAGAAGGACUACUUGGAGAUGAGAAGAUGUGCAGUAACUCCACUUCAAAAAACUCUACUGAGCAGAGAUAGUGCUGGCCAGGAAAUUAAGGCUACUCUAGAAGAGGAAUCAGUUAAACCUAAUAAAAAUGUCGUUGAUUUAGACCAGAAAGUGGACUGUGGUCAAGAUGAGCAUCUUAAACGGAGCUAAUUGGAGCUCAGAAGAUGUGCACUACCUCAUCUUCAACAAUGUCAAGGCUGCUCAUUAUUCAAGCAGCUUGGUGAAGCCACGUCAGCAGAAGGUUGUUAGUGAAGAAUAACAGCUCAGCGUGAUUAGUCAAGUGUUAGCGAUCCAGCUCAUAAAAGUUAGUUAGUUAGUUAGUGAGUUACUAAGCAAUUCUCACGUGUAAGGAAUAAUAUAAAUACUUGUACUGAUUUGUAAAAGUUCUUAUGAAUCGAAUCUUAUCCAAUACCAGUAUUGAGAAUUUUCUCUGUGAUUUUCUAUUCAACCAAACAGCACAUCUCUGUUUUCUUUCAAACAACAUCAAAAGAAUCUGGAAAGACAAUUAAGCUUACCGAAAGUAGAGAUAGCUCCAGCCAAGAAAUCAAAGCCUAAACAGAAUCAGUUAAAGCUAUUAAAACUGUUGUGGGUUUUGACCAGAAUGUGGGGGGCGAAGAAGAUUCAGAGAACAAAAAUGAGGAGCUGCCAAAGAAGAAGGCGUUGAAUACAAUCACUCAGAAGACAACAAAUGGAAUACCAACUGGAGGGACGAUGAGGAGAAAACUUCCCCUUAGAGAGAACUUCGAAUUCUGGUGUGAAGUUUUUCAGGUUGGUACUCACUCCGCUGUUGUGAUGGAGGGUCAUAAAAGGGGGAAGAAACACAUGGCUCGGUCUAAUGGAUCCAGGAAAAAUAAUGAGGCUGUCCCCCUCACUACCCCCACUACAAUUGUGACACCAUCAGAGCCUACUGAGAAUGUUGAAGAUGAAGAUGCGGUGGCCCAAGAAUGAAAUGAAGAAACCGCAGAGAGUGUCAUUGAGAAGGCUGAAGAUGAAGAGGUGGUGGUCUAUAGAGGCAGAUAAAGUGAGCCUGAUGCAGCAGACUCCUUAUUAUGCUGAAGGUAAAGCUCUUAACUUUUAUUUUUCUCUUGCGCUCCAUUUUGAAUGUCUUAAAUUUCAAUGAACCAGCAGCGUGUUACUUUAUCAUUUUAAAACUCAGAAAUUACAAUAAUAAAUUUAAGUUCAUUCUUCCAUCUCGUCAUAUAUAGAUUUGAAGGUACUGAAUGAUGAAGCCUGUAAAUUCAAGCAACAAUACUGUAAUGGGGAUCAUGUGUUGUUCUCUACUCUCCAGUCGUUGGUAAAAAGCUCAAAAAAUGAAAACCAGACACUGUUAGAUCAACCAUUUGAAAGUGCUUCAUAUAUGCAUGAUUAUGACAUUGGACUCUUCGGCCCAAUGCAAAUUUUUCUUGAUCAUGACCUGACGUUAGUUUAUCUUGUGCUGGCAGGUAGUUGGUGGGAUAUCACUAACCACAACUUAUGCAGAAGCUUCCUAACAUCAGCCGUGGGUCCAGGAUGUUUGAUCGGAUCGGCUAAAUUAAAAUUUUUUUGUAUAUGUUUGUGUGAAUAUUUACAAAGGAGUGAAAAAACUAAUAUAUAUUAAAUAACGCGACAUUAAGAACCUCGUUCUGAAUAAAGUUUAUGUAUAUAAUUUGUAAAAUAAACUAAUAAUUAAAAUAACAAUUUACCCUUUUAACUCGUACAGAUACAACCGUAAAUUCCUUAUUUAAUUCAGCUCAUUCAGAGGGAGACAAUUAGACAAAACUUAUUUUAUCAGAGUGAACUGCGAAAGUACUAGCUUAACCAGAGAGAUUAAUGUCGUAGUUUGCACAUUUGUUUAAUUGCAAUUCAACAUAUAUAGGAAGUGAACGUGAAAAUAGAAUUAAUAAUACAUUGCAAGUACCUAAUAAUUUCAGAACCAAUUAACAGUCACCUUUAUUGGAAAAAUCCAUUAUGAUUAGAAGCAAUCCCAUCACAUGCAUGAACAGUUAAAUAUACGCAUCCAUAAUUAGAUAUCACAUUAAUCAACCAAAUACAUUUCUUGGUUUCUAAGCUCCAAAAUUGAAAUUUCAUGAAAAGGUUUCUGCAUCAGUGCCUUAUUGCGAGCGAUAAAUUCGUUGGACACGAGUUGCAUUGUAGGUCGAGACUUUGGUUGAGAACGCAAGCAUGAAAAUGCUACUGUUGAAACAAGAAUGACAUCCUGCCUAAUCUUUUGAUCCACCGGAGGUGAGAGGCGGGGGUCCAGCAAAUCAAUUAGCUUAAUAUUUUUAUCCAAUGACCAAGAGGACGAUGAGAGGAUCUCUUCUGGAUGCUUUCCCAUUAGUACUUCUAGUGCCACCACUCCAAAGCUAUAAACAUCAGAUUUCUCCGUCACAACCAUGGUGUAGGCAAGUUCUGUAUGAAAACAGAAGCCUUUAUUAGUGAUGUUUCCUAAAUAAUAACAAGAGCAAUUUGUUUAUAUCUUCGAGCAUCUGCAGCAAGGUAUGACAGAGAACCAUAUGUUUUUAACUGAUAUUUAAAGUGUAUUUUUUUUAAAAUUAAAAAAAAAAAGUGAAACUGGUAGGCAAAGUUUAAAUUCACUUUUCCAGCUCUUUACCUAUUCAAAAAUUUGAACCUAAGUAGCUAAUUAAAUAAAACUGCUUAAAAAUUACUUAACAGAGUGUAUAUAAAAAUUAAUUAAAAGAAUAAUUAAAGAAGCAGAAGAAGAAUAGCUAAAAGAUUACCUGGAGCAAUAUAUCCAUAAGUGCCAGCCAAUAGAGUUCGAUUGGAUGAGUCAAAAUUUAACAAUCUAGCACCGCCAAAGUCAGCAACAAAUGCUUCUAAUUCUGAGUUGAGUAGAACGUUGUUGCUUGAUAUGUCGCGGUGAACAAUUGGUGGUGUGCAGUAUGAUGCAAGUAUGACAAAGCAUGACACAUGCCCUUCACAACGUUCACCCUUUUAGCCCAAUCCAACCCCACAGCUUCCUCAUCUGUGCGCAGAACACAGAACAAGCUUCCCAUUUCCAUGUACUCAUAGAUUAAGAACAUGCAUUUCCUGUGCAAACAAAACCCGUAAAGCUUUACGAUAUUUCGAUGUCGUAUUUGGGACAGUAGACGAGCCUUAUUCCGAAAACUCUCGAGGGAAGUUAACUCCUCAGUUUCUGAACAGUGAAGCUUCUUCAAAGCAACUACUUUUCCACUGGGCAGUCGUGCUCGGUAAACGCUGCCAUAGCCCCCGGUUCCAAUGCAGUAUUUGAUAUGGAAAUCCUCAGUAGCUUCAAUUAUGUCUUGAAAUGUAAUUCUACCAUCGUAAUUCCAAAUUGCAAACUCAUCAGCGCACUUGGUAAUUUCUCCUGUCUCAGCUGGUUCAACUUUCUUAUCCCUUCGUGCACGGAUAAUCAAGAUUCCAAAUAUCAAGGCAAGUAAUGCGACCAUGGCAAGAAUAAUUGGAACCAAGCGAGUGGCAAUCUUUUUGUGAUGUGGUGGUGGCCCAUUUGCCGAAGUACUUGGGAUUUCUCCCUCCAAAUUGUUGCCUAACACAUCUAAGUGUGGCACUUUUCUGACUGAUUUAGGGAUACUACCGGAAAGGUUAUUCAUGGAAAGGUCCACGGUAUCUAUGCUUGGAAUUGCUCCAAGCUCAGAAAGUAUUUUACCAUUAAUGAAGUUAUGGCUCAGAUCAAGAUAAUAUAGUUCUUGAAGUUUUCCGAUCUCUGACGGGAUGCUUCCCCUUAACAAGUUGUUUCCCAAUUCUAAUUCCAUCAGCUUUGAGCAAUUCAUGAGUUCUGGAGGAAUUGGACCAUCAAGUUUGUUGUCGUACAGUUUGACAGCUUCAACACGUUUCAAGUUCCCAAUUUCUAAUGGGAUGGAACCAUUGAUUUGGUUUGAGUACAUAUUCAAAGUAUUUAGCUGAGUCAAAUGACCCACAGACGAAGGGAUUGGACCAACAAGUUUGUUUUCGGACAAGUCUAAAAUUCUUAUCCUGUUUAAAUGACCAAGUGUUGAAGGAAUAGGUCCAGUUAGAUUGUUGUAAUGCAGGGACAGAGACGUCAAGUUUACUAAACUAGCUAUGGUCGAAGGAAUUGGACCUUAAAGUUUGUUGAAGCAUAGGUCAAGAACUUGAAGAAAGUUCAAAUUCCCGAUUUCUAAUGGGAUGGAACCAUUGAUUAGGUUUGAGCGCAUAUUCAAAGUGGUUAGCUGAGUCAAAUGACCCAGAGAUGAAGGGAUUGGACCAACAAGUUUGUUUUGGGACAAGUCUAAGCUUUUCAACCUCUUUAAAUGGCCAAAUGUUGAAGGAAUUGAACCUCUAAUUUCAUUUCCAGACAAGUCAAGAACUUGAAGAAAGUUCAAAUUCCCGAUUUCUAAUGGGAUGGAAACAUUAAUAUGGUUUGAGGCAAUAGCCAAAGUAGUUAGCUGGGUUAGAUGACCUAGAGUGGAGGGGAUAUUACCAACAAGGGAGUUAGAAGACAAGUGCAAAUUUUCCAAUUUGCUUAGACGACCAAGAGUUGGAGGGAUAUAUCCCCAGAGGUAAUUAUCAGAUAGAUCCAGGUGGACAAGAUUCCUCAAUCUCCCCAUCUCUAAAAGGAUAAUUCCUAUUGUGCAUGUGAUUUAUGAAAAACGAGAUCAAUAUUCACUAUCUUCAUUAAAAAAAAUAUUACAUAGAGGGAAAGUCAAGCUCAAGUGCGGACGACUCACACUUCUGUUAGGAAAUUAGUGGGUGAAGCAGGACCGCAGCUAAGUUGAAAUUGUAAGAAAAUAAAGAACAAGCACAAUAGAGGGUACCAGAAAUUACGUGGUUCGGCUUUUAGCCUACGUCCACGGGCGAAAACAAAAGGAAAAUAUUUCACUAGUGAAAUAAGGAUUACAAGUAAUGUAAUAUUUUAACUCACUACCCAAAACCCCAAUACAUCCAAUCUCUCACUCACUAGAUACUCAAGAGUUUAUUAAACUCUUAAUACUCUCAACACUAAAAGAAAGCAAUAUUUCUCUCUCGAUGGAAUUGGUACAAGCUCUAAAUUGAGAGCUUGUAUUUAUAGGCAAAACUUUGCCUCAAAUGUCAAACAAGUGGCCAUAAACUUCAAGCCAUACAUCUUAAAAAUUUCAAACUUUGAAUUUUUAGCUUUGAAUUUUUCUUUUCUUUUACCAAACAUUACGGCAUCUAGAAUUUCAAAGCCAAGUGCCAACCAUUCUUGUUUAUUCAAAGCUUCUAGAUGCAGCCAAUUUUGACAUUCUCCCACUUGGAGAUUAAAUUGAAAAACAAUCAAUCUCCACACCAUCCUUUCUGUUUCGCCAUAAUCAUGUUGCCUACGUUUCUGCUAGGCCACAAGAGGAUCUACUCCAGAAAAACUUAUCAGUAUUUAUCGGCUUGGUCAAAACAUCUGCUAGGUUCUCCGUCGUAUGGAUUUUCUGUAAAUCCACACUUCCAUCUUCCACUACUUCUCGAACGAAGUGAUACUGAACUCCUAUGUGCUUUGUCCUGGAAUGAAAGGCUGGAUUCCUUGCAAUGUGCAAGGCACUCUGACUGUCACAAAACACAGGAAUUUUCUGUUGUUUGUGCCCGAGCUCCUCCAAUAAUCUUUGUAUCCAAAUAGCUUCAUUGCAAGCUUGUGUAGCUACCAUGUAUUUUGCUUCUGUUGUAGAUAAAGCCACAACGGUCUGCAGUUUAGAAACCCAGCUUACAGCUGCUCUCGCAAGUGUAAACACAUAACCAGUAGUGGAUUUCCUUUUAUCAAGGUCUCCUGCAAAAUCUGAAUCCACAUAGCCCCUGACAGUAAACUCUGAUCCUCUAUAACAUAAUGCAACAUCUGAGGUUCCUCUGAUGUAUCUUAGAAUCCUCUUCACAGUUAUCCAAUGCUCUCCACCAGGAUUCGCCAUGUAUCGACUAACUGCUCCCACUGCUUGUGCAAUGUCCGAUCUUGUACAUAUCAUAGCGAACAUUAAACUUCCCACUGCUGAUGCAUACGGUACUCGAGACAUCUCAUUCCUCUCCGCUUCGUUGCUAGGACACAUACUUGAGGAUAAUUUGAAAUUAACAGGAAGUGCUUUGAUACCAAAAUGUCAAAUAAAGUGGCCAUCUAGAUGGUAUAAAGCAGCCAUCUAGAUGGUCAGCAAUAAUUUUGUUCAAAGAAGAAGAAGAAUUUUGCAACAAGUUUGAAAGAAAAAGAAGCACACGGCUUUGACAAGAGAAAGAAGAAAAAGAAGAAAAUAAUAAUAUAUAAUUGAUGAAUAGUGCCAAAGCUUUUUCUAUAAAUAGAAACGAAGAGAAUGAGCAAAUUCAUUCCAUUAAGAGAGAGCAAUUUAGCAUUUUGAGAGAGAGUUUAGAGAGCUUGAAAUUAUAAGCUGUUGUUAUUAGUGUUCUGAGAGUUUGGGUGUAUUGGGGUCUUGGGAAGUGAGCUAAAAUACUACAAUACUUGUAACUCCUUUUUACUAGUAAAAUAUUUCCUUCUAUUUUCACCCUUGGAUGUAGGCUAAAAGUCGAACCACGUAAUUUUUUUGGUGUCCUCUUUUGUGCUUUUUCUUUAUUUUCUUCCAAUUUUACUUUAGCUGCGUGUCUGCUCCACCCACUAAUUUCCUAACAGUGGUAUCAGAGCUAUUGGUUGUAUUUUUAGAGUUGGGUACUGUUCACGUAAGGGGUACUAUUCACUUAUACGAUACUGUUCACGUAUACGGUACUAUUCACAAUAGAUGGUGGGAGCGAUCCAAGAAUUUUGCGGUGCAAAGCAAGGAAUAGUGGUGUGAGUAAAACAACUGUGUGGUUUUGUACAUGUCUAGGAAAGUUCUGUCACAAAGGCGAUAAGAGCUUAAGGAGUCUGGGUUUUAAGUGGGACCAUUGUGACCCCUCCAGUCUUUCCUGGGAACUUUCCUGGUAUGCAUUCUCACACAUAAUCACAACUAUUCAAGGUGGUACACUAGCUUGUGUGCGGUAUUUAUCAAUAAAAUGGCAGCAAAGUAUGAAAUUGAGAAGUUUAAUGGAAAUAAUUUUUCGUUGUGGAAAAUGAAGAUGAAAACUAUAUUGAGGAAAAAUAAUUGCUUGGCAGCAAUUGGAGAAAGGCCCAUGGAGAUAACUGAUGACAAGUGGAGCGAGAUAGAUGGUAACACCAUUUCUGAUCUACACUUGGCACUUGCAGAUGGAGUAUUAUCCAGCGUGGCAGAGAAAAAUACAGCGAAGGAAAUAUGGGAUACUCUUACAAAAUUGUACGAGGCCAAAUCACUACACAACAAAAUCUUCUUGAAAAGGAAACUUUAUACUCUUCGAAUGGCAGAAUCUACAAUGGCGACCGACCACAUCAAUACCUUGAAAACUCUAUUUUCACAACUCACAACGUUGGGUCAUAAUAUAGAGGAAAAUGAACGUGCAGAGCUUCUACUUCAAAGUCUACCAAAUUCGUAUGAUCAACUCAUCAUCAACCUAAUAAACAACAAUCUAGUGGACAGUCUAGUUUUCGACGAUGUUACAGCCUCUGUAUUAAAUGAGGAGAGCAGGCAGAAAAAUAAAGAAAACAGACAAGUAAGUUUGCAGCAAGCGGAGGCGCUAUCGGUGACGAGAGGGAGAUCAACAGAACGUGGCCCCAGUGGGAGUCAAAGUCAUGGUAGAUCAAAAUUCAGAAGUAAGAAGAAUAUUAAAUGCUACAACUGUGGCAAGAAAUGGCACGCCAAAAAGGAGUGUUGGAGUAACCAGAAGAGAAGAGAAGGUAAAGAACCUGAGUCAUCAAAUGCUCAGGGGUGUGUAGCAAGUACCUCAGAUGAUGGUAAAAUUCUCUACAACGAAGCAAUAACUGUUUCAGAAGGCAGAAAACGACUAUCUGAUGUCUGGCUUAUAGACUCAGGAGCUACCCGGCACAUGACCUCGCGGAGAGAAUGGUUCCACACAUAUGUACCUAUCUCAGGAGGAUCUGUAUAUAUGGGUAAUGAUCAUGCCUUGGAAAUCGCCGGUAUUGGUACUAUCAAAAUAAAAAUAUUUGAUGGUACAAUUCGCACAAUUGGAGAGGUACAACAUGUCAACGGCCUGAAGAAAAAUCUAUUGUCUUUGGGACAAAUGGAUAGUCAUUGGUACAAAACUCAUGUGGAGAAUGAAAUUAUGAAAAUCGUUAAAGGCGCGCUUGUAUUGAUGAAGGCAGAAAAGAUCGGUGCUAAUCUAUUCAUGCUUAAAGGAGAAACACUACAGGAGGCUGAUGCGUGUGUCGCAUCAAAUGGAGAAGAGUCAACGAUGAUGUGGCAUCUCAAACUUGGUCACAUGUCAGAACAAGGUUUGAAGAUUCUCUCUGAGCGAAAAUUGCUUCCAGGGCUCAAAUCGGUAAGUUUACCAUUUUGCGAGCAUUGUGUUAUAAGUAAGUAGCAUAGAUUAAAAUUCAGUAGAUCUAUUGCUAAAAGUAAAUGCAUUCUAGACUUUAUUCAUUCUGAUGUUUGGGAAUCACCGGAUAUAUCCAUGGGAGGUGCAAAGUACAUGGUGACUUUCAUUGAUGAUUAUUCCAGAAGAUGUUGGGUGUAUCCAAUUAAGAAAAAGUCAUAUGUAUUUCUAGUGUUUAAAGAAUACAAAGCGCGGGUGGAACUUGAAUCUGGUAAAAAGAUCAAGUGUUUGAGGACAGAUAAUGGUGGAGAGUAUACAGACGGUGAGUUUCUUGCUUUCUGUAAGCAAAAAGAUAUUCAGAGGCAGUUCACGGUGGCAUACACUCCUCAAUAAAACGGAGUGGCAGAGCGGAUGAAUAGAACUCUUACAGAAAGGAUAAGAGUUAUGUUGAGGACUGCUGGUCUACCCAAUUCAUUCUAGGCGGAAGCAGCCAAAACUGCAUGUUAUAUAGUAAAUCGAUCGCCAUCUACAACUAUUGGGCUGAAGACAGCAAUGUAGAUGUGGACUGGAAAGCCAGCUGAUUAUUCCUACCUACAUGCAUUUGGAUGUCUUGUGUAUGUGAUGUACAAUGCCCAAGAAAGAACAAAGUUAGAUCCAAAAUCUAGAAUAUGUAUCUUCUUGGGAUAUACUGAUGGAGUAAAGGGGCAUAGUCUGUGGGACCCCACUGCCCACAAGAUUGUCAUCAGCAGAGAUGUUAUCUUUAUAGAAAAUCAACUGCAAAGGAGAGAUGAGGAUGAUAGUAGUGUAAAAGAAAAGUCAGAGACUAUAUCGGUAUAUGUGGAAAAUAAUCCAGAAGAUUCAGAUUCUUCUGAAGCAGCACCAGAGCACGAAAAAUAAGAACUAGUCGAGUCCGAGGCUCCAGAAGUUCAUCGGUCAACUCGUGAGAAACGACCACCGGUGUGGCACUCGGAGUAUGUCACAGAGAUCAAUGUUGCAUACUGUCUUCUAACAGAGGAUGGAGAGCCAUCAACUUUCCAUGAAGCUUUAGAAAGCUCAGAUGUUGCCUUGUAGAUGACAGCAAUGCAAGAAGAAAUUGAAACUCUACACAAGAACAAGACAUGGGAACUUGUACCACUACCAUACGCAAGAAAAGCCAUUGGAAACAAAUGGGUUUACAAGAUCAAGUGUGAUGGCAAUGACCAAGUGGAAUGGUAUCGUGCAAGAUUGGUAGUGAAAGAAUAUGCUCAGAAAGAAGGUAUUGACUUCAACGAGAUAUUUUCUCCGGUGGUUCGACUCACAACAGUCAGAGUAGUCUUGGGGAUGUGUGCCACAUUUGACCUACAUCUAGAGCAGUUAGAUGUGAAAACUGCAUUUCUUCAUGGAGAACUUGAAGAAGAAAUAUAUAUGCUCCAACCAAAAGGUUUUGCAGAAAUAGGAAAAGAAAACUUGGUUUGCAGGUUGAACAAAUCUCUAUAUGGUUUCAAACAGGCGCCGAGGUAUUGGUAUAAGAGAUUUGAUUCCUUCAUUAUGAGUCUUGGAUACAACAGACUCAGUUCAGACCAUUGUGCAUAUUACAAGAGGUUUGAAGAUAAUGAUUUCAUCAUUUUGCUGUUGUAUGUGGAUGACAUGUUGGUAGCAGGUCCCAACAAAGAUCGAGUCCAAGAAUUGAAGGCACAGUUGGCUAGGGAGUUUGAAAUGAAGGACUUGGGACCAGCAAACAAGAUUCUAGGGAUGCAAAUUCACCGAGACAGAAAUAACAAGAAGAUUUGGCUUUUGUAGAAGAAUUAUUUGAAGAAAAUCUUGCGGCGCUUCAACAUGCAAGAUUGUAAGUCAAUUUCUACCCACUUCCUGUUAAUUUCAAAUUAUCCUCAAGUAUGUAUCUUAGCAAUGAAGCAGAGAGGAAGGAGAUAUCUCGAGUACCGUAUGCAUCAGCAGUGGGAAGUUUGAUGUUCGUUAUGAUAUGUACUAGACCGGACAUUGCACAAGCAGUGGGAGCAGUCAGUCGAUACAUGGCGAAUCCUAGUGGAGAGCAUUGGAUAGCUGUGCAGAGGAUUUUAAGAUACAUCAGAGGAACCUCAGAUGUUGCAUUAUGUUAUGGAGGAUCAGAAUUGACUGUCAGGGGCUAUGUGGAUUCAGAUUUUGCAGGAGACCUUGAUAAAAGGAAAUCCACUACUGGUUAUGUGUUUACACUUGCGAGAGCAGCUGUAAGCUGAGUUUCGAAACUGCAGACCGUUGUGGCUUUAUCUACAACAGAAGCAGAAUACAUGGCAGCUACACAAGCUUGCAAGGAAGCUAUUUGGAUACAAAGGUUAUUGGAGGAGCUCGGGCACAAACAAGAGAAAAUUUCUGUGUAUUGUGACAGUCAGAGUGCCUUGCACAUUGCAAAGAAUCCAGCCUUUCAUUCCAGGAUGAAGCACAUAGGGGUUCAGUAUCACUUCGUUCGAGAAGUAAUGGAAAACGGAAGUGUGGAGAUUGAUUCCAUACCAAGGAGAACCUAGCAGAUGUUUUGACUGAGCCAAUAAAUACUGACAAGUUUAUCUGGAGUAGAUCCUCUUGUGGCCUAGCAGAAACAUAGGCAACAUGACAAUGGCGAAGCAGAAAGGAUGGUGUGGAGAUUGAUUGUUUUUCAAUUUAAUCUCCAAGUGGGAGAACGUCAAAAUUGGCUGCAUCUAGAAGCUUUGAAUAAACAAGAAUGGUUGGCACUUGGCUUUGAAAUUAUAGAUGCCGUAAUGUUUGGUAAAAGAAAAGAAAAAUUCAAAGUUUGAAAUUUUUAAGAUGUAUGGCUUGAAGUUUAUGGCCACUUGUUUGACAUUUGAGGCAAAGUUUUGCCUAUAAAUACUUGUAACUCCUUUUCACUAGUAAAAUAUUUCGUUCUGUUUUCGCCCGUGGACGUAGGCUAAAAGCCGAACCACGUAAUUUUUUUGGUGUCCUCUUUUGUGCUUGUUCUUUAUUUUCUUCCAAUUUUACUUUAGCUGCGUGUCUGCUCCACCCACCAAUUUCCUAACAACUUCUUCAGUGUUGUAAAAACAGAUGCCUGCUUUAAGCACCAGCCCGAUUUUAUACAUACAUAGAUAUAUAUGUUGAAGUUUCGUAGCUUACCCGUAAGGCCGUUGGAGGGCAGUUCAAGAGUUUGGAGCAUUGAAAGGGCAGUAAUUUCGGAUGGAAUGCUUCCAGAGAUAGAAUAAUUUGAAUGAAUUUUGAAACUUCUGAGGUUCGGAAAGCAAAAGAAUUUGAAACGACCGAGCUCUCCCCUGAUGUUAUCAUUUUCAUACCAGAGUAAGCUGACCCCGAUUACGCUUCCCGCUGAAUUGCAACUGACGCCAGUCCACUUACAAUGAUUGGACGUGUAGUUGCCAGACGUCGCCCAAUUGUUGUACCACCAGCCUGUAAAAAGUAAAGCUUCCCUUUCUAACAGUAUGGGUGACGACAAUAAUCCAGCAGCAGCUGAUGCUAUUACAACUAUUGUCGUAUCACUCAUGGCACCAACAUUAAUUAAAAUUAUAAUGACCACCAAUCUAGAAACAGAGGAUGCUGAUGCCAUGUUUACAAUGGUUUUCGGUUGAUUGGGGUAUUUGAUUCUCAGCAAAGCGUUUAUAUAAGAAUUAAUUGUUUUGCAACCUCCCAGUGUUAAUUUCCAAUACGCGUUUUCAAAUAGUGUGAGUCAAGGUCUUCUCUAGAUGGAUUCAAUCAUGGAGAUAUAACCUUAUUGGCUUGCAUUUGUGUGGUGUAGAUCUAUUUGAACACCAAUUGCAGAAACAUGAGACAACGUGGAAAAUAUUAGAAAUAAUUAAUAGCAUUAUUAGUAGUAUAAGAUAUUAAGUAUUACCCAAAAAUAACACUACAAGAAAAAGUGCCUACCAUGACAGGCAAAAUCUGUCAUAGUAGGGGGUGGAUGACGGUUGUUCAUACCGUCAUUGUAGCCACCGUCAAGAAUUGAUGACAGAAUAAUACCAGUCAUAAUCUGUGAUAAAUAUUUUUAGUCACAUAACUGUCAUAACUUUAUUUAGAGAGGAAUAUAAUAAAUUUGAAUUUGGCCCCUUUUUUUUUAAAUUUGUGCGCCAUAUUUUGAAUUUUUGGCAGGAAAAUCAAAUUUGGCGCGAAAUGCAAAUUAUAAUUAAAUGAAUUUUUUCAAUUAAAUCAAAAAUUGAAAUUAUAAUUAAUAAAAAAGGGGUAUUUUUUUUGCACCAUGAAAUUAUUAUCAUUUUAAUAACAAUCCUGCAAUUGAUUUAGUAGAAAUUAAUAUUUCAUAAAUUAGCUAAUUAAUUAGAUUAUUAAAAUUAAUAUUGCAAUUAAAAAUUAACUGACAAAGAAAAUGAAAUGGAUAACAUUGACUAAGAUUUCAUAAUUGUGAGCAAACAUAAUUUAAUCAAAUUUGAGAGUGACAAAUCCAACAUAAAUAGAAGAAGAGUAUUGUAACAACCUAAGAACUAAAUUCCAGCAGCAUGUACAACACAAAUUAACAAUGAUCAGUUCAAUUCCAGUAGCAUAAGGAAGCCAAACAACAGAGUCAUUUCUACCAACAUGAACAAAGGCAACAACAUAGUUCAUUUCCAGCAACAUUUCCAGCAACACUUCCAGCAACAUAAGAGGAGCCAAAAAUACUGAUCAGACAAGGCCAGCAGUUCCCAAACGUGAAAAUCCAACCUAAGAACAACCGAAAUGUGUAAAAUUGCAUCAAUAUCCAGGAGCUAUUUUCCAAACAAAGAAAAAAACUAGCGAACUCCAGCAGUACCCACCAUCUUCAUCAUAAUCCAACAUAGAAGUAUAAUAAGCUAGAUAACUGCCCAAGUAAAAUAUAUUUCAUCAAUGAACUCACAAUAACAACAUAAUAAGUAAGGGUUACCUCACAUAACAGCAAGUACUCCAGAAAAAUGGUUUGCCCACUCAAUACGGACUUCGUCUAAUUCAGCAUCAGAAUAUGUUGUCUUUCCGUUGAACUAUUUAUGAAAAAUAAAUAUUUAGUGAAACUUUGAAACGGGACAUGUUCUUUUUUAUGAAGCAAAUUAUGAUCAAGGAACUCGCAUUGUUCAUUAGUAAAGAGAAGUCAUUAAUUAAGUCUUUCAUGAAUCUCAUGACGUAAAAUCCACACACGACUGAACUUGCUGGUUGCUGUGGGACCUGUUCACAAUCAGCAAUUGUACAGUUCAUUUUAAUAACAAUUAAGCAUGGUAAUAUAUAAUUAUAGUUAAGGUAAUAGUUCAAACCUUUACGGAUCUGACCAUCUUAUUAUAAUUCCAUUUCUCCUUACCCUCUUGUGCUAUAAACAUUGUCAUAGAGCUGUAUACAAAAAAAAAAUUGUAACAAAGUAUCUGUAAAUUAUGUAAAAGUAAUUUUAUAUUGACAAUGGUAAUAAAAAAAAUUGAACAUACACUUUAAUGAGCUCUUUUAAAUCAUCAUCAGGAUCUCCCCCAUAAGAAUCGAGAUAAUAAACUUCUUUUUUCAACACAUCAAAGACGACCAGCACCCAAUGAUAACUAUAAUAAAAGAAAGAACAGUAAGGUAGCAAUUUCAGUAAAUUAAGGCAAGAAAAGAAAUUAAUAUGAGUUGAAAAGUAUUAAAGGAGCAUACUAGGGAUUAUAAGGCAUAAAGUAGAGAUGGCAAAAGUGCGGGUCGGGUCCGGGUUUGGGGCUGCCCGGGACCGACCCGCAUGUCACACAUAGCUACCCGGAUCCGGACCGUGCCCGGAUUUUUUCUAUGCGGGCCGGGCAUAUGCCCGGCACUAUCCGGGCACGGGUUUUUUCCGGGUUUUCUCUACCCGCAUUUCCAAAGCUGCUUGUUAAUUGCCCAGUUCUCAACCAUUGUUUUCAAUUACAAGAACUCGUUGAUUAAAAAGAACUGCGAGAAAGAUUUAAUUUCCAUUUAUGCAAUGAUUAGAAGAUGCAACAUCCACAAAUCUAGUGAACAACGUAGAUCAAGAGAGGCCUGAUGUGGACUUAAUUUUUUUUUUCUUUUAAACUGCAAAAGAAUGAAUAAAACCCAAAUUCAACUUUUAACCCCCACCACUUCAGAAUUCAAAAGGUUACCUUAAAAUUGAUAUAAAAUUAUAACCAACAAAGCGACAAUUUACAAGAAGCCGACGCGAAAAAUGCAAAAUUCUAAUAAAAUUAUAUUUAACUUAAACCGAAGAAUAAAUAGUCAAAACAAAACCAAUUUAAGUUUUUUUUUCAAAAAAAAAAUUAUGAUACAAUAUUCUUUGCAUCUCUGCAACAACACUGCUGUAGUUCUGCACACUAAACAUAAUGGAUGCAACAACACUGUUGUAGUUCUGCACUGGAAGUCUGGAAAUAAAAAUGCAGCCAUGCUUCAAAACUGCAACGUUGCUUUGCAAUAAAUGAAAAGAGUUGACCGAGGAAGGUAAGAGGUUCGUGGAGGGAGAGGGGCGGUCAACACUGCAUCGGUGCCGGUGGGUGGUGGCUGCUGGUGGAGAGACGAAAAGAGGUGUUGCGUUUGCGAGAUUUCAGUGUGUGUUGCAUUUGCGAUUUAGGGUUCGGUUUGGGAGCAAUUGGGCAAAGCAAAAUGUAUUUUUGCUUUUAUAUUUUCCUCUCUUUUUUUUACUUAAUAAAAAACCGGGCACGGGUCCGGGUUCCGGGUUCUUAAUGCUGUGACCGGACCCGUGCCCGGAAGUAGCCGGGCAUUGAAAAUCAAUGCCCGGAUCCGCUUUUUCCAUGCAUCCGGUCUGGGUAAAACCCGGACCGCAUACGCCGGGUCCGGGCCGGAUCCGGUCCGGGCGGGUUUUUCUGCCAUCUCUAGCAUAAAGAUGAAUUGUCCCUUCUUUGCUUUUUUCAAUCGAUCAUAAACUCCACGUGCCCUAAGGUCAAAUGAUGCAGUAGGAUUACGUUCUUCGCCUAGUGAAACCAGACCUGGACGAAUGAAUCCAAAUGGUUUCACUCCUCUUUUCCCAGGGAGAAUGGAAGCAUACAACAUCCUGAUAAACAAUAGACAAACAAUGUUAAAGUCCAUUAAUUGGGACUCCCAUAUAAAGUACACAUAAAACUAGAAUGAUUAUGAAUCACUUACGCAAUAUAGACUUCGAUUACGUUUACUCCUAUAGCAUCCAUUGACAGAACUGCACUACAGUCACGCCUUCCAAUAUGAGCUCUAAUCCCUUCCAAAUGGAAAACACCAUCAUCCAGUAGUUAUGGAAUCCAUUCUUGGUCUGACAUCUUAGCUUCACACAUUGUGCCAAACAACUGCAGCAACGGAAUCUUGUUUCGUUGUACUCCUCCUGCAUGCCUUGUGUUCCUCCUUGUUGGCAAAGGCUUCACUGUAACUUUUUUGCCCUCGUCCUUGGUCUGUUUUACAGCAUCUGUAUGUCCUAUCUCUAUUAUAUCAUUAUGCUGUUCUGCUGAUUCAAAGUUCAAAUGUUUUUUUGUGCCUUGAUGUUUAGGAUUGCUAUUUUUUUUCCCUGUAACAAAUCAUCAGGCAUCUCCACUGGGAUUUCAGUUGGGUUCAAUCUUGGACUCUUUCUUGCAAUGACAGAGAAUUUUUUGGCAGGUGUAUUCUUGUUUUUGUUUGCUAUGUCUGUCUCUUUCUUAGGUGUCCCUUGCUUCUUUUUUUUCAAAUGAUCAGGCUGUUACAAACAUAAUUGUUCAGUAUGAUUGGCAUAAAUAGUUUCUAAAUACUCUAAAUUUCUCUUACAAAGUAGUUAACAGUAUCAAAUGACACCCCAGAAAGAACAUAUGUAUAAAUAGUAAACAUACAGCAAACUAAAUCCACAAAUAACAUGUAAGAACAGUAACUACAACAACUCUUAUCCAGCAAAAGACUAAAUCUAGAAAUAAUAAGAAAAAUAGUAAACAAACUGACCUUUGUUGUUUCAGCAACUGCUUCAGCUUGAACAGACUCUAUGCCAUCAUCUCCAACAACAUUAUUGUUUUCACCAGGCACGCGAGGGUAGCUGGAACUUGCUAUAUCUGAAUGACGAGGUGUUUUUCUUAGUUCAUUUCUCAUUUCUUCCAACUGCCGAUUAAUUGAUUCCCUCCAUAGACGGUUCUCUCUUUGCCUGUCUCUAUCAGCAGGCCUCUGGUAAGUUUGAAAAUACAGAGACGGGGUCACAAACUUGCCCACUCCUUGCAUAUGACCACAUUUUGGAGCUUUUCCUAAAGAUUGUGCGAGAAUAUCAUUUUUUCCGGAUGACCGCAUCUUUCCUUUCUUAGCUUCCAUCUCCAAUUUAUCCUACCACACAAAUGAAUUAAGUAAGCCAAUGUUAUCAAAGUAUAAGUAAUCACAAAUAGAAUUACAGUAGUAAGCAAAAACUUUCUUACGAUUUUUUUAAUAACUGGUUCAACAUCGGGGUGGUAUCCUCCGUUUUUCAUUUGCCGAGCUCUCUUCCAAAGAACACUCCUGUCCACUUCUUCUUCAGUAAGGCCUGUUUCUGAGCACUGUAAAAAAGUUAAUAAAAAGUUAAAAUGUUAGUAACAAUCAUUAUUUGCAUUAACCAAACAACAGUAAAAUGUUAGCAACUAACUCACAGUACAUACCACUUCCUGCAUUAACCCAACGUAACCUUUUCUACUUAGGCGAUGAUUAAACUUGUUUUGUGCCCGCCUAAGUUUAUUCACACCACUAACUUUCUGCUUAAAACAACCAAACAAACAAUGGAUAAACCCAUAAGGAAAAAUGUCAUAAGCAUUGAUAUAUUAUUAACACUUGAAUUAGACACUCACUUGAAAUUUUUCAGAUAGUCUUUCCUUUACAAACUUAAUCCAACUUUCCUUAGCAAUCGUGCUGUACCGUGCUGGUGGCUUGAAAAGCCUUUUACGGUCAUUAACAAAUGGUAAAACAUAGUUCCUCAUUAGAGUGUACUUAAAGUUCCGAAAUGCAGCUCCGAUGGCUUGUAGUACUUGCUUCCUACUUCGAGGAUGAACCACGAAGUACACCUUCAAGUUUCAUUAUGAAAAUGUGAGAUUUUUCCAGCCACAAUAAAACUAGAGUAAUCGUCUAAAGGAAAUUAUUUUAUACCUUAACAGACUCCCAUAGACGCUCCUUCGUAUCAUCUGGAACUCUACGCCAAUCGUUGUAGAGGAUUGGAAUUGAUGUACGAGCCAAAACACCAAUAUACGUAGCCAGCUCAAUGGCUUCUUCACCAACUGGAACACCAAGGCUGUUGUAUUUAACCACAAACCUUCCACUUCUUUUCCUCUUUUUAUUUUGUUCUGACCCAACAGUGCCACCUCUGCUUCGCUUACUGCUGCUCUCAGGUUCAUCCUCGUUCCCAUCUCCAAACUCAUCAAGAUCAGGGACAUGAUCGGCCAGGGGCGUUUCAGGAUCAUAUCCUUCACGGAUAAGUGCCUCAUGGUACUCUGAUUCCUCACCAACAAAUCCAUCAUUUUGUUCAUCUAAAAACUCAUCGAAAUGGGCAUCAGAUUGCUCAGGUGAAGAACUCUCAGGGACAUUUUUUCCCUUAUCCAUGAUGAAUAUCACAACUGCAGAACAAAAUCAAAUGAUGAGAAUACACUACCAUAUAAAAACUGCCAAAAAAUAUAAAAUAAAAUAAUAAUAGAUACCAUAAAUACUUCUUGUAUUAACCUUAACAUAUAUCAUUUUGAGAAGGACUCAACAAACAGCUCAUGCAAACAAACACAGAAACGAUAUUCAAGGUCCAAUCCAAAUUCCCUCUUUGUUGUCUCGUGCGUACAUUUCAGAAUCAUCGUCAAUAGAGUUUAUGUUAUCAGCACUUGGAAAUUCAGUAGUCAACGAAGGGUAUUCCACUGCAUCUUCGCUUCUUUGUGUGGGUUUACCUCUUCUAGGCAUUUGGCAUACAACUGACCACUUCUUAUCAAACUGAUCAGGUACAUAAAAAACUUGGUUGGCUUGAGAAACUAAAAUAAAUGGAUCAUAUUUAUGACCCAUUCGUUGCAAGUCUACCAAAGUAAAUCCGAGUCUAUCCUUCAUAACACCACCUCUGGUAUGUACCCAGUCACACUUCAUUAUUGGAAUUCUAAAGAUAACAUAAUCUAGAUCCCAAAUCUCUCUAAUCACUCCAUAGUAUGUGAUGUUAGAAGUGACAGGAUUUUUAUCUUUUGAACUUGCGACUGAAAUUGUUUGUGCAACCAAUGACACUCCACUAUUUUGAGUAACUCUAUUUAAGUCUCGAUCUCUUGUAACAAAGUGAAAACCAUUUAUGUCAUAUCCAGGAUGUUGGAAAACAUAAGGACGAGGCCCUUGGGAUAACCAACGGAUUGUUUGAGUAACAACGUCACUGUUCUCUAUCAACAUAUUUACCUAUUAUUAAUCAAUAGGAAUAUAAUGUUAAACAAGCACAAACCGAAACAGAAAGGAAAAAAGGAAUUAAUUAAACUAAUGUUAUCAAAACCUUAUCUGUUAGCUAAUCUGCAAAUGUUCGGUUGUGUUCAUCUUGCAACCACUUCUCAUUUUUUCGUGGAUGGCAAAGUUGUAACCAAUCCUCAUGCUCUCUAAAAAUCAGUUAAAAGGACAAAAUUUUCAGGUUCCUAAACUACCAAAACCUGACAAAUAUAAAGCUAAAAUAACACAAGUUAGAUAACAUCACGUUAUAUAAGGCUGAACUUCCUCAAUGUUAUGCAAAACAUACAAGUGUGCUUGAUCUAAUGAAGUUCGAUCAACUUCCACCAUUUGUCCACCACUCAUGGGCUUGUCAAUUUCUAAAUUCUGCACAUGUCCAGGUGGAACCCCAAUUGUGGGCAUGUUUUCCAAGUAUUCUGCACAAAAUUCUAAUGCUUCCUCGGCAAUAUAACUCUCCGCUAUGCAACCCUCAGGACAGUUACGGUUUCGAACAUAGCCUUUUAGAGUUUUCAUGUAUCGCUCAAAAGGAUACAUCCACCGAAAAUAUACGGGACCACAUUGUCUAACUUCACUCACUAAGUGAAUAGUAAGAUGAACCAUUAUGUCAAAAAAAGAAGGGGGAAAACAUUUUUCAAGCAAGCACAAAGUCUCUACGAUGUUUUUCUCCAAUUCAUCUAGCAUUGUCACGUCAAUCACAGUCCCACACAACGAAUUAAAGAAGAAACAAAACCUAAUGAUAGCUUCUUUGACAUGUUUGGGCAGCACACACCUUACGGCAAUUGACAAAAGUUGUUGCAUAAGAACAUGACAGUCAUGAGACUUAAGACCCUGGAGUUUAAAGUCCUUUUUUGAAACAAGAUUCCUAAUAUUUGAAGAGUAUCCAGUAGGAACCUUGAUACUUUUCAAAGCUGCACAGAAUCUUGCUUUUUCCUCCUUAGUUAAGGUGUGGCAAGCAGGAGGAAGCCAUGUACGAUUGUUGUUUCCUUUAACUUGUGGUGCUAAGGUGGGCCUAAUUUUCAUUUCCAAGAGAUCCAUCCUCGACUUCAGUCCAUCUUUGGACUUUCCAGGAAUAUGUAGCAGUGUACCGUAGAUGUUCUCACACACAUUCUUUUCAAUGUGCAUAACAUCUAAUUGAUGCCGCACAAGCAAGUGCUUCCAAUACUCUAAAUUAUAAAAUAUAGAUUUCUUCUUCCACCACGCGAGAUCAUUAUUGUUCGCACUUUUACGCUUUUUAUGUUGCUUUUCCCCCAUCUAUUAUCAAUAGAGUCGACCAACUGGAAAAUUUCCUCCCCGUUUAACAAUUUUGGAGGGGUUUCAUCACACACACUAUUGUCAAAGGCUUUUGCUUGGAACCGAAAUUUAUGACCAUGAGGAAGCCAAAGCCGAUGCCCAAUGUAUACAUUUUUUCCACUGUGUUUAAGUCUACAUUUUGGUGUUUCUACACCACAAUAUGGGCAGGCAUAAUAUCCUUUAACAGUACAUCCUGCUAAAUUUCCGUAUGCCGGGAAGUCAUUUAUUGUCCAUAGUAAUACAGCCCGCAAAUUAAAGUACUCAUUUUUGUAGGCAUCAUAUGCCUCCACCCCAACAUCCCAUAAAGUUUGCAAAUCCUCAAUAAGAGGUUGCAAAUACACAUCAAUAUCUAAACCCGGUUGUUGAGGACCAUAAAUCAAGAGGGACAACAUCAUGAAUUUUCGUUUCAUGCACAACCAUGGUGGAAGAUUAUAAGUAAUAAGAAUUAUUGGCCAGCAGCUAUAUGUACUACUAAGAGAGCUAUGUGGAUUGAUUCCAUCAGCUGAUAGAGCUAGGCGAAGGUUUCUAGGAUCGGAUGCAAAGAUUGGCCAUUUCUCAUCUACUAACUUCCAAGAUGGUGAGUCAGCCGGAUGUCGGAGUUUACCAUCAACCAUCCUCUCAUUUGCAUGCCAAGUCAAGUCCCUAGCAGUUUCGGAUGACUGAAACACGCGCUUAAACCUAGGUAUAGGAGGAAAAUACCAUAAAGUUUUUGCAGGAACCCCUUUCCUAUAUUGGUCUACAGUACCAUCCUUUUUCUUCCAUCUACAUAACCCACAAGUAGGACAUUCCAAAAGACCUUCAUACUCUUUUCUGUAGAGUAUGCAAUCGUUUGGGCAAGCAUGAAUUUUAACAUAUUCUAAGCCCAAAGCUGACAUUGUCUUUUUGGCCUCAUACAUAGAGGUUGGAAUUUCAUUAUUUUUAGGGAAAGCAUCUGCUAAAACACUCAACAAUGCAGAAACGCCACUGUCAGACCACCCAAAUCUACCCUUCACAUUGAACAAUUUCACUAAAAAGGAUAACUUAGUAAAUUUUGUGCAUCCUAGGUACAAGGGUUUCUCAGCCUGUUCUAGCAACUCUUUGAAUGCCUUAGGGUCCCCACAACAACCCUUAUAAGCAUCAUUAACCAUUUCUAACUCAUUACCAUUGUCAAACUCUAUAUUUUGUUGCUGAAAAUGGUUUUCUCUUUGAGGAGAAGAACUCUUACGAAUCUCUUCCCCGUGCCAAAACCAAUUGUCGUAUUUCACAUCAAAACCAUGCAUAUAUAAAUGAUCUUUUACAGUUGUAGGUGUUUCAAAUGAUAAAUUCCCACAAUCAACGCAUGGACACCUAAUGACGCUACUCCCUGCAGCAUUUUUUAUAGCAAAAUUUAUAAAUUUCUGGACACCCUCUUCAUAUUCUGUCGACAGUCGAUUACAUUGAAUCCAAGAUUUAUCCAUUUCGGGCUUAAUAAUUAAUGUUCCUGACAUAUACAUAAAACAAAGAAAGAAUGUACAUACUUAGAAUAUUUGUCUAAUGUUAUAACACCAUGUGAACUAAACAAAUUUUAAAAUUACAAAUAUAGCAAACAAGAAAGCUGAUAAACUGAAUUUCAUACUUUUCAAAAGUUCACUCUCCUACUAUACUAUAAAUAUAAUAAAUAAGACAGACCCCACAACAACACAUUACAUAGUAUCAUAAUUAUAAAUUUAAAGAUAUGUAAAUUUUAAGCAAGUGUAUAACAACUUCAAUCUACGUCAAAUAAUAGAGGAUAAGAAAUGGAACUUACCAAAUUAAACACAAACAAUCUGCUGUUAUAUCCAAUUCCAGGUACAAAUCCAGCAACAAUAUUGAUUACUGAAAUAUAUUUUGAAUGAUCAGUUGAUAAAAUUCCAAAACUUGGAUUCAAGAGGGCUAAAAAGUUACCAAUAAAUUACAUUAAUCAUAUGAGUAAGCCUAAGAAGAAAUAAUAAACUACAACUUCAAAUAAUAUACAUCAGUAGAACAAAAAUGAAAGCAAACACAAAGAAAAGCUUCAAGUACCUUAAUACAAUGCCUUCAACAAAUCAAGAACAUCGAACUGUCACGUUUAUGCAGCAAUCACAACUAUUUAUAUUUGACACGCAAAUGUUACGACUCAAGACAACAACAGUAACAAUAAUACCACCAGAUGCAAAAUAGCUACAACACCACAUGCAUAGGUAGAUGACAAUGAGAUGUGAGAAUCCCUCAAUUUUACAUAACAGAAUCAGUUACUAAAAGUCCCUCCUCAGGCUUUGUUAUAGACAUUUCAGGCCAAUAUCACCAUCUUCAUACACAAACACUCAUUUAACUUAACGAAGCUUCAAUAUCAGAAAUAGCUAGAAAAAAAAUUCACACACAAACACAUGAAUAUAAUUCAGAAUUACCUAGAAUAAAAAAAAAUUAACAGCAUUAUGCAAUGCACGAUUACAACUCAAAACAGAACUCAAAAUUAACAACAUUAUAUCUUCCUGGGAAAUUAUUUAGUAAAUUGAUUACCGAAAUAUAUGCAAUAUAUGCAAUACAUGCAAAUACAUUUCAAUUUUUUACAAAUUAUUUACUACUUUACAUAAAAGUUCAAUAAAUAGUCAAAAUUAAAUACAUGCAAAUGCAGCAAUGACUCACCAGUGGGCGUGAAGCUUCAAUUCACCGUCAAGCCUAGGGUUUCAACUUCGGCAACAACGAUUUGGGUCUUCUUUCACGGUAAGCAAUUGGGUUUCUUUCAGUCAAUAAAAGUACCCUGGAUGUUGUUCUCAUUCCAAUUUGGGUUUCGAUUAGCACUGACUUCGUCCCAGCAAAGAGAGAUGAUUUAGUGAAACAACCAGAAUGAUUUUGAAACUAUGGGUGUUUGGGUGUCGUUAGUUUGCUAUGGCUGGCUUUUGAGGGUUUGCUCCAAGUGUGCUAAUCGAUUUUGAGAUUCCACAAUAACGCUUGCAAAUUUUCUGAACACUUAGAAAAAAAUUUCCCUCUUUUCUCACAAAAAUGUUUCCCCCCUUAACAAAACGCAACGUUUUAUUAAUUGUUUUUUGUUAUUUACGUCUGUUAUCCUCAAACUUGCGAAACAUACAACUGAGACGACAUCGUUUCACUUCUAUUUUAGUAAUAUAAUAUUUUUAAAAAUUAAGUCAAACCCGCGCAAUUAAAGUCAACAUAAAAAAUCAGUCUUUCAUUCUUGAUUGUCAAAUAAUUUAUCACUAGUCUAUCAUAAUUUCUUGAUAUAUGAUAUUUAUAUCACCAAUAUAUCAUAAUUUCUUGAUAAACGAUAUUUCUAUCACAAAUAUGUCAUAAGUGUAUGACAGAAAAUAAAUCUAUCACGAUUCUAUUGUUGUAGGCCUCCAGACCAAAAACUGUCACACAGAGGACUGUCAUAGUAGAUACUUUUUCUUGUAGUGUAAGUAAAGGAAAAAAGUUCAAAGAAAAGAAUUGUUGUGAAUUAUGGCUCAAAUAGGAAAAUAAACAAGACUAACUAACAUUUUUUUUUUUUAACCCUAAACAUCAUAAAUGAAAGAAGAUGAAAUUUUCAUUACCGCUCAAUUUUUCUGCACGCAACCAAAUAAGAAAAACAAAAAAGUGUUAUAAAAAUAAUGCGCUAGUAGCUAUUUGAGGCAUUAUUUUGAAUGAGACCUAUUUGGCAUAAGCGAAAAGUCAGAAAAUGUUUCGCAUAUUCCUCUAUGAGUACUUCGGAAUGGUUAUCUAUAUGAGUCAUUGCUUCGUUCGCGUCGCAUAAUUGCCAUCCAAAGAAAAAAUAUUUUUGUCAUUAAUUUUAGGUUUUUUUUAAACUUUAAUUUAACUUUAAUAAUGCCAUAUUAUUUAAUAUUAUAAUUGCCGUUCGAACCUUGCAAAACAUGAAGACUAAUAUAUAUAUUAAUAUAUGCCAUAUUAUUUAAUAUUUAAUUUUUAAGGCAACUUUUUUAGUUGAGGGCAGGGAACCCCUACGUUACGUAAUUCCGUAACAAGCUCAUCUAAUCACCUUGACUAUAAGACUUCUCCUAGUCAGCAAUUAUUUGGAAAUAACGUCUUGACAUAUGCUGUGGAAAUUAAAGAAUGAAGUAGACUUACCAAGUCAAGGUGUUUUUCUAGUCUACAUAUUUUAAUUUAUACGUUUAGAAAAUUAGAAAUAUUCAAUGUCUAAUCUGAUUUUACACAAAGACUAAUGGCCCAAGAUUGUGAUUGAAAUGCUAUAAGCAGUUUAUUCAUAAGUUUAGAUAAAAAUGAGGUUUGAUGGAGAAGAAUAGGAAGAGGUUCGCCUGAAGCAAUAUACUCGUAAGCUUGUCUACUAAUAAACGGAGCAUAUAAGCAUAAACACCUAACUUUUGAGGUAUGUGUGUGUGUAUAUAUAUAUGGAUCUUAAAGAUUGGGAAACGUUCAGAAAAACUUUAAAACCACGAGGUGUUAAAGAUUUAAAAGUUAAAGCGCUUAAACUGCACGGUUUAUGCGUUUUCCUAGAUGUCCUGUAUUUUAAAAUUUCGAAUUAGAACAUUUCUAUAUGUGUGUGUGUGUGUGUGUGGAGGGCAAAUCUUUGACUCUCUCCGGCUUCAAGGACCUAUACGGUAACUCUUAAAUCAAAGGGAGAAAAUGGUUAAUCCAAUCUGAUUGUAUAUGAAUUGAUAUUGACCAUACGAUUAUUCCAUAUGAUUAAGUAAUAAUGCACACAUGUUCUACACAUUCAGACAAGUCAGAGUAAGAAUUAUGAAAAUGACAACCAAAUCCAAACUAGCUAGGUGAACUAUUGUUAUUUAUCUUUGGUCCAUCAUUAUUAGAAAGAUGAGGAGAAGAAGAAAAAGAAAAAACUAAUUUUGUAGUCACAAAUUAAUCUUAUGCUCUGAUUUUGAAGCAAAUCUGCAAAAUAUUUGAGGAUCCAAUCAUGAACCACGUCCACUUCAAUCUUUCGCUGCACUACUACCCAUUUUGGGUCGUCUUCUGUUUCUGGCUGUAUGUCUAAGCAAUAGGAACCUGCUCCAAUUUACAGACUAUUAAUUAUGUUAUCGAAUAAUUUAGUUAAUAAUUGAACACUAAUUUUUUAUUUUAUUGAAAAAUUUACAUACCGUUUCUUGUUGUCACUACUAUUUAUACUAUUUGAUAUAUUUUUUCCAAACCCCUAAAAUCCCCCCCCCCCCCCCAAAAAAAAAAGAAGAAAAAAAAAGAUAUAUAAUUAAACAGGUAACUUUGAUAGAAAAGAAUGUACAAAAUUUUUAAGCUUAAUUACCCCUCGCUGCCAUAGGGAUAACGAAGGCCAUUUGAGAAAAUAAUGUUGCUACCAAAUCUCUUUAAAACCACUCUUAUAUCCUGCAAAUUAAAAAGAAAUAGAAAUCAAACAAAAUUGAGGUAAGCUUUAUAAUUAAAAAAAAAAGAGAAAAAUUAAAUUAUUAAAAGAAUUUGUUUAGGGAUUCAUCAAUACUUACAUGACUGUCGUAAUAAGUUGUAAUCUAAUAUUGUCUCGGAACCACUCCAUAAGACUUAAUGCAUUAAUCCAUAUAUUCUGUCAGAUUAAAUGGGUUGCUUGAAACAUUGUGUCUUUUUUUGCCAAUUCCAAUUGAUGAGACCAUUUCACUGCAUGUCUGGAUGAGAACUCCACCCCCUCUAAAAAAUAAUAAUAAUAAUUAAAUAAAUAAAUAAGAUAAAGAAGAAAACUAUUUUUAAUCAUUCAUAAAUAUGUAGUCUCAUAAAUAAAAUUUAGAGAUGUACAUAAAAUAGGUAUUGUUAGACGAAAGACUCAUUUGUUGCGACAUGUUGUUUAUUUGACAAUCUCAAUAGAACUAUCCAAUUGGCUUAUUGGCUUAUAUUUGUGUGGUGUAGAUCUAUUUUAUCAACAUUGCAGAAACAUGAGAUAAUAUGGAAAAUAUUAGAAAAAAUUAGUAGCAUUAUUAAGAUAUUAAAUAUCACCCAAAAUAAUAAAAUGAAAAAAAAAAGCUCAAAGAAUUGUUGUUGUAAAUUAUGACUCCAAUAGGAAAAUAAACAAGACUAAUCAUAUCUUUGUGUAAAUUUAAUUUUUAUAAAAAAACGUGUAGGUGUAAUAUUAUGAAUAAACUGAUAGAGAAAAGAAUGUGCAGACUCCUGUGAUUUGACAAAAUAAUCAAAAUAUUCUCUUUAUUUUUUAAAAUAGUUACAAAGCUCCUUUUGUAACAUACAAAUUACGGAAAUUCAUGGGCUACCUAACAUCCAUUUUAUUUUAUUUUAUUUUAACACCUAAACAUCAUAGACGAAAGAAGAUAAAAAAUUUCAUUGCACUCAAUUUUUUUGCAUGCAAUCAAUAGGGAAAAGAAGCAGAAAGUGUUGGAAAUAUAGCACAAGUGGCUCUUUGAGGCGUGAUUUUGAGUGAGACCUAUCUAAUGUAAGUGAAAGGUUAAAAUUGUUUCAAUUAUUCCUCAGUGAAAAUUGGGAUUACGGUUGAAAUACUAUAAGUAGCUUAUUUUAUAAGUUUUGAUAAAAAUAAUUUGGUAAAUUUGUUAAAAGUUAAUUUAUAUUUUUUCUAUUUCGACAAUAGCUUUUAAAACAAGUAUGGGAUUUUUUUCUAUAAGCAACUUAUUAAAUAAAUGCUAUAUUUUUUAAAGUUUCUAUUAUAACUUUAAUAUUUUAAGAAAAGAAUAAUUAUAUCUAUUUUUUUAAAUCUUAAUAUAUAAAUAAAGACAAUUUAAACUUAUAUCUAUUUUAGUGAUUAGAUAAUAAAAUAAUUCUUUCAUACUCAAAUUUACCAAACACCGAGCAAGCUACUUUUAUAAUCAUCAAUUUAUUUUAUUCGCACACAUAAGUAGUUUAUUUCAUCAGCCAUUAGAAUUUCAAACCGAUCCCAAGUCAUGUUUGGAAUUGCAUUGGAUUGUCAACUAAUUAAACAGAAGUAGCUAUUAUAUGGGAGAAUAAGAACAGGUUCACCUGGAGCAAUACACCCAUAAGCUUGGCUACUAAUAAACGGAGCAUAUAAGGAUAAACACCUAAGUUUUGAGAGAUACAUGUAUAUGGAGGGCAAAUUCUUCGUCUCUCCCCGGCUUCAAGGAAAUGGUUAAAUCAAUAUGAUUGUAUAUGAAUUGAUAUUCACCAUAUGAUUAUUACAUAAAGAUUGAACCCUUUUUAUGUGUUUUACAAUAAGUAAGCACACUUGUUCUACACAUUCAGACAACCCAGAUUAAGAAUUAUGAAAAUGACCAAAUCUAAAACAAGCUAGGCGCACUAUUAUUUAUCUUUGCUCCAUAAAUAUUAGAAAGAUAGAGGAGAGGAAAAAAAAGAAAAGACUAAUUUUGUAGUCACAAUAUAAUCUUGUGUUCUGAUUUUGAAGCAAAUCAGCAGAGUAUUUGAGGAUCCAAUCAUGAACCGUGUCCGCUUCAAUAUUUCGCUACAUUACUAACCACUCGGGAUCAUCUUCUGUUGCUGGCUGUAUGUCUAAGCAAUAGGAACCUGCUCCAAUUUACACACUAUUAAUUAUGUUAUCCAAUAAUUUAGUUAAUAAUUGAACAUUAAUUUUUUAUUUUAUAGAAAAAUUUACAUAACGUUUCUUGUUGUCACUGCUAUUAUAUUGUCUGAUAUAUCUUUUAGAACCCUAUAAUCUCAAAAAAGAAAAGAAAAAGAUAUAUAAUUAAAUUGGUAACUUCGAUAGAAAAGAAUGUACAAAAUUCUUAAACUUAAUUACCCAGCGCUACUAUAGGGAUUACGAAGGCCAUUAGAGAAAAUAAUGUUGCUACCAAAUCUAUUUAAAACCAUUCUUAUGUCCUGCAAAUAUAAAAUAAAUAGAAAUAAAAAAAAUUGAGGUAAACUUUAUAAUUAAAAAAGAAAAUGAGAAAAAUUAAAUUAUUAAAAGAAUCAAUUUGGGGAUUAAUCGACACUUACAUGACCACUACAAUAAGUUGUAAUCCAAUGUGGUCUUGGAACCACUCCAUAAGACUUGUUGCAUGAAUCCAUAGAUUCUGUUGGAUUAAAUGGGUUUGCUUGAAACGUUGUGUCAUUUUUGCCAAUUUUAAUUGGUGAGACCAUUUCACUACAUGUCUACAUGAGAAACCCCCAAUAAUGAUGGCGAUGAUGAUGAUAAAAAAAAACAAAAGAGAUAAAGAAGAAAACUAUUUUUAAUCAUUCAUAAAUAUGUAGUCUCAUAAAUAAAAUUAAGAGAUGUACAUAAAAUAGGUAUUUUUAGGCGAGAGACUCAUUCGUUGCGGCAUGUUUUUUAUUUGACGGUCUCAAUAGUACUACCCAAUGAAAUCAUGUCACCUGUAAUUGCAUACCUGCCAGCCCCAGCUGGAGUCCAAUGUUUCAUCGGAGAAGAAUUCAUCAAUACAUCAUAGCAAGAACUUUCCCCUCUUAAAGCAACAAUUCCUGAGAAUAUCCGGCCUAGGGUAUCUGUGCCUUCCGAAGCUCCAUCAAUACCAUUACAGGCUUUGUUCACUGGAUAUUCCUGAGGAUCAUCAUACUGAGCUGCACUCGUAUACAUAGACUCUAAAUAAUCCUUUAAUUCUGAAACGUCCUUCAGAGGCCUGUUACCAAAUAAUUAAAGACUCAAGAUGAAAUUUAGCGCCUCCAAGGUUAGUAACAUCAUAAAAGAUCUUUCAUCAUACCUGUCUAAUAAAUUUUGUUAUAUUUAGUUAAAUUACAAUAAACUUUAUGAGUAUGAAGCUAUUGGUAUCUCAAAUGCAAACAUCCAAAUUUGGCCUUACUUGGUAAUCAGAGUUGUACAUUGUUUUGUACUUCUGAACCUAAGCACCAAUAUACUUUAAUAUCUGGUAAUGCAUAGGUCGUAUAUGAGGCCAAAUCCAGAUUUUACUAUGUACGUAUAUUACACAUUAACUGAAAUGUAUAUAUACCUCGAGGAUGACAGAUAAUUUAUUGGAUAUAUAUAGGUAGUUAUGUAAUGAUACUACAAUAACAUUGCAUUGUAAUUAAAGGAAAAUCAGAUGGAUAUAUAUCGGCAGUUAUAAAAGUAACAUGAUUCAAUUACUUGCAGGUUUUGAAUUUUUUAGAGAGAAAAGUAAGUCCAUUUUUUUUCAGCAGCGGCUUUAUCGAUUUCAACCAGGACUGUUUGAUGGUCUUGUAGCAACUCUCACUAGCUUCCUGCAUCACUAAUAUUCAAAAUUCAAUAGUUAAAUUUUUAACAAGAAAAUAUAAUCAUACAUAUAUCGAAUUUUAAUUAAUUAAUAUUAUUUUCUAACCCUAAAAUCCUUGCUGACAAGAUCAUAAAAUGCGUUCGAUGGUGUGAUAUUAUCAAAGUAGAGAAUUGGGGCUGAAGAGGCCACUGCUCCCAAAGCAAUGUCAGGAUACUUUAAGCGAAACCAUGCAACAAGCACUGACGAUAACAAUAACAGAUCCACACAUGAGAAACUCUCAAACGAGUCUUUGUCAGUAGGAAUACAAAAUAAAAUUGUAUCAUAAUAAUUGUGGCGUUAUCCAGAUUUUAGUCAAAUAUUGACAAUGAGAUGACAGAUGACAUGAUAUCAAUCAAAAGAUGCAAGUAAGUUAAUAAUAUUAUAACUUACUUCCUCCGUAAGAUGCUCCAACAACGAUAGUGGGAGACAUUUCGGCCGAUAAAUUUUUCUUGAUGUGUAAGAGAAUCUCUGCAUAAUCAGCCAAUGCUUGAGCAGAGUUGAAAUAUCCACGAAGAGUUGCAUUCUUUAGGGCAUCUUUACUUGGUACAAAAGGUACUGAUUUUCCAUAGAAUCGAUGCUGCACAAAAUAUCGAAUUAAAAAAAAAUCCAUCACAAUUUUUCAGUUCAUAUUGUAGAAUAGUCUUAUUGAUAUUUGUCUUCAGUAUUAUUAUUUCAUAUACAAACUCUAUUUCAAUUAUUAUCAAGCUAGGCUGAUAACAAAUUCUGUCCUUACCUCUAUGUAAACUUCUAAAGCUUUAAAUCGAUGAGCAUUAUCAGUAAGCCAUCCAAUGCCACCAUGGUCAUCAUCAAGACUACUCUCUUCACCAAGAUAUGCCAAUAUCGGCGCUGCCAUGGCUCCGCCACCGCCCCAAUGCUUGAAGUUCAACACAUAUCUAUGAGGAAAAGUUAAAUAACUUUGUGGAUUAUAGUUAGAGUGAUCAAGUAUUUGAUCAUAAUAAUAAGUUUCGAGAUCACCCUCUGGUUCUGAAGUUAAUAUUUUUUUACUAGGGUUUAGAAAAAUAGUCCAUCCACGCACAGCACCAAGCUUUGGGAUGUUCUUUAAUGGUGAAGUGGAAGCAAAAGCAAAAUUUGUGAGGAGAAGAAGAAAAAAGGCAUGGAAGCCACCGACCUUCCAUGGUGUUGAAUUAGCUGAUGAAACUGAAUCAAAUGCAACACACGUUGGAGUGCUAGCUGGAAUCAAGCGAGCUGUAAAUCUAGUAGCUAGUCUAGGAAUGAAAGUGAAAGGUACACGUGAGAAGUUGGGAAGUUCCAGAUGGCAAAACUGUUAUGAAGAGAUUCCCAUGCAGUUGGAUUAUGCAGAAAUUAGUUAACAAAUCAGUACUUAUUAAUUGUAUUGAAUUUAGUUAGAUUAGAGUUAGUUACUCUUUAGUUACAUUGCUUAGCUGUAAUUAGAGUACUCAGCAAGUAUUAGAUUCCACUAUAAAUACUAAGCUGAGCUCAUUUCUGUAAUUUGAUUUGCAUUAAUAACUGAAAGACAAUUUCUCUUUUUCUUCUUCAUUCGAUCUUCAAAUUCCAACUGCAAAGUUGUAAAUCCUUAAUUAGCAGGAUGAUUAUGUAAAUACAGAAGAAAUAGAAUUAAGAUUCGGUUAUAAAUUCAGCUUCAGAAUCGACGUGUUUGUUAAUCUAUUCUGGAUUUGUUGUUAUCCUAUCAUAUAAUUAUUGGUGGUUUUAGUUUUAUAUUAGUAAUGAUCUUUAGUUUUCAUAAAAUUAUAGUUUUUCUAAUAUAUAUUGUUAUCAGUUUCGUAACUAAAUACGUUGCGAUGAAAAUUUGUUAUUCCUAAUUGUUAUUAAUUCUUUCCUUAGUAAUUAACUAACUUGAUUUACGUAGUUCUAAUGGUUGGACACAUAUUUCUAAUUUAAUUAACUUGCAAUUAAUUAUUUACUAGUGAUUAACUUGAUUUAGUAUGUGGUAAAUAUAUAAUUUUUAAAUAAUAAUUUUGAUAAAAUCAGUAAAGAAAUAAUAAAUUUUCUAUCAUGUAAGUGUAAAAUUAAAGAUAAAAUAUUUUUUUUUCUAGUUACAAUAGCUAAUAUUUAUUUGAUACUUUAACUUUUAAACUAAGCUACCCAAACAUGGUUGUAAUUUUCUAUAAUGAUGCUACCAAAGAUGUCAGGAUUCCAAUCAUUGUUUACGAUGCUACAAUAUAUGUUAAUCAUGCUAAUGGUAUAAGCCUUUGGAUUGGAAGCAAUGUAAAUCCAACCGCUGGGUAACGUAGCUAGCCUAGUUAUACUUUAUUAAGGGAACAAUAAAAUUAACAAUAGUCUCACACUAAAGGGUGGCAAUUUAUUUCCCGAAUUUGUGAAUUAGACACUAACACAUCAUAACGAGAUGAUUAAUUAUCGUUUCAAAUUACUGUGUCCUCUUCACUAAUCAAUUCGUGUUUGCAUUUUGACUUCCCCACAGGGGAUUCUUUAUUUAUUUUUUUUUAAAAAAUAAGUGCAAAAUUUAUCCCACCGAGUAUAAUCAAGGGGUGCACGUCAAGACUUGGAUGGUGCAAAUAAUUCCACCAACGGACUUGAAGAUCCCAAGUUGGUCAAUGGUUAGAAUGCUGAAAACAAGCAACAGCUGCGACAUAGUUUCAGGGUCAUAUCAUCUAUAAGCCAAACGUGUGUCCGCUCAAUUAGACACCAUAACCUCUAAAGACAAAACAAAUGCAUGCAACCUACCAUAAAAAGAUGAAUGAACACUAAAGACUGAGAGCAACACAACCCAGAAUGCAAUCAUUAACCUCACGAAAACUGGACCCUGAGAUUCACUGUAACAACGUCAUUAGUAUUUUUCUUUAUCCAAGGCUCCCAGUAGCCCUCCUCCCCCCCCCCCCCCCCCCCCCCCCCACCCCCGCCCCCCCCUCGACCCCCCCUACCCCCCCCCCCCCCCUUCAAGAAAAAGAAAAAAAAAAGAAAAAAACUAUAUGGAUCUUACAAGAACGACGAAGUCAUUAUGCAAACUAUAAGAAAAUGUAAACUGAUAGGCAAUAAUUGAAGAACACGACCUAGGCAAUAAUUGAAAUAAGAUGCGAAAUUAUUUAUAACACAAUUAACUAUUCAACAAUCAUAUGUGUUGAUUUCUUUUCAAUCUGACUUGGACACUGUGUUAUAUUUUAUUAUCUUUUAAUAAAUAUCUAUAUAUAUAUAUAUAAUCAAAAAAUUAUAUAAAAUUCACCAUGAAAAUAAGGAAAACGAAAAAAAAAAAAAUCAAACGGGCCCCCUGAUGGAUCACCAACGAACGAAAAAGAGCAACUGAACCAACGAAAUGCAAUGGCAUUUUGGGGAAUCUGUCAAAAGCUGAUAACCUUUUUGUCGAUUCCCAGCCAACCUCUAUAAAUUGCCCGCAAUUGGAAAUGCAACACUUAUUACACACGCACACACUUGUCUGCUUGACGAUUUGCUCUGAUAUUUUCCUUUCUUCUUCAAUCAAUGAACUGUCUACAGAAUCUUCCAAGGUCCUCUUUUUCUUCUUCUUUUUUUAAUUUUUAUUUUAAAUCUCCUUUAAUUCGUUUUCAUUUUUUAAUUUUUUUGGUUAAUAUUUCAGAUCCUCCGCUUUGCCUUUGCAAAGCUUCAGAUUCAAUCAACGGAAGCCUACUGCUUCUUCUUCUUUCAAUUCUCUGGUAAAACGCAAUAUUUUUUUGUCGUUUUUUCGUCGUUUUUUCUUCCUGUUAAUACUUAAUGCUUGGGCGUUUUGUGUGUAAUGGAAAUGGAGUCUCGUGUCUGAUUUAUUAUCGCAGGGAACGAUGAAUUAUGCUGAUCUAAAUCGACGUAUCACCGUUAAGGUAACUAUAUAAUUUUUUAAUAUCAAAUUCAUUUCUUUCUUUUUUUUUGUUUUUUAAAAGAGUAAUAUUAGCUUCAACUGUGAUGCUGUUCAGUAGCAGUGCUGACCUUUUUAUUCAUAAAUAUCUUCGGAUAUUUCAUAAUAUGGAAUAUUCUUCUUUAUUCUGUUCUAUUUAUUUACUGGUUUUAAUGUACAUAUUGUCGAGGAGCUAAAUACGCGAGUAUAAAAAUUAACCUCAACUGAUAAUUUGUAGUCUGAUUAUGCCAUUAGUUUUAUGGAGUCCAUGUUGAUUCAGUUUGUUGUUUGAUUUUUAUGUGGAACUGUUACUUGAUUAUACAUGAACAUUCACUUGUGCAAAUUUGCUGAUGAAAUUUAUUUACAGGCAAUUACUGGUUCCACCUCUAGUAAGGAGACAUCUGAUAGCUCUGAAGUUAAGGAGGAAAAAUCCGAGAUCUAUAGUACUAAUAUGACAGAGGCUAUGGGUGCUGGUAAUUUAACUCACACUAUGCUCUAAUUUUGAUAGUAAGGCAGUUGUGGAGACCCUUAAGUGGUAAGGGAUGCUUUCCAUGUUAAAGGCAUGCCUAUUAUUGUGGAUUUGCAAAAUUUAUCUGAAACUUGAUUAAAUGAUGUUUGUAUAUUGUAUUAUAUGAUUGAAGCAUGAACUAAACGUUUUAAUGUUUCAUUCUAGAACUUCCCUGUGGACCUUUGCUCGUUUUUGUUUUGAUACUUAUGAAACUUGGUAAGUCUUGUUUUGAUUUGUUAGAGAUUUUCUGUUGAUGGAAAAUUUCAGAAGAAAGCAGUGACAAUGCAGUGCUUACUAAUUGAGGGUAGCUCAAAAUGAUAAUUUUAGAUUUUGGAUCUAUGAUAAUUGAAAAAUAAAUAGAGAUAAGUGAGUUUGUUUCAUGUUAGUUUCUUUAUCCGCUCCAAUUGAAAUACUCUGUGAUAAGAUUGUUUCUCUUAAACCCUUAUUCAUCAAAGUUUCCCUUUACAUGUCCAUUUGAAUGGCUUUAUCCCACACCAACCUUGAUUUUUAUGUUUAGGAGGUUGUUGCUUAGAGAUUCACAUGUCCAUUCUUAGUGCUAUAAGACUUUGUCUUGAUGCACAGGUGACAAGUUUGUCGGGGAGUACAUUUGGACUAACAAUCUUGAUUUAAUUCCAAACAUGUUAGCAUUGGGUUAUUUAUGUCAGUCAAAGUUCACAAAUUCAGUUUGCUUAGUCAACUCAAGUAGACAACAGAGUUGUGUAACUCAUUGACCAUGCGUGCAAAUGCCAAUGUAUGUGGCUUUAAAAAUUUGAGCAAUGAGGACAUGUGGUCCUCCACAGCCUGGAAUUAAUGUGUGUCUGAAACCUUUUUUGAACGAAAACACAGAGAAAAUGUGAGCUUGUCACAAGCUAAGUUUCCAAGAGAGGUUACAUAUGUUUACCAUGAAGUGUCACAUGAACUUGUACAGAUUGAUUUGUGAUGUUUCUUUUCCCGGUAAUCUCUUAUGUUAAAUCUUAUUGAUUGUGUUUGUGUAUGUGCGUUGGGCUGGAAGCUCCAUUAAAAUGGUUUUUCCUCAAAUUAUGAAUUAUAAUGCUCAUAAGAUAUCAUCUCUCCUUGUCCAACUUAUUAAGAAAGUAUUUCAUAAUCCUAUUCAAACAUAUUCCUUUUUUUUUUCUUUUUUGGGAUGGAGAUAUUUUCCUAGUUCAAUGCUGGAAAUGUUGUUAAUAAACAAGGAUUCUGGUUGUAUUAACUAUUUGACUAUACUUCUACAUUCCUACCUUUUUUGAGAAUUCACAAUUUAAAAUAAAAUUUGCACGUUAUCAUUUUGUAAACAAAUUCUUUCAUCUGUACUACAACAGCAGAUGAUGGAGCUCACUGGAAAUACUUUUCAUUUUUACCAUUGAUGUGAUAACUAAUAUAAGGCAUUGUUGUUUCUGUGUUUGGGUAUCAUUUCCAGCCUAAGCCUGAUACUAGUGUUUGUGGAUCAAAGCAGAAAGCUGCCACACCACCUGCAGGUUCUGGAGAGCUUCCUUCAACGAGUUCAAGCAAACCCAAGGAGUGGAGUUGUGCCCUUUGUCAGGUCACUGCUACUACCGAGAGAGGUCUAGACGUGCAUCUCCAAGGCAAGAAGCACAAGGCCAAGGAAAAACUACUUAGAGAUUUGAAGAUGUGCAUUAACUCCACUUCAAAAAAAUCUAUGGAAAGCAGAAAUAGUGCUGACCAAGAAAUGAAGCCUAAUGGAAGAGGAAUCAGUUGGUGCCAAAAAAACUGUUGUUGGUUUAGACCAGAAAGUGGAGGGUGGUCAAACCCUGCAGGUUAAGCCCAAUUCCAAUCUUUGUGGAACAAAUCAGAAUGCUGCUGCACCACCUGCAGGUUCUGGAGAGCUCCCUUCGACAAAUUCAACCAAAACCGAGCAGUGGAGUUGUGCCCUCUGUCAGGUCAGUGCUACGACCCAGAGAGGUCUGGAUGAGCAUCUUCAAUGUACGAAGCACAAGGCCAAGGUAGCAGGACUACUUAGAGAUAAGAAAAUGUGCAAUAACUCCACUUCAUCCACGUCAAAAAUAUCUACAGAAAGCAGAGAUGGUGUUGGCCAAGAAAUGAAGACUAAAGUAGAAGAGGAAUCAGGUAAAGCUAAUAAAACUGUUGUUGGUUUGAACCAGAAAUUGGAGGGUGGUCUAGAUGAGAAUCCUCAAGGUAAGAAGCAGAAAGCCAAGGAAGAAGAACUACUUGGAGCUCAGAAGUGGAUAAAAAAAUCUACAGAAAGCAGAGAUAGUGCUGGCCAAGAAAUGAAGACUAAAGUAGAAGAGGAAUCAGUUAAAGCUAAUAAAACUGUUGUUGGUUUGAACCAGAAAGUGGAGGGUGGUCUAGAUGAGGAUCCUCAUGGUAAGAAGCAGAAAGCCAAGGAAGAAGAACUACUUGGAGCUCAGAAGUGGAUAAAAAAAUCUACAGAAAGCAGAGAUAGUGCUGGCCAAGAAAUGAAGACUAAAGUAGAAGAGGAAUCAGUUAAAGCUAAUAGAAUUGUUGUUGGUUUGGACCAGAAAGAGGAGUGUUGUCAAGCCCUGCAGGUUAAGCCCUAUCCCAAUCUUUGUGGACCAAAGCAGGAAGCUGCCACACUACCUGCAGGUUCUGGUGAGCUCCCUUUGACGAGUUCAAGGAAACCCAUGGAUUGGAGUUGUGCCCUCUGUCAGGUCAGUACUACUCGCAUGAGAGAGCUAUAUGAGCAUCUUCAAGGCAAGAAGCAUAAGGCCAAGGAAGAAGAAUUACUUGGAGAUCAGAAGAUGUGCAGUAACUCCUCUUCAAAAGACUCUACUGAAAGCGGAGAUAAUGCUGGCCAAGAAAUUAAGGCUACUGUAGAAAAUGAAUCAGUAUAUCUAAUAAAACUGCUGUUGGUUUAGACCAGAAAGUGGAGGGUGGUCAAGAUAACGCGACAUCAAGAACCUAAUUAAAAAUUUAUUGUAUAUGUUUGUGUGAAUAUUUACAAAGGAGUGAAGAAACUAAUAUAUUAAAUAACGCGACACCAAGAACCUCGCUCUGGAGAAAGUUUAUAUAUAUAAUUUUUAAAAUAAACUAAUAAUUAAAAUGACAAUUUACCCUUUUAACUUAUAGAGAUACAACCUUAAAUUCCUUAAUAUGCUGGUUAAAUCAGCUCAUUGAGAGGGUGACAAUUAGACAGACCUUAUUAAUAAUACCAGAGAGAUUAAUGUCGUAGUUUGCACAUUCGUUUAAUUGCAAUUCAACAUGUAUAGGAAGUGAACGUGUAAAUAGAAUUAAUAAUACUAAGGGAGACAAUUCGUCGAACACAUAAUAUUUGCUACAUUGCUACUACUUAAUAAUUUCAGAACCAAUUAACAGUCACCUUUAUGGGAAAAUUCCAUUAGGAUUAGAAGCAAUCCCAUCACAUACAUGAACAGUCAAAUAUACGUAUCUAUAAUUACAUAUCACAUUAAUCAACCAAAUACAUUUCUUGGUUUCUAAGCUCCAAAAUUGAAAUUUCAUGAAAAGGUUUCUGCAUCGGUGCCUUAUUGCGAGCGAUGAAGUCGUUGGACACGAGUUGCAUUGUAGGUCGAGACUUUGGUUGAGAACGCAAGCAUGAAAAUGCUACUGUUGAAACAAGAAUGAUAUCCUGCCUAAUCUUUUGAUCCACCGGAGGUGAGAGGCGUGGGUCCAGCAAAUCAAUCAGCUUAAUAUUUUUAUCUAAUGACGAAGAUAACGAUGAGAGGAGCUCUCCAGGAUGCUUUCCCAUUAGUACUUCUAGUGCCACCACUCCGAAGCUAUAAACAUCAGAUUUCUCCGUCACAAUCAUGGUGUAGGCCAGUUCUAUAGGAAAACAGAAGCCUUUAUUAGUGAUAUUUCCUAUAUAAUAACAAGAGUAAUUUGUUUAUAUUUUUGAGCUUCUGCAGUAAGCUAUGACAGAGAAACAUAUGUUUUUAAUUGAUAUUUAAACUGUGUAAUUUUUUUUUAAAAAAAAAAAAUUAAAUGGGUAGACAAAGUUUAAAUUUAUCUUUCAGCUCCUUACCUAUUCCAAAAUUCGAACCUAAGUAGCUAACUAAAUAAAACUGCUUAAAACUUACUUAACAGAGUGCAUAUAGAAAUUAAUUAAAAGAAUAAUUAAAGAAGCAGAAGAAGAAUGGCUAGAAGAUUACCUGGAGCAAUAUAUCCAUAAGUGCCAGCCAAUAGAGUUCGAUUGGAUGAGUCAAAAUUUAACAAUCUAGCAACGCCAAAGUCAGCAACAAAUGCUUCUAAUUCUGAGUUGAGUAGAAUGUUGUUGCUUGAUAUGUCCCGGUGAACAAUUGGUGGUGUGCAGUGAUGAUGCAAAUAUGACAAAGCAUGAGCCAUGCCCUUCACAAUGUUCACCCUUUUAGCCCAAUCCAAACCAAUAGCUUCCUCAUCUAUGCGUAGAACACAGAACAAGCUUCCCAUUUCUAUGUACUCAUAGAUUAAGAACAUACAUUUCCUGUGCAAACAAAACCCGUAAAGCUUUACGAUAUUUCGAUGCCGUAUUUGAGACAGUAGACGAGCCUCAUUCCGAAAACUCUCGAGGGAAGCUAACUCCUCAGUUUCUGAACGGUGAAGCUUCUUCAAAGCAACUACUUUUCCACUGGGCAGUCGUGCUCGGUAAACGCUACCAUAGCCUCCUGUUCCAAUGCAGUAUUUGAUAUGGAAAUCCUCAGUAGCUUCAAUCAUGUCUUGAAAUGUAAUUCUACCAUCGUAAUUCCAAAUUGCAAACUCAUCAGCGCACUUGGUAAUUUCUCCUGUCUCAGCUGGUUCAACUCUCUUAUCCCUUCGUCUACGGACAAACAUGAUUCCAAAUAUUAAGGUAAGGAAUACGGCCAUAGGAAGAAUAAUUGCAACCAAUCGAGUGGUAGUCUUUUUGUGCUUGUCUUUAUUGCCUUCAGACUGUUGUGGCGAUGGCGCAUUUGCCGAAGUAUUUGGGAUUUCUACCUCAAAAUUGUUGCCUGACACAUCUAAGUCUGGCACAUUUAUGACAGAUUCAGGGAUACUACCAGAGAGGUUAUUCAUGGAAAGGUCCACGGUAACUAUGCGUGGAAUUUCUCCAAGCUGGGGAGGUAUUUUACCAUUAAUGAAGUUAUGGUUCAGAUCAAGAUAAUAUAGUUCUUUAAGUUUGCCAAUCUCUGACGGGAUGCUUCCGCUUAUGAAGUUGUUUCCCAAUGUUAAUAUCCGCAGCUUUGAGCAAUUCAUGAGUUCUUGAGGAAUUGGGCCAUCAAGUUUGUUGUUGUCCAUACUUAAAGUAGUUAGCUGAGUCAAAUGACCCAGGGACGAAGGGAUUGGACCAACAAGUUUGUUUUCGGACAAUCCUAAAUUUGUCAACCUAUUUAAACGACCAAGUGUUGAAGGAAUAGAUCCAGUUAGAUUGUUAUAAUCCAAGGACAGAGAUGUCAAGUUGACUAAACUAGCUAUGGUCGAAGGAAUUGGACCUUCAAGUUUGUUGUCAAACAGGUCAAGAACUUGAAGAAAGUUCAAAUUCCCGAUUUCUAAUGGAAUGGAACCAUUGAUUAGGUUUGAGUGCAUAUAAAAAGUAGUUAGCUGAGUCAAAUGACCCACAGACGAAGGGAUUGGACCAACAUGUUUGUUGUAGGACAAGUCUAAACUUCUCAACCUCUUUAAAUGGCCAAGUGUUGAAGGAAUUGAACCUCCAAUUUCAUUUCGGGACAGGUCAAGAACUUGAAGAAAGUUCAAAUUCCCGAUUUCUAAUGGGAUGGAAACAUUAAUGUGGUUUGAGGCAAUAGCCAAAGUAGUUAGCUGUGUUAGAUGACCUAUAGUGGAGGGGAUAUUACCAACAAGGGAGUUGGAAGACAAGUGCAAAUUUUCCAAUUUGCUUAGACGACCAAGAGUUGGAGGGAUAUAUCCCCAGAGGAAAUUAUCAGAUAGAUCCAGGUGAACGAGAUUCCUCCAUCUCCCCAUCUCUGAAGGGAUAAUUCCUGUUGCGCAUGUGAUUUAUGAAAAACGAGAUCAGUAUUCACUAUCCUCAUAGAAAUAAAAUUUAUAAAGAAGUGCUUAGGUUGUAAAAAUUAAUAGAUUUUUUAGUGCUCCAAUAAUUUUUUUUUCUUAUUUUUUUUGGGGCUCGUCAACGCUGCAAAUUUUAGACUGAAAGUUAAAUCUGCAGAUGCAACAAAUAUAUCAAUAAAUUAAUACAAAACUAUGGAGAUUAGAGAGAAUCACUCUCAGUGCUCUCAAUUGACUACCCUAUCCUAUAAAUACAAAAGUAAAUUUAGUAAAUUAAUGAGGAACUAUGUAUGUGUGAAAUUAGAAAUAGUGCUUUUGAUUUGUAAUCAUAUCUUUUAUAGGAUAACCAUGAUUUUUAAUGCAAAAGGGAAAAAAAAGGAGGAAAACAUACAAACCAAAAAUGCUUAAACCUGCCUUCCUUAAUAAUUACGUACAACUUGUAAUCGCCCAAUGUAACAAUUGCAAUUGAUGGAUGCAAUUUGGAAAAGAAACUGACACUUGAAGCCGAUUCAUUUCAUACAAAAAUUAAAGGAAAAAAAGCCAACCAGCAUAUUCUCCAAAUUAAAACACUACCGAAGUAAUAAAUAAAGAUGUAGAAAUUUAUUAUAUAGUUUCACUUUCACACAAUAAAAAUGUAAAAAAUGUGCUUAGACGACCAAGAGUUGGAGAGAUAUUACCAUCAAGGCCGUUAGAAGACAAGUUCAAAUUUUCCAAUUUGCUUAGAUGACCAAGAGUUGGAGGGAUAUAUCCCCAGAUGUAAUUAUUAGAUAGAUCCAGAUGGACAAGAUUCCUCAAUCUCCCCAUCUCUGAAGGAAUAAUUCCUAUUGCGCAUGUGAUUUAUGAAAAACGACAUCAGUAUUCACUAUACUCAUAUAAAUAAAAUUUAUAAAGAAGUACUCAUAAAAAAACUUCUUCAGUAUUGUAAAAACAGACGCCUGCUUCAAGCAUGAGCACGACUACAUACAUACAUACAUACAUACAUACAUACAUACAUACAUACAUACAUACAUACAUACAUAUUGUACCUUGAAGUCCGUUUGUAGACAGGUCAAGAACUUGAAGAAAGUUCAAAUUCCCGAUUUCUAAUGGGAUGGAACCAUUAAUUUGGUUUGAGGCAAUCGUCAAAGUAGUUAGUUGGGUUAGAUGAUCUAGAGUGGAGGGGAUAUUACCAACAAGGGAGUUAGAAGACAAGUUCAAAAUUUUCAAUUUGCUUAGACGACCAAGAGUUGGAGGGAUAUGUCCCAUGAGGUGAUUAUCAAAUAGAUCCAGGUAGACAAGAUUCCUCAAUCUCCCCAUCUGUAAAGGGAUAAUUCCUAUUGUGCAUGUGAUUUAUGAAAAACGAGAUCAGUAUUCACUAUCCUCAUAGCAACAAAAAAAAUACAAAAUUACAUAGAGAGAGAGAGAGAGAGAGUCAAGCUCAAGUAUUUACCGGUAAGAUUGUUGGAGGGCAGUUCAAGAGUUUGGAGCAUUGAAACGGCAGCAAUUUCAGAUGGAAUGCUCCCAGAGAGAAGAUAAUUUGAAUGAAUUUUGAAACUUUUGAGGUUGGGAAAGCAAGAGAAGUUGAAACGACCAAGCUCUCCUUUGAUGUUAUUAUUUUCAUACCGGAGUAAGCUGACCCCGGUUACGCUUCCCGCUGAAUUGCAACUGAUGCCAGUCCACUUACAAUGAUAGGAAGUGUAGUUGCCCGUCGCCCAAUUGUUGACCCACCAGCCUGUGCCAAGUAAAGCUUCUCUUUCUAACUCUAUGGGUGACGUCAAUAAUCCAGGAGCCGAUGCUGUUACAGAUAUCAUCGUAUCACUUAUAGCACCAACAUUAAUUAAAAUUAUAAUGACCACCAGUCUCGAAACAGAGGACGCUGAUGCCAUGUUUAUGGUGGUUUUCAGUUGAUUGAGCUAAAUUUGAUUCUUAGCAAAGCGUUUAUAUAAGAAUUAAUUGUUUUGCAACCUCCCGGUGUUAAUUUCCAAUACGCGUUUUCAAAUGGUGUGAGUCAAGGUCUUCUCUAGAUGAAUUCAAUCAUGGAGAUAUAACCUGUACAAGCUCAAAAACAACUCUCGGCUGUUAACUUUGCAACCACCGUUCAUGGUCGAGAUGAAGCUUCUGAACAGCCCCUUGAUCGCACACGUUUUGGUACACAAACGGCAUGUACCGAAAGUCAGCCAAGACAGCCUGCUUCGGCCCAACCCACCUGCAAAAAUUCGGAAAAUCUCGACAACCCCUUGCAGCUUUUGACCACACACAAACACAAUCACAAUCACGCCCAUAACUCUCUUUCACAAAGUCCACAAAGUCAGCCGUGCACAAUUAAUGUCGCCCCCUAUGAGCUCAACAUUUCAAAGCCGUGCUCAAUUUUGAAAGUUGUAACAUACUAACUAUGGAAACUCACGGGCUACCUAACAUCCAUUUUAAUCUUUAUUUAUUUUUUUAUAAAAAAAAUAUUUUUAUGAUUAACUUUGGAUUUUUUUUAACUUCAAUAAUGCCAUAUUAUUUAAUAUUACAACUGCCGUUCAAACCCGUGCAAAACAUGAAGACUAAUAUAUAUAUGUAUAUAUAUAAUAUUUAAUAAUAUUAUAUAUACAAAUACACACACACACAUAUAUAUAACAUUAAUAAUGCCACAUUAUUUAAUAUUUAAUUUUGAAGGCUACUUUCUUAGUUGAGGGCGGGGAACCACUACGAUUCCAUAACACGCUCAUCUAAUCACCUUGACUAUAAGAAUUCUCCUAGUCGGCAAUUAUUUGGAAAUAACGUCUUGACAUAUGCUGCGGAAAUUAAAGAAUGAAGUAGACUUACAAAAUCAAGGUGUUUUUCUAGUCUACAUAUUUUAAUUUAUGUGUAGAAAAUUAGAAAUAUUCAAUGUCUAAUUUGAUUCUACACAAAGACUAAUGCCCCAAGAUUGUGAUUGAAAUGCUAUAAGCAGCUUAUUUUAUAAGUUUAGAUAAAAAUGAAGUUUGAUGGCUUUGUUAAAAGUUGUUUUUUUAUAAUAAUUUUCUCUAUUUUGACUGUAACUUCUAAAAACAGAACAGACAUUAUUUUUAUAAGCAACUUAUUAAAUAAGUUGCUGUAUCUUUUUAAAUGUUCAUAUUAUAACCUUAAUAUUUUAAGAAAAGAAUAAUUAUAUCUUACUUUUCUAUAAGCUCUAAUAUAUAAAUAAAAGACAAUUUAAACUCAUGUUUAUUUUAAUCAUUAAUGUUGUGUUUACUUUCUAGAGUGAGAGUGAGUAAUAUGGAUUCCUCCCAGUUCAGUGUUUACUAGCUCUGCCUUGGCCCCGGCGCAUCGAUCCAUUCAAAAAAUAUUUCUCCAAUUUUGCCUUGCCUUCGUAGCUAUUCUCCCACUCUACCCCGCAAUCAAGCAAGAGGAAAGUAAGCAUGAACUGAUUAAGGUGAUUAAAAUAAAUAAAAAAAUAUCACGAACGAGCUAGAAAAAAGAAUUGAAGGCUUAGGCAUUUUGGGGAAAACGAAAAAAAAAAAUCAAACGGGCCCGGUGAUGGAUCACCAACGAACGAAAAAGAGAUACUGAACCAACGAAUUGCAAUGGCAUUUUGUGGAAUCUGUCAAAAGCUGAUAACCUUUUUGUCGAUUCCCAGCCAACCUCUAUAAAUUGCCCGCAAUUGGAAAUGCAACACUUACUACACACACGCACACUUGUCUGCUUAACGAUUUGUUCUGAUAUUUUCCUUUCUUCUUCAAUCAAUGAACUGUCUACAGAAUCUUCCAAGGUCCUCUUUUUCUUCUUCUUCUUUUAAUUUUUAUUUUCAUUCUCCUUUAAUUCGUUUUCAUUUUUUAAUUUUUUUGGUUAAUAUUUCAGAUCAUCCGCUUUGCCUUUGCAAAGCUUCAGAUUCAAUCAACGGAAGCCUACUUCUUCUUCUUCUUUCAAUUCUCUGGUAAAACGCAAUAUUUUUUUGUCGUUUUUUCUUCCUGUUAAUACUUAAUGCUUGGGCGUUUUGUGUGUAAUGGAAAUGGAGUCUCGUGUCUGAUUUAUUAUCGCAGGGAACGAUGAAUUAUGCUCAUCUAAAUCGACGUAUCACCGUUAAGGUAACUAUAUAAUAUUUUAAUAUCAAAUUCAUUUCUUUCCUUUUUUUUUUGUUUUUUAAAAGCGUAAUAUUAGCUUCAACUGUGAUGCUGUUCAGUACAGUGCUGACAUUUUUAUUCAUAAAUAUCUUCAGAUAUUUCAUAAUAUGGAAUAUUCUUCUUUAUUCUGUUCUAUUUAUUUACUGGUUUUAAUGUACAUUUUGUCGAGGAGCUAAAUACGCGAGUAUAAAAAUUAACUUCAACUGAUAAUGGUAGUCUGAUUAUGCCAUUAGUUUUAUCGAGUCCAUGUUGAUUCAGUUUGUUGUUUGAUUUUUAUGUGGAACUAUUACUUGAUUAUACAUGAACAUUCACUUGUGCAAAUUUGCUGAUGAAAUUUAUUUACAGGCAAUUACUGGUUCCACCUCUAGUAAGGAGACAUCUGAUAGCUCUGAAGUUAAGGAGGAAAAAUCCGAGAUCUAUAGUACUAAUAUGACAGAGGCUAUGGGUGCUGGUAAUUUAACUCGCACUAUGCUCUAAUUUUGAUAGUAAGGCAGUUGUGGAGACCCUUAAGUGGGAAGGGAUGCUUUCCAUGUUAAAGGCAUGUCUAUUAUUGUGGAUUUGCAAAAUUUAUAUGGAACGUGAUUCAAUGAUGUUUGUAUAUUGUAUUAUGUGAUUGAAGCAUGAACUAAACGUUUUAAUGUUUCAUUCUAGAACUUCCCUGUGGACCUUUGCUCGUUUUUGUUUUGAUACUUAUGAAACUUGGUAAGACUUGUUUUGAUUUGUUAGAGAUUUUCUGCUGAUGGAAAAUUUCAGAAGAAAGCAGUGACAAUGCAGUGCUUACUAAUUGAGGGUAGCUCAAAAUGAUAAUUUUAGAUUUUGGAUCUAUGAUAAUUGAAAAAUAAAUAGAGAUAAGUGAGUUUGUUUCAUGUUAGUUUCUUUAUCCGCUCCAAUUGAAAUACUCUGUGAUGAGAUUGUUUCUCUUAAACCCUUAUUCAUCAAAGUCACCCUUUACAUGUCCAUUUGAAUGGCUUUAUCCCACACCAACCUUGAUUUUUAUGUUAUUAGGAGGUUGUUGCUUAGAGAUUCCCAUGUCCAUUCUUAGUGCUAUAAGACUUUGUCUUGAUGCACAGGUGACAAGUUUGUUGGGGAGUACAUUUGGACUCACAAUCUUGAUUUAAUUCCAAACAUGUUAGCAGUGGGUUAUUUAUGUCGGUCAAAGUUCACAAAUUCAGUUUGCUUGGUCAACUCAAGUAGACGACAGAGUUGUGUAACUCAUUGACCAUGCGUGCAAAUACCAAUGUAUGUGGCUUUAAAAAUUUGGGCAACGAGGACAUGUGAUCCUCCACAGCCUGGAAUUAAUGUGUGUCUGAAACCUUUUUUGAACGAAAACACAGAAAAUGUGAGCUUGUCACAAGCUAAGUUUCCAAGAGAGGUUACAUAUGUUUACCAUGAAGUGUCACAUGAACUUGUACAGAUUGAUUUGUGAUGUUUCUUUUUCCCGGUAAUUUCUUAUGUUAAAUCUUAUUGAUUGUGUUUGUGUAUGUGCGUUGGGCUGGAAGCUCCAUUAAAAUGGUUUUUCCUCAAAUUAUGAAUUAUAAUGCUCAUAAGAUAUCAUCUCUCCUUGUCCAGCUUAUUAAGAAAGUAUUUCAUAAUCCUAUUCAAACAUAUUCCUUUUUUUUUCUUUUUUGGGAUGGAAAUAUUUUCCUAGUUCAAUGCUGGAAAUGUUGUUAAUAAACAAGCAUUCUGGUUGUAUUAACUAUUUGAAUAUACUUCUACAUUCCUACCUGUUUUGAGAAUUCACAAUUUAAAAUAAAAUUUGCACAUUAUCAUUUUGUAAACAAAUUCUUUCAUCUGUACUACAAUAGCAGAUGAUGCAGCUCACUGGGAAUAUUUUUCAUUUUUACCAUUGAUGUGAUAACUAAUAUAAGGCAUUGUGGUUUCUGUGUUUGGGUAUCAUUUCCAGCCUAAGCCUGAUACCAGUGUUUUUGGAUCAAAGCAGAAAGCUGCCACACCACCUGCAGGUUCUGGAGAGCUUCCUUCAACGAGUUCAAGCAAACCCAAGGAGUGGAGUUGUGCCCUCUGUCAGGUCACUGCUACUACCGAGAGAGGUCUAGACGUGCAUCUCCAAGGCAAGAAGCACAAGGCCAAGGAAAAACUACUUAGAGAUUUGAAGAUGUGCAUUAGCUGCACUUCAAAAAAAUCUAUGGAAAGCAGAAAUAGUGCACCAAGAAAUGAAGCCUAAUUUAGAAGAGGAAUCAGUUGGUGCCAAAAAAACUGUUGUUGGUUUAGACCAGAAAGUGGAGGGUGGUCAAACCCUGCAGGUUAAACCCAGUUCCAAUCUUUGUGGAACAAAUCAGAAUGCUGCUGCACCACCUGCAGGUUCAGGAGAGCUCCCUUCGACAAAUUCAACCAAAACUGAGCAGUGGAGUUGUGCCCUCUGUCAGGUCAGUGCUACGACCCAGAGAGGUCUGGAUGAGCAUCUUCAAGGUAGGAAGCACAAGGCCAAGGUGGCAGGACUACUUAGAGAUAAGAAAAUGUGCAAUAACUCCACUUCAUCCACGUCAAAAAUAUCUACAGAAAGCAGAGAUGGUGUUGGCCAAGAACUGAAGACUAAAGUACAAGAGGAACCAGUUAAAGCUAAUAAAACUGUUGUUGGUUUGAACCAGAAAGUGGAGGGUGGUCUAGAUGAGCAUCCUCAAGGUAAGAAGCAGAAAGCCAAGGAAGAAGAACUACUUGGAGCUCAGAAGUGGAUAAAAAAAUCUACAGAAAGCAGAGAUAGUGCUGGCCAAGAAAUGAAGACUAAAGUAGAAGAAGAAUCAGUUAAAGCUAAUAGAGAGAGAUCCAGAUUAGUAUCUUCAAGGCAAGAAGCAUAAGGCCAAGGAAGAAGAAUUACUUGGAGAUCAGAAGAUGUGCAGUAACUCCACUUCAAAAAACUCUACUGAAAGCAGAGAUAGUGCUGGCCAAGAAAUUAAGGCUACUGUGGAAAAGGAAUCAGUUAAAGCUAAUAAAACUGCUGUUGUUUUAGAACAGAAAGUGGAGGGUGGUCAAGAUGAGCAUCUUCGAGGUGAGAAGCACAAGGCGAAGGAAGUGGAGCUAAUUGGAGCUCAGAAGAUGUGCACUACCUCAUCUUCAACAACAUCAAAAGAAUCUGGAAAGACAAUUAAGCUUACCGAAAGCAGAGAUAGCGCCGGCCAAGAAAUGAAGGCCUAAACAGAAUCAGUUAAAGCUAUUAAAACUGUUGUGGGUUUUGACCAGAAUGUGGGGGCGAAGAAGAUUCAGAGAACAAAAAUGAGGAGCUGCCAAAGAAGAAGGCGUUGAAUGCAAUCACUCAGAAGACAACAAAUGGAAUACC
rnacentral:lncRNA from 1 species